CGGGUUCAAUCUUCUGUUUCUGUGUGCAUUAGAUAGCUGGUUGAAUAAUCCACUCUCAUAUCAAUUACAUUUACAUUUACUCUAAUUUAAGCUAUAUUCUUUCUUCCGACAGACUUUGAUCCCCCGCCAAAACCUGGUGGAAGUGGCGUGCCUACAGGUGGUGUGGUUGGAAUUGUGGUCGGAGGAGUCUUCAUUAUACUACUGAUAUUUGGUAUUCUUUGUAAGAGAGGUCUCCCAGGACAACAAAAGACAUUGGAGGAUGGUAAUAAUUUGCAGUUUAUUCUGUUAUACUGGUUUUUCUUUUUGUUUCUCCAUUACUUUUUCUUAUUGAACUUUUUUCGUAACUAAGAACAAUAUUUAUGCUAUUUUGCAUGGUUCUCAUGCAUAUUGACGUGCAUACACAAAGACAGUAAUUAUUUAGAUAUUGAGCUUUUUGGCCCUUUGAUGUUGCUAUAAUAUAUUUAUCGUCCAAACUCAUGAUGCGGAUUGCAGAGUGUCUGCCUAUAGAUCCAAUUACUAGUUAAAUUCUAGAAGCACAAAAUAUUAAGAACUAAGAAUACUAUCGUUCUGAAAGUUUUCUUCGACACAAUUUCUUAUGAGUUUUACUUGUGAUACAGAUUUGAAGGGUGUGGGCUUGCAAACCGGUAAAUUUACCUUAAAGCAACUCAAAGAUGCCACAAGCAACUUUAACAAAGCCAAUAAGAUUGGUGAAGGUGGUUUUGGUUCAGUUUAUAAGGUAUUCUUCGGAGCUGAUAUUUAUUUAUUUAUUACAUUUUUUUCUAAUUUGAUAUUGUCUGUUCAAAUGAAAGUUAAUUUGCUUUAUAUAGUGAGGCGAAUUUGACUAUCUUUCUCAAAUGCAGGGCGUUCUAGCAGAUAACACCGUAAUAGCUGUUAAGCAGCUUUCUUCCAAAUCAAAGCAAGGGAAUCGUGAAUUUGUUAAUGAGAUUGGCAUGAUUUCUGCUCUGCAACACCCUCAUCUUGUCAAGCUCCACGGAUGUUGUGUUGAAGGAAAUCAACUAUUGCUUGUCUAUGAGUACCUGGAAAAUAAUAGCGUCGCUCAUGCUUUGUUUAGUAAAUAUCAAUCUCGCUUGCCAAAAGUUCAUUUCAUUCAUACAAUGGGCAUAAAAGAUCUUAUGCACUAAAAAUGUCCUUUACAACUAACUUUGUUUAAUUUGGCAAAUUGAAGGGGCAAAAGAAAGUCAUUUGCAGUUGGAUUGGCCAACAAGGCACAAGAUUUGUAUUGGUACAGCAAGAGGUUUGGCUUAUCUUCAUGAAGAAUCAAGAUUGAAGGUCGUUCAUAGAGACAUCAAGGCUACUAAUGUUCUGCUUGAUAAAAAUCUUAAACCGAAAAUAUCUGACUUUGGAUUGGCCAAGCUUAAUGAAGAGGAUAAUACACACAUUAGCACCCGUAUUGCUGGAACUUAGUCAGUCCCUACACUUUUAUUUAUCUUCUUAUUCUCUUGUUUUGAUCUUCUUCAACCCUUAAAAAAGAAGAUAGAGCAACGGAAAGUCUCUAACUUACAUAAUUUCCAACCUAACCAAAUCCUUGUUCAAGAAAUUUCAAGGGCAGAUUUGUUCUUUCAAUAUAGUUGGGUUAAUGAUUUGAUUUCAUGAUAUUGCAGUGGAUACAUGGCGCCCGAAUAUGCAAUGCGGGGUUAUCUGACUGAUAAAGCAGAUGUCUAUAGUUUUGGUAUUCUUGUAUUGGAAAUUGUUAGCGGGAGAAACAACACAACUUACCGGAAAAAGGAAGAAAGCUUUUAUCUUCUUGAUUGGGUAGCAUGAAUCUACUACUUCCUAAUUUCACUUCAAAUUUUCUUAAUAUGCCUUAUACGUAUGAAAGUACAUUUGAAUCGAUGAAGUUUAAUCCAAAGACAGAAUUCAUAUUGCCUUUGAUGCUUCCAUUUUUUGUAGGCACGACUUCUAAAAGAUCAGGGGGAUUUGAUGGACCUAGUUGAUCCAAGGUUGGGAUCAGACUUUAAUAAAGAGGAGAUGAUUGUUGCAAUCAAUGUGGCUCUCCUUUGUUGCAAUGUUACUUCGACAGCUAGGCCUACCAUGUCUUCGGUUGUGAGCAUGCUUGAAGGAAAGGUUGUUGUUCAUGAGUUGGUCUCGGAUCCAAAUGCCAAGAGUAUUGAGAUUGAUGCAAUGAGGAAACAUUUUCAAUCUAGUUUUGGAAGGGGCACGGGAGAGAAACAUAUAGAAAUGGAGUCAACUGAAGGGCCAUGGACUGCUUCGUCUGCGUCUGCUCACGAUCUGUAUCCCGUCCAUCCUGAUUCAGAUUACUGGAAGAACAGAAGCGAUAUAACUUGAGCUGCACAGUUAUCAGUUUGACUCAACCUUGGCACACUCAAACACAUCAAAUAAUAAAUCAUUUGUAUUUCCUCUAUAACUAUUUGUUGACGUGAGUCAACCAUAUAGUUUAGGAAUGUGAUCAUGUGAUUGAUUCCUUGUAUAAUUCGGAUUCUUAUUUCCUAUUUUAUGGGACCUCUUGAACAACUAUUUAUUUACCUCCUAGAGAGAAGGAUACGUACAAUUACACCUUAACUUUUAUGUCGGUAUCAGAGGAUGCUUCGGCCCGUCUCUUUCCAAAAACCCUUAAAAACCCCCUCAAGGCAUGCAACUUGCAUCAAGAAUUAUUGCUGGUGUUUGUCACGAACCGAGAAAUCCAACGUCUGUGGCUUUGGAAUAAACAAAGCUACAAAGUCAAAAAAACAUAUCAAAAUAAACCUACAAAUCAGUCCCUGCAAUGACUGAAGACAGAAAAACAAAAACCGGUGAGAUAAUUCCCAUGCAAACUAUGUCUAUUCAAAGUGAGUCUACCAAAAUCAGCGGCCUUCCAUUCAGAUUUAGAUUGAGCGACUCGAAUUUCAAAGUUUAGUCGAAGAUGAUGGAGGUCCAUGCCUCUGGCCUUGGCAAACUGGGGUAUUUGACAGGAAAAACCCCUGUUGUUGCUGAAGACUCGCCUGGAUAUACAAAGUGGGUCAAUGAUCACUGCUAUAGUACGAGGAUGGUUGUUGAAAACCAUGAAGCCCCACCUAUCGAGUCUCUUUAUUGACUUGCCGACAGCCAAAGAUGUGUGGGAAAGUGUAACCCAGAUGUUUUACGACAAUUCAGACGAGUUCCAAUAUUGUGAACUCAGGUGUAGGGCUACGCGAACUAAACAAGACGGUCGUCCAGUAAAUUUGUACUUCACUGAACUCAAAGGAGUAUCGCAAGAUCUUGAUAAAAGGCGCCCUAUCAAGAUGAUAUGCAAAGCAGACCUGCAAAGCCGUAGGGAGGAGCUUUCAAAGGACAGGGUUUACGACUUUGUUGCGGGGUUAGAUCAUGGUUUUGAUCAAGUCAGGAGUGAAAUCCUAAGGAUGAAACCUAUCCCUGGGAUUGAAGAAUGUUUUUAUUUGGUUAGACGUGAAGGCCAGAGACAAACCCCUAUGCUUGAAACAAAAUCUAAAACCACAAGCUCUUCUAUGGUGAUGAUCACCAAGUCCCCAUCAUCAUCAUCCUUUCGUUUAACAUCCGCGGGAACAUCUAGCCCAAAUCGCACCCAAGAAGAUAUUUGACACGCCCCGAUCCCGAUAUUCCUCGAAUACCAAGAUAGGCACGUGCUGGCCGACACCCAAGGGUGACGAAAGCCAUUAAUUGAAUGCAAAUGCUGAGAAUAAGGAAUAGAUAAGGUUUAUAAAUAUAAAAGAAUAAAGAAUAUGCAUUUAAGGAACGUGUUCAGAGCACACAUCUAAUCGAGAAUAUUAGAAGAAUUAACAUAAACAAUUUGAAUGAACACAGAACGGGGUCCUACACCUAGAGGACUCGAAGAUACCGAUGCGGAAGUGUCUGGAUGCCGGGAUUGUACGCCUCGAUUCUAAGUCCUGAAGGGGGCGCAAAACAAACAUGAGUGGACCAAGUUGAUAUAUAUAUAAUAAAACAGUUAUCAACGUACUAACCCCCAGGUUUAUGAAAACAUAUAUAUAAUGAUAAACAUAGGUUUUCCGAAUUCUAGCAUGAUGUGCAGUAUCUCAAAUCAUAAUUCAUAUAUAAUAAUCACUAGUGAAUUGUCCGAUAACCCCCAGGCCCCAUGCCGGCUCCCCGUCUCUGAGCAGACAGUCAGAGGAAAAUACACUUCAGGCCCUAUGCCGGCUCCCCGUCCCUAUGCUAAAUAGCCAGAGGAAACACACUCCAAGCCCUAUGCCAACACCAAACCGUCGCCCGGGACGGACCGGAAUCUAUCCCUACGUCCCAUAGCAGAAAGGACCACUAGGUAAGUACAAAACCAUUGAACAUAUAUAUAUAUUAAAAAACAACUUCAUAGUAUAAAGUCAUCCAUCAUCUAUACUAUAAAGAGGUGUUCGAAACAUGUUCUACAUAUCAUAUCGUCAUCCAUCGGAUAUUCUAUAAGAACAUGGGUUAUAGGAAAAAUAGUAAUAAUUCAAACUAGCCUUAGUAAGCAUGUUAUCUCAAAACGUUUCAUAAAACGUAAUCAUUAAAUCAUGUCUUUCAUGUAUGCAUUUCUACUAUUAAAACAUGCUUUUGAAGGGGUCCACUCACAGUACUUAGCCGCCGAAGAGUCACGCAAACUAACGAACAAGAAAACGUCACCAAUAAUUGCCCCUAAGCACAUAAAGGGUCCAAUUAAUAAAACUCUAUUUUAACAAUUGAAUUGGGAAAACGGACUUCAAAAACGGGUCCAGGACGUCGAAAUUAGCCUAGGAGAGAUCCUGGACGAAAGCCAGAAUGGGCUUGGGGUUUGGGUUUUAAUUAAGCUAAAGGGACUUGGGAAAAGGGCUGAAAGCCCACUUUACAAUUGGCCCUAAGGCCUUACUUCCUAAAACAGAAAAUAAAUAAAAACCUUAAAAAGGUUUCUUGGGUUUGACUAAUGGGCUACGGGCCCUAAAUUCCUAAUGGCCCGAAGGCCUUUAAGGGUCCUAAAACAAUUACAAUUAAAUAAAAUAAUUAAAAGUAAAAUAGGCUAGGGUUUUGGGCUUGGCUCCCCAAACCACACGGGCCUAAGGCCCGCUUAGCAUGGAACCGGCCUGGGAGGCCUGUCUCGCCGGAGCACCACCACCGGAGCUUCACAGCUCCGGCCGACUUCCACACACAACCCUAGACUUCGAUCUAGGUACCAAAACGAAGAGCAAGACGAGGGGAGUAUUUCUAUACCUUCCUUUCGUCGUGGAAUGGACGGAGAUGGCCGGAAAAACCCCCGAGGUCGCCGGAGUUGGGUGUGCUUACACCCGGCUUCGAUUUCGUCCUAUAACCUCCAAAAAUCACGAAUUAACUCCAAUUAAACCUCAAUCUCGCAAGAAUCAAGGACGAAAAGAGAGAAUUAGGGGCUUACCUAACCGGAGAUUGAAAAAUCUCGCCGGAGCUCCUUUUCCGGUUCUCUGGGGUCGCGGGAACGAGAGGGAGAGAGAGAGAGAGCAGGACGCGGUGAUGAAGGGUGAUGGGCUUCCUCGCGCGGGGAGAUGGGUGCGUGCAUGUGUGCGCGGUGCAGAGAAGAGGGAGAGAAGUGAGAGAUGAGAGAGAGCCGAGAGGGAGAGACAGGAAGAAAGAAAAGAAAAACAGAAAAGAAGAAGGAGAAAUUGUUUGGGGUGCUGCCAAGUGGCAGAUUUAGAAAGAAAGGGAUCCAUUUUCAGAUUGGGUAGAUAAAAUGGGACAAAAUUGAUAUAAUUAAAAUGUUUUGGGGUAAUUACAUACAUAUAUUUUUAUAAUUAGAGGGCGGGUGUUACAAUAUUGACAAAGAUAAGCUUCACUGCAACCACUGCAAUGGAACAAGGCACACCGAAGAAACUUGUUUUGAAAUACACACAUACCCAGAAUGGUACUGGGAAAAAAUGAAGCAAUUGAAGGCCAAAAGGAGGAAGUCGGGCCAGGCUGAACUGGUCGAGAGACAGGACCUGGAUCCAACGGGAUUAAAGGCCGAAAUGAAGCAAUUAAUGAGCAAAUGAAUAUCUAAACUGGCCUUAACAAUUUUCAGCAAUAAAAAACAUGUCCCUUUAUCGAAGUUGCAUAAAUUACAGAACCUUGGGAUUAAGGAGGAAUAAAAAGCCCAAAUUCCAAUCAAGAAAAAAAAAAUUGUAUGUAAAUUUAAGCUUUACCUGUAGAUUGGCAGCAGCAAAAGCAUACUGGAUCCAACGGGAGCGAGAACUGGAUGCCCAGCCCUUGACACGUUAUCGAGUGAGUUUAGGGAUCUGGGUUUUGUGUUUGCCGUUGAAUUUUGGAAUGAUCUGGAGAAAUUUGGGUUUUAGGGUUCUAAGGAUUUGAGUGAACCGAAACUGAUUUGGAUGAGCAACUUUUGGUUUCGAUUCGCGGUGGAGCAAGGAUGAAGAGGUGGAGGAGGUAGGAACGAAAGGGUGAGAAAAUUUGGAUAGGCGGGAUUCGGUUUCGUUUCGAAUCAGGACAAGACCACCGAGAAACCUCAUUAGCACUCCACGUGUGCAAAAGGGUUUUUCGUCUUUUUACUGUACCAACUUGAAAUACACAAAGGCAAAUUGAAGAUGGGUAUUUUCGUCUUUACACCGUCGCUUAUGAACAAUGUUUUUUCCAUGGCGCUUUAGUAUAUAUAACUAGCAAAGAAUGUUCAAGAGCAAUGCUGCGGGAUUGAAAAUCAUACAAAAACUUUGUAUCUAGUACUAUUUAUAUACAAAGGAUAAUACUUUAUGUGUAUUACAUACUAUUUACAUACAAAAGAUUUGAUAGUCCUAUUAAAAAUCACACAAAAUCUACAAUCUGACUGAGUUACAUACUAUUUCCAUACAAAAUCUACAAUCUGAUUGAAAUACAUACACUUAAUAUGUGCGUACCCCUCUUGACCUUGAACUCCCCCUACAUAGUUUACAAAAUUUACAGAUUAAAUUAAAUAUAAAAUCCAACUUAUUAAUUAAUUAUCAAAAUCGGAAAAAAAAAAUUAAAAGGGUCAAAAGAGAGAAUAGGAGAGGAGUCAAAUACUAAAAAAUAAAAAGAAAAAAACGAAAAUAAAAUCAAUAAUAAGAUUACAUAAGCACAUUCAAUUUGAUGAUUUGGAAAUUAAAGCAAAGGCCUUUGACCUUCUACGUAGGCCUGGUGUAGACAUUGAAAUUUCGGUGGCAUAAAUGUUAGCCAUUGCAGUAAGAUUACAUUUGUAAACAUUGAAAUUUUGGUGAAAUAAAUGUUGACCAUUGUAUUAAAAUUACAACCUUCAUUCACUUCACCUACAUCAUACACUAAGUUCACCUACAACAUCCACCAAGUUUCACCUACAAACAUCCACCAAGUUUCACCUACAACAUCCACCAAAAUUCACCUACAACAUCCACCAAAACAAAUGGAUGGUGGUGAUUCGUUCCCAAAGCCUAUAAAUAGGCUCAUCCAUCAAAGAAUCAAUAAACCAAUUCACAAAUACAUUUCUCUACUCCCAAAAUGGAAGAGAAUACUCCCCACACAUCCAAAAUCCUUGAAGCUUUGAAACUCUAAAGCUUUCAAGCAUCCAACCUCCCAAAUUCAAGCAAAUCCCGAAGGAUCAAGAAAGCCCUCUUCGUUCUUCGUCAAAUCCUCCUUCAAGAUCAAGCCCUAACGGCCCUUGAAGAAAUUUCUCCUUCAAGAUCAAGCCCCAACGGCCCUUGAAGAACUUCCACCAAUUCAAGAUCAAGUCUCGACGGCCCUUGAAGAAAGUGUUCAACAAAUCCACACAACUGUUCAUCCUAAGAUCAAGCCCCGACGCCCCUUUUUGGAUCAACAACAUCACCAAAUCCACAUAAAAUGUUCAUCCUAAGAUCAAGCCCCAACGGCCAUUUGGAUCAACAACAUCAACAAAUCCACACAACUGUUCAUCCUAAGAUCAAGCCCCAACGGCCCUUUGGAUCAACAACAUCAAUAAAUCCACACAACUGUUCAUCCCAAGAUCAAGCCCCGACGGCCCUUGGAUCAACAAUCAUCCAUCUUCAAGAUCAAGCCCCGACGGCCCUUGGAUCAACCAUCCACCAAUUCAAAAUCAAGCCCCGACGGCCCUUGAAGAAAGCACCAUCGUUCAUCAUCCGUUCAUCCAAGAUCAAGCCCCGACGGCCCUUGGAUCAACAACAUCAACAAAUCCACACAUCCAACCGUUCUUCAAGAUCAAGCCCAAAAGCCCUUGAAGAUCCGUUCAUCACCGUUAUUCAAGAUCAAACCUUAACGGCCCUUGAAGAAACACUCAUCCUCAAGAUCAAGCCCCAAUGGCUCUUUGAAGAUCCGCUCAAAUCCACCUUCAAAGAUCAAGCCCACGGCCCCUUGAAGAAACUUCCAACAGUUCAUCCAAGAUCAAGCCUCGACGGCCCUUGGAUCAACGAAACAUCCAUAAAUCAACACCUUACGGAGAUCGAAUCAGAAGAUCAAAAUUGAGAGAGAUUGUAACCCAAAUCAAAAUCACAAAAUAUUAUUUUGUGCACGUUGUUCUUGUCUUUUUCGUUUCAGGAAUUUUCCGUGUUCACAAAUUGGCACGCCCGGUGGGAUAAUCUCUACCUCUCAUCUCUUUCUCCGUUCAAGGAAUCCAAAUCCACCUUCAAAGAUCAAGCCCACGGCCCCUUGAAGAAACUUCCAACAGUUCAUCCAAGAUCAAGCCUCGACGGCCCUUGGAUCAACGAAACAUCCAUAAAUCAACACCUUACGGAGAUCGAAUCAGAGGAUCAAAAUUGAGAGAGAUUGUAACCCAAAUCAAAAUCACAAAAUAUUAUUUUGUGCACGUUGUUCUUGUCUUUUUCGUUUCAGGAAUUUUCCGUGUUCACAAAUUGGCACGCCCGGUGGGAUAAUCUCUACCUCUCAUCUCUUUCUCCGUUCAAGGAAUCCAAACACACCUCAAAGUCAAUAGCAUCAAGCAAGGGACAAGCCGUUCUCGCAAUCACUGAGGGAAUGAUCCUAAGCACUUCUGCCGCAAAUGGACAAUCCAUUAGCGCCACAACCGCUCCUCAACAUGCCACUUCAAAGUUGGUGCCGCUAAAAGAGCAAAUGGAGCAUCAAAGGUGUGAGUCUGUCAUCAACCUGACCUCGCUGGGGGCACCGAAGCAUGCUGCUGAGGCACACAAGAUGACAUCCCAAAACAACCAACGACGUUCUUCGUCAGCAUCUUGGAUGUCUAAAGGAAAGUCACGUCUAGUGGUUGCACAAGUCAUGACCAUCAGCGUUACCUCCAUCGAAGAACAACUGGCUCAAAUGAAUGAAGCAAUCGCAAGGCUAACCCGAACUGUGGAAGAAACAGACUUGCAAAUCGCUGCACUCGUCAGUCGACUGGAGCCACAGGACGGCGAGAACCCUAACCCAGAAGAUGAGUCUACGGUAGAGAGAAUCGAUGUGAAGCUGGAGCCAGACCAAGAAGCGGCACUCAUGGGAUCUCUUUCUAUCCAGCAGUUGCAAGAGAUGAUUGCCAGCACCGUCAAGGCACAGUUCGAAGGGAGCUCAAAUACCUCUAGGUUGUACUAAAAGCCUUAUUCAAAGAAGAUUGAUGCCCUAAAGAUGCCGAGGGGAUAUCAACCACCAAAGUUCAUGCAGUUUGAUGGAAAAGGAAACCCAAAGCAGCACGUUGCACAUUUCGUCGAAACUUGCAACAAUGCGGGGACGGAGGGAGACUACCUUGCCAAGCAGUUUGUGCGCUCGCUAAAAUGAAAAGCCUUUGAAUGGUACACGGACCUAGAGCCUGAGUCCAUCAACAGCUGGGAACAGUUGGAAAGGGAAUUCCUCAACCGCUUCUACAGCACCCGCCGCACUGUGAGCAUGCUAGAGCUAACGAGCACAAAGCAGUGGAAGGACGAGCCAGUCUAUUUACUACUCCAGCAUAUCAUUCAUGGAAGAUAUGGCGGACACUCUUCAAGCCUUCCUGUUAUCCUCGUGUUAUAAAGAACAGUAGCUCAUCGGGUACAGCUACUUCAAUCGUGAGGCAUGAUGCAUCUCCAAGGUCAGAUUCUCAAUUAUUAAGUUGUUUAUAUUGAUAAUUGAUUUUUUGUGUAGCCGGUGGCCGAUAUUCGACUUUAAUUACAUAUCGAUUCAAUGGCAUUCAUAGAACCCGAUCUAAUAUGUGCGGACCGAAUACUUGCCUUACCCCGCCACAAAGCUGCCGCUCUAUUCCCGAACGAUUAUGGAAAGUUGUGUGAGCAUCGCCCAUAAUUGGGUAAGAAAAUGUACACCUGCAAGUCGCAACCGUGCAGAACGUACAUGAUACAGUACGAUUAUACGACAAAGAGAGUGCUUCGAGAACACAAAAGGUUGAGUGUGUGCGAAGGAAAGUGUCCUCCGUGGAUAUACCAUACUCUCAACGAUUUAUCAGAGACUACAUGACCAGUCAACACAUUUCUGUACCUCGUUCAAAUGAUGACAAGACUCUGCGUACUACUAGCAUCUGAACUAACUUGUUAUGUUAUUAUAUGAUUUGAAGUUUUCUUAGCCGUGUCUUAGGCAUGGAAAGAUCGCAUGUUCUUGGUUUCCUGCUCUCAAAUGCUGAGAUACUCAUGAGAAGCUUCCAUACUUUCUCAAGGUGUUUGUGAGAGAAGGUGUUGUUAUGCCGUGGACCUACUUAUUUACCUGGUACUCCAAAUUCAGUUUUCGCGCUACCAGAAUCUUCUGCUGAAAAGGAGUCGUGAUAUCCUGUUCUCUGAACAUAUCACGUUUUCCUAGAGCGUUAUGUGACGAAGCAAACGAGCAUACUUGCAAAUCCAAGAAUGGGGAAUUCCAUUUGGUUAUCAGAAACUAAGAUGUUCCGCCUUAUCAAUCAGACAGAAAGUAAUGGUUCAUCCUCCAAGCUUCAGUGGAGAUUCCCCCGCCCAUACUGUUAACUCUCAAGCCCUGCGACAAUGGACUGUCAGCGGCAUGUGCUUUAAGCCUUUUAAGACAAUACUUUCCCGUAUUCAGAAGUCCGGGCUGUUGAGUUGGGAGUUUACAGAUGAUCUAUUUACAUUUUGAAAGAGUCUAUUGCAUGAAUGCGAUAUUGCAGGUGUUGAGUGAGAGCCAAAAAACGAAGCAAAGCGGAAGGAUCGAAAGCUUUUGGGGAUCUCGCUUGAGUAUAAGACUAGUUCUUGCAAGUUAAGCCGAGAGAGUAUUCACUGAUUGGUGUCCGGUGUACGUGAGAUUGCUAGCCGAACUAACGCAAGGGUAUGGUGUAUCCACUUUGAGUUCAUUGGUAGAUAGGUGUGGUUUGUUUGCUGCAUUGCUUCAACUAUUUUUUUCUUAUGGGUACUUCUCCAAGGAGAGGAUUUCGUGAAGCCUAAUGCUUCUGCGCCAAGGCUUCAUGAGCAAGCCUGCGAAGAAGAUUUCAAAUCAUUUGUUGCUGUUCUUUUCCUUUCAUUAUUUAAUGAAGGAAUGUAGCAUCCAUAUGGGGGACUGUCCUACAGUAUCAGAAGCUGCCAAAUGCCUUGUCCUCCUCCUAGUAGGCCCGUUCCGGUUUGUAGCAUAGUCAUUCAAUCAGGUCAUCCACUGGUUGAGGGCACGCCUCUCACUCUGGACUUAGCUGAUUAUCCUCAGCCCUUUAACAAGUGUUGCAGUUCUUUGUCGAGCACGAAGCCGAGAAAAGAAUCCGAGACUAUUCUCGAACGUUUGUUUCUGAUCUUGAUCCAUUAGGCAAGUUUAGCUGCUGUAGAAGAGUUUCUUUGGGCUCUCGGGAUCACCAGCCGCGAGGGGAAUCUGGUUCAGAGCCUGCCUGCCCUCUGCUGGAAUAACUCGGGGAAUCUGGAACUCACACCGCACAGGUGCUCGUGCUUCAUCUCUGGUCUACUUCAAAUCUGCUUCACCACUCGUUCGCCAUUCAACCGAUCCAGAAACAUCUGUGAAUAUAGGAGAUACAGCUAGGAGGGAACCACACAAAGGAGUAGCAAGAGCACAAGACUCAUCAAAGGAAGGGUAAGCUGUUUGAAGCCUUCUCAGGAUGAAGCAAGAGGACCUCAAACAGAAAUGCAGCUACGUAGACGGGCACUCUUUUGAUAAAAGAUGUUCAAACUGAAGCCACAAAUGGGGACACUACUCUGAGGUUGUUACUGAUACCAAAGUGACAUGUAAUUAUUAUUAUUAUUAUUAAUUUGUGAAUAUGCGUGUUUGGGUUAUUUUGUUCAUGCUAACAAAGACACUUCUAGUAGUACUUUUUCACUAAGCAAUCUUCUUUCUUGCAUAUCUGUAUGGGUUUUGAUAUGGCAUUGGGGUUCCCGAUAGGAUUCAGUUUACAUUCCCCAAGCUUAUUGUGUUGAUUAUCAAUUAAAAGAUUAAUUCUAACGCGACAGAGAAUCAUGGUUCAUUGUUUCUGAUGGGCUACUUUAUCGACAAGGGUUUAUUGGGUAUUUGGUGAACCAAACCUUGCUAAGGGCAACUUUAAGCGAGAUGGGUAUGUGGGGUAAGCAAGUGGACAUUAACUUUGGUGUCCCUAUAAUGAGUUAGUCCUCCACGCGUUUGCGCUCUUACAGCACUUUAUCUUUUUAAAUUUCUUUAUAUUGGUAAAGUUGGUUGGCAAUUCACUUCUUAGAUAUCUCAUCUCGGUAUGAGGUUUGUUUAAUACCACUAACAACCUCCUCCUUCUAGUGAGACGUAUUUUCUUUUUUCGAAAUUUUUUUUGGUUGAGUAAUCGCUGCCAUAGUCAUCCAAUCUGCCUUUCCAAUACAAUUUCUGUUGAACAGUCAUUGAUGUUGUCUUCUGUAGGAUGAGGAAUCUGAUAAUAUCGCCUGUGAGAUGGGAUGAAUUGUUUAGAAGAUGAUGAAAUAUCUCAGAUGACGAAGAUGUGACCUAUUAUGUAUGUUAUUGGAGUCUUUAAUUUUUAUGUCCUGAACAGGAGUAUUGGAUACUUUGAGUUUUUAUUGUUGCUAUUAUUGGGUACUUUUGGCAGGUUCUAAGAGAUGAUCUCUGGUCCCGCUUUGCAUGCCGGGAUAAAGUUACAACCUGCAUGUCAUAAAUUGGGAGAACUCAACUAAUGAGGAUGCUACAUUCUAAGCUUUCCAGCCAGCAACGUGAACAAUCUACUAACCCCAGCUUGUCUUCAGUAGCCAUCAGUCACUCCGACAAAAGGCUUGUGCUGUGAAAAUCUCAUCAUAGAAGCGCUCAUAAAGCAAUCCAGACGCAUGCUACAGUCGUAAGAGGCUGCCAGAUCUGCUGAGCGAUAGGCUAAUAGUAUUCUGCUUAAUUAGGUUCAAUAUAGACUUGCAUGUGAAUUUUGCUCUUGCCCCAUGGCUGGGCUUGGAUCUGCAGCAGGGGCAUUAGGGGAGGCAGAGAUAGAUCAAGGACGUCCUAUUUUUGUCAUUCUAGUGAUCCUCCUAAGUUGAUUUUUACUUUCUGGAGGGGACAGCUUAAUAGGCUCUGACAUCAUAUCGGCUAUUCAGAGGACAGCUUGUGCAGAUAGGUAGAUGAUGAAAGUAUGCUGGAGUGAUUUUGUAUCAGUAAGGUUGCAGGCUAUGGAGUGAUAUUUACACUAUCACUACCAGGGCCAGAACAUUCCAAAACUGCAGGCAUUCGUUUGUUGAGAAGGGCAUAACCAAGUAUCCAUACCCCAACACCUGCAUCACAUGAUCUGGACAGCUCAAAUUUCUGCGACUUAACAAAUAUUUCUUGCACCUUCACACUUGCAUUCGCAGAUUCCAUUCGAAUUCAAUUGCAUCGAAUGUCACUUGUCUAUGCGCUCCGUAGUAUAUAUAGAAUGCCAGGAGUCGAGAAGGCUUUUUGACAGCUUGGUGAUGGACUCAAUGUCUUAAGCAUAAACACAUACAAUAAUAUGCUACCACAUAGGCAUCUUACGUUCUCCCCCACAUAAUAGAUGCAAUCGGACUGGAGGCGGCUGAGCGCCAUAAACCUGCGUAGGUCAUCUUAGAGGGCUUGGAACUUUAGCACUACCUUCCAAUCCUCGCCUGAAGCUCAGAAUGCAACAGUUUCCGACAUUUUUGCGGAGGUAAAGUUUUGGAAUUGAUGACUUGAGUACAACUUGGUGCUAGAGUUUUUCCUUGAGGAAUUUAUGUAACGAACGCUAAAUCUACGUCGCAAAAUUGAGAUGAUCGCCGGCCAAAAAUUCAUAGCGACACAAUGCCCUUGUCAGUAGUCGUCCAGCCAGUGGGCGCGCGAAGUCUUCACUUCUUGAUCUUUGUGGUUACCAUGUCUUUACACCAUCACAUGAGAUCCUUAUCUUUCAUAUGUUCACCCUUUUGAGACUCGGAACAACGUAUGUCUCAUGAGUUCUCCCAUGCGCAUAUUAAGAGUAUGUCCCUCAGCCGGAACCGUCCCUGUACCUCUCCCUAUAUAUAUUCCGAGCACCAGCAGUGCUGACUGGUCCAUGCACAUUAACAAAAUUUCACAAAUUCUCCUCCCCGCAAUGAACCAGAAUGAGUCUAAACUGGGUGAGCAUAGGCACAAGAAGAAGUCUCACCUUGGGGCUAGCAAAGUCGACGAGUCUAUUUUACACACGAAACCGGAUUUUGGAUUCUGCCUGCCCAAGACAGUUAACUGAGCCAGAGAUGAUUGCAUUCCCCAUCUCCAGAAAAUCUCUGUCGCUGAAGUAAGCAGAUGAAUCUCUUUAUGAACUGGCGUGGGCCACUGAGCCUGAUGGGUCCAACUGCUCUUUAGGCUUUCAGUCAAUCCAGAGCCUAAACAACCUAUAAUGAACCACAAGCUCACUGGUGCGCAGCCCUACCAAGAGUAAACUAGUUGGCAAUUGCGAUAAGAACUGUGCAUAAUUCUUCAAAUGUACGCACAAAAUCAAUCGAAGUGCAAAUGAGGAAUGUUACUGUUAAAACUCUCAUUCAAGAUGGCUCACUCAAAUAUGCAAAUUACGGUCGACAAUAUGCCCUCAAAUGCUGAUCCCUCUUGUGUGUUGUCCCUUCUCCUGGAAUCCGAAAGCCGUUAGUUCGUAGCUCCUGUUAAUUGCCAGUUUUUCCAUACAGAAACAUUCAAGAAGUUCGAAGGUUCAAAGUCAAUAUACACUAAAUUAAGAAUUAGAGAAAAAAUAUAAAGUUUUAUUAGAAUGGAAAGUGCAAUUUCUAGUGUACAAAAAUUAGUAAUAAAUAAUGCACGUGAAAUAGUCACUAUUCGUAAGUUUACAUAUAGAAAAACAGACUAAAUGAAGAACAACCCUACAAUAACCAACCAGAAUUUGUUUAAAGUUUUGCUGGUCAGGCCCAGAUAGAAUAAGUUAAGAGAGAAAUAUAAAGUAGACGCUUUCUUAUUUUAUUUUUUUCUCAUGAUAAUCAAUUUACACCUAAUAAAUUUUAUUAAUGAUAAGUAGAUAUCUUAUAAGAAUAUAAAAUAAAUUUUCAUAUAUCAAAUAUUAACAAUUUUGAGAGGGAUGCUUAAAAAAGAAUUAAACCCAAUUUUCCAUCUCCUGAUCUAUCUUCCCUCCUUCAGGAAUGCGCUUCGACUUAACCACUCAUAUCCCUUGGCUAUCCGUGUCUCUCACAAAUGCAUAGUUGAAGACUUGAGCAAGAGUGAACAUCGUUAUAUAUGAAGCAUACACACUAACUCAGACAGAACUUCCUUCAGUGCUAGACGUGAGAAAUGAAACCCUCAUAUAAUAGUUAGAAUCCAAAAUUAUUACAUUAGGAGCUUUUCAAUUGACGCAGUACGAGCCUAGACGAUGCGGCCAUAUUGGUGCUGAACAAACCUCUGAAAUCAAUGCCCUUGAUUUUGAAGCCCGAAGCUCAAAACUUGGCGGAGUAGCGCAUCAGAUUCCUGCAAUUUCUGAGUGUUAAUACCUCUCGCGUUCUGUCUAUGAGAUUUGUUUAUCCCAACUUAGAUCACCUUGGCGAGCUUUAAUCUGCAGACUAUUAUUGAGUCUUUCCUGCGUUCGACCUCCUCGAAACCUAACUCGCUGGUGUGAAAUACUGCAAUGAUAUUCUUCAAACUGCGAUGCAGCCGCUGAAAUUGAUUCAAAACUUUUGGUACUUAGUUCUUCGGUGCAUUAAUAAUUUGGCUGUAGGGCUUUCAUUAUUUUAGGACUUUCUAUUCCUGCAUCAACGUACUAUCUUGGAGCUCAAUGGGAUGAAUCUCUCGAUAAUAUGGUCGCCUAUCUCUAGAUCCGGACUAUUGGUGUAAAAUACUGAUUUAAUCUCGGGUAAUUUCUAUAGGUUAGUUAGACACAAAUGGUCAAUUACACGUUGGCCAGGACCACGCGCUAGUACAAGCAUACAUUUCAUAAAUUCUCUAAGCCAUGCGUCGAUAGAGUCACCCCAGCACAGUGCAAGUAUCUUAAGGAUAUGAAUACUAAGUAGGCAAUAUGAAAGUGUGAAGCAAUGUGUGGGCCCAUAUGGUUAAUCUGAGAAUAGACAGACUCACCUCAGGUUCACCGAGUUUUCUAAAUCAAAAAUCGGGGUCGGUCGGUAUGUUGUCUUCUAGUAUACUAUUUUCUAAAGCGUUUGUUGAAAUAAAGACACUGACCGGUGAUAUAGCAGGAGCAAUUCAAGAUCUAAUGAAGUGCAGGAAUGAAAUUUUUAACAGAGGCUGACAACUCAGAGAGUGUGAGUCUUUCUUGUAUACAACGAAUACUGAGCGAUUCGACCUUUCUAUAUAAAUGUAUCAAGCCAUUCACGACGGGUGACUCAAAAAGAUGUCGUAAGACCGUCUGGAGCUCCGAGAAUUCGGAUGAUGAGGACAUAUUUCAAAUAAUACUCAAGAGGGCUAAGUCAGGAGAACACUUGAAAAGAAAGUUAUUCUGCACUUUUCCAUGCUAUAUCUGUGCCAACUGCAAGUUUAAACAUUCCCGCUUACAAUACGCGCCCAAAUCAGCUCUGAUGGAAAAAGUUACUUUGCGGGGCACGAAUGUUUGUAAAGAGCUCGCAUGGAAAUUCGCGCAGUGAGUUUAUCGAAGAAGCGAGCGUGUACUUAUUCAUCGCUACGUUCAGCACCUGGUCCAUCUCUGGGCGAAAACUCAUCUUACGGGUAUUUAAUCGAAAGUGAGGCAAUUUAUCAGAGGCGUUUAUGAAGCCUGUCUGUCACAAGCCCAAGUAAGUAAAUCUCAAGAACACGCACCUGGUCGUGCUCAGUCUUUGCAGGUACUGGCGUUCGCUGAGACACACGUGUCCUAACUACACUUUGCUUCAGCUCUUUUAGAUUACAUAUUUGGAGCUAAAAUUGCGUACUUCACUACGGACAGAGAGUUUGUCGGAGGAUUUUUCUGGAUAUGUAAAUAUAAUGAAGUAUAUAUUGAGUCUAAGCUUCCUACGCUCAUCUAUUGGCUGUUUACCGACAAACCGCGUGUGAAAGUAGAUAUAGUUCAGGUUUACCCAAUACCUGAUGUAUUAAAGUAAUGUUUUAUCUCUUUCUCUGUGUUACGUAAGCCUGUUGUCCAACCUCUCUACCCCUCCGUCCAAUAUGCAAUGUCUGAACAUACUAUUACUGCUUAAUCUUCAUAUCUACUCGAGAAUGACGCGCUUUUCUCUCUCCCUCAAAGACGUAUAAAGAACCUUCGUCGGAGUGAUGAUCAGUUCAGUCUUUGAAUCUUUAGUUGUCACUUUGGGUGUCCUCUGCUGCAAAAUACUAUUAUCGACUCACUCUCCUAGCGCACGAGAGGUAUCAUCAGUUGAGAUCAACCAGAGUAUGGUUUAAAUUGCUCUUUCUGAAUCGAGCCAUAAUUCUUACAAUCAUGUCUUUACUCCCUUUCCCAUUCUCUCUGUUUUCCGCUUUUUACUCUUACCCUGUACAAACUUCUCACAGGAUAGAGAGGUCAAAUACAUAUAUGCCAGGAAUACUCUCCCAGCUCUCCAAUAUACUUCGGACGACCAACAUUAUUUCCUGCGUCCACAUGAGUUGGACUAUCUGGACUGUUAUCGAGGUACAAGUCGGGCAAGAGGUGAAAAUUUGUGGAGUAGCAUGCAGACAGUUAAUGUGGAUACAAUCGUAGCAUGACUAUCACGCUAAAAUAAGUAGAAAUUACCACGAAGAAGAUAAUGCUUAUUAACUAUCUAGCGAACAAGCAUUGCCUCAAGCCAUAAGUGAGUGUUUUGAGCUGAGAUCUGUUGAUAUUCUAAUGACUGAAACUUCGCUCUACAUUCUGCUGAGAGGACGAGAGACGAGACCGAACAAUUUGGCAGUGACCUGUUGCACGAUGAAUCAGUCAUAUCAGUCAAAGAGGAGUUCUGAGGCGAAGAACUCAUGCAGGAAGAUGCUUAUGGCAAUGACCAACCAGCCUCGCCAGAAAUGGAGACUCCAUAGAGCGAGGAAAAUGGAUAACAUUCUUAAAGCUAUGGAGGACAUAGUGACAACAACAUAUCAUCGUUCUGUGCUCGAAAUCCUUCAAUGUGCGCGAGUGCGCUUCUCUGUUCAAAGAAUUUGCAAAAGUUGUUCUAGUUCUAUUGAUCAUCAGUGUAGCACAGUUCUUCUUGUGUUUAUAAAUUUGUAGGUUUGCGUCGAUGAUUAGAUAGCUCGGUUUGUGGAACCUCCAACGACUCUCAUGGGGUCGACUUGACUAGGCGUUGUUAAGGGCUGACAGCUUUCUCACCAACCCUUAAUCAAGCCUUAAGAUUUCAAGUCACCAACUGGCAAGAAGAGAGGCCCACGCAUCAAUUCUUGACAUAGAGCCAUCUUACCUUUGACGCACACAAGUCUGGUCUCAUUGACUUGGUGAAUUAAUGCAGAACCUCUGGUUGUAAUCUCACAGACACACUAAUCGGUUCACCGUUUCUUCGUGCCUUGUCUUGUGGCCCUUUCGAUUUAACCUCUCUCAGAAGAAUCAAUGCAUCAGACCCUGAAGAAGUUUCCGGCCAAAUUCAAGAUCAAGCCUCGACGGCCCUUGAGGAAAUCACAAGUCCGAUUCAAGAUCAAGCGUCCACCAUAUUUGAAUCAAAUCCAGUUCAAGAAUAAGCUGUGGAAAAUCAACAAUUGGAGGAAUCCAAAAAAUCCUCCAACCCAGUUCAAGAUCAAAGCUGUGGAAAGUCAACAAAGCGCAAAAACAAAUACGUGCCGAUUCAUCCACUACCAAAACCAAAGAUCAUCUACCACAUAAAGCUCCUUGUGGUCCAAUUUCAACCUUCAAGAUCAAGCCUCGACGGCCCUUGAAGAAAUUUCGAACAAAGUCCAAGAACAAGCCUCAACGGCCCUUGAAGAAAUCUCCAGCCCAAUUCAAGAUCAAGCCUCGAUGGCCCUUGGAUUGACAACUACAUUAACGGACUUCAAAACGCAUCUCCUACAUGUAACAAGCACAUGUAUACAACGCGCCUUGAAGUGGGGGCAUUUGUAGACAUUGAAAUUUCGGUGGCAUAAAUGUUAGCCAUUGCAUUAAGAUUACAUUUGUAAACAUUGAAAUUUUGGUGAAAUAAAUGUUGACCAUUGUAUUAAAAUUACAACCUUCAUUCACUUCACCUCACCUACAUCAUAGUUUCACUACAAGUUCCACAGUUUCACCUACAAACAUCCACCAAGUUUCACCUACAACAUCCACCAAAAUACAAUCACCUACAACAUCCACCAAAACAAAUGGAUGGUGGUGAUUCGUUCCCAAAGCCUAUAAAUAGGCUCAUCCAUCAAAGAAUCAAUAAACCAAUUCACAAAUACAUUUCUCUACUCCCAAAAUGGAAGAGAAUACUCCCCACACAUCCAAAAUCCUUGAAGCUUUGAAACUCUAAAGCUUUCAAGCAUCCAACCUCCCAAAUUCAAGCAAAUCCCGAAGGAUCAAGAAAGCCCUCUUCGUUCUUCGUCAAAUCCUCCUUCAAGAUCAAGCCCUAACGGCCCUUGAAGAAAUUUCUCCUUCAAGAUCAAGCCCCAACGGCCCUUGAAGAACUUCCACCAAUUCAAGAUCAAGUCUCGACGGCCCUUGAAGAAAGUGUUCAACAAAUCCACACAACUGUUCAUCCUAAGAUCAAGCCCCGACGCCCCUUUUGGAUCAACAACAUCACCAAAUCCACAUAAAUGUUCAUCCUAAGAUCAAGCCCCAACGGCCAUUUGGAUCAACAACAUCAACAAAUCCACACAACUGUUCAUCCUAAGAUCAAGCCCCAACGGCCCUUUGGAUCAACAACAUCAAUAAAUCCACACAACUGUUCAUCCCAAGAUCAAGCCCCGACGGCCCUUGGAUCAACAAUCAUCCAUCUUCAAGAUCAAGCCCCGACGGCCCUUGGAUCAACCAUCCACCAAUUCAAGAUCAAGCCCCGACGGCCCUUGAAGAAAGCACCAUCGUUCAUCAUCCGUUCAUCCAAGAUCAAGCCCCGACGGCCCUUGGAUCAACAACAUCAACAAAUCCACACAUCCAACCGUUCUUCAAGAUCAAGCCCAAAAGCCCUUGAAGAUCCGUUCAUCACCGUUAUUCAAGAUCAAACCUUAACGGCCCUUGAAGAAACACUCAUCCUCAAGAUCAAGCCCCAAUGGCUCUUUGAAGAUCCGCUCAAAUCCACCUUCAAAGAUCAAGCCCACGGCCCCUUGAAGAAACUUCCAACAGUUCAUCCAAGAUCAAGCCUCGACGGCCCUUGGAUCAACGAAACAUCCAUAAAUCAACACCUUACGGAGAUCGAAUCAGAUGAUCAAAAUUGAGAGAGAUUGUAACCCAAAUCAAAAUCACAAAAUAUUAUUUUGUGCACGUUGUUCUUGUCUUUUUCGUUUCAGGAAUUUUCCGUGUUCACACCUGGCAAUUCCUGACACGACCUGAUAAUCCGACACGACACGACACAAAAUUAACAGAUGUUCGGGUCGACACGAUAACGAAUCGGGUGUUAUCGGGUAACCCGAUAAGCAACUGUUAAGAUAACGGGUUAGUUCGAGUAUACAUGUGGAUAACACGAUAAGCACCUGUUAAUAAUUUUAUAACGCUAAAAAAUACUAUAAUAAUUAUAUAUAUUAAUUUAACAAUUUUAUACCCCUAAAAAGUUUAAAACUAUAAUAAUUAUAUAUAUAUAUAUUAAAUUAACUAUAAUAAUUAUAUAUACUAUAAUAAUUAUACCCCCAAAAUAUUAACUAAAAUAAUUAUAAUAAUUAUAUAUACUAUAAUAAUUAUACCCCCAAAAUAUUACUAUAAUAAUUAUAUAUAUAUAUAUAUAUAUUAAGUUUUAAAUUAAAUUUAUACCCCUAAAAACUAUAAUAAUUAUACGUACAAAAUAAAUAGAUUUAAAUCUACAUAAUAUAUAUAUAUAUACACACCAUUGAACUUGAUGGAAUACACGAAACUAAUUUCAACGAUCCAACCAUUAAACUUGUUUGUAUAUGCUUCGAGAUCGCAUCAGCAAAAAAUUGCAAAAAACAAACAUUUAGAGAUCAAGUAACGAGACAAAACUUUUCGACGGUUAUAAAACAAAAAAUUACGAUUUAACAGUUAUUUUAACUCCGAUUUUGAUAUUUUUUACAGCUACACUCGUUGACCAUAUAUGAAUACAAUGAAUGAAUUCGAUUUUCAAUUUAAAAUAUUUACACUAGUGGAUACUACAAAAUUUUAUGUUAUACUUAAUGAAAAUAUAAAUAAACUCUAAGUGUUAGUGAAUCUAUCGUUUUGAUGAGAUACAAACUCUAUGAAACUAAUUUUAACGAUCCAACCGUCAAACUUGUUUGUAUAUGCUUCGAGAUCACAUAUGCCAAAAAUCACAAAAAAAAAACAAUCAGAGAUUAAGUAAUGAGACAAAACGUUUCGACGGUUAUAAAACAAAAAAUCACGAUUUAACGGUUAUUUUAACUCCGAUUUUGAUGAUUUUUUACAACGACACUCCUUGACCCUAUACGAAUUCAAUGAAUGAAUUGGAUAUUCAAUUUAAAAUAUUUACACAAGUGGAUAUCACAAAAUCUUAUGUUAUACUUAAUGAAAGUAUAAAUAAAAUCUAACUGUUAGUGAAUCUAUCGUUUUGAUGAGAUAUGAAUUCUAUGAACCUAAUUUUAACAAUCCAACCGUCAAACUUGUUUAUAUAUGCUUCGAGAUCGCAUACGCCAAAAAUUACAAAAAACAAACAUUCAGAGAUCAAGAAAUGAGACAAAACAUUUCGACGGUUAUAAAACAAAAAAUCAUGAUUUAACGGUUAUUUUAACUCCAAUUUUGAUGAUUUUUUACGACUACACUCAUUGACCCUAUAUGAAUACAAUGAAUGAAUUUGAUCGUCAAUUUAAAAUAUUUACACAAGUGGAUACCACAAAAUCUUAUGAUACACUUAAUGAAAGUAUAAAUAAACUCUAAGUGUUAAUGAAUCUAUCGUUUUGAUGGGAUACGAAUUCUAUGAAACUAAUUUUAAAAAUCCAACCGUCAAACUUGUUUGUAUAUGCUUCAAGAUCGCAUACGCCAAAAAUCACAAAAAACAAACAUUCAGAGAUCAAGUAAUGAGACAAAACUUUUCGACGGUUAUAAAACAAAAAAUCAUGAUUUAACGGUUAUUUUAACUCCGAUUUUGAUGAUUUUUUACAACUACAAUCUUUGACCCUGUACGAAUACAAUGAAUGAAUUUGAUCGUCAAUUUAAAAUAUUUACACAAGUGGAUACCACAAAAUCUUAUGUUAUACUUAAUGAAAGUAUAAAUAAACUUUAAGUGUUAGUGAAUCUAUCGUUUUGAUAUGAUACGAAUUCUAUGAAACUAAUUUUAACGAUCCAACCGUCAAACUUGUUUGUAUAUGCUUCAAGAUCGCAUAUGCCAAAAAUCACAAAAAACAAACAUUUAGAAAUCAAGUAAUGAGACAAAACUUUUUCGACGGUUAUAAAACAAAAAAUCAUGAUUUAACGGUUAUUUUAACUCCGAUUUUGAUGAUUUUUUACAACUACACUCCUUGACCCUAUACGAAUACAAUGAAUGAAUUUGAUCGUCAAUUUAAAAUAUUUACACAAGUGGAUACCACAAAAUCUUAUGUUAUACUUAAUGAAAGUAUAAUUAAACUCUAAGUGUUAAUGAAUCUAUCGUUUUGAUGCGAUACGAAUUCUAUGAAACUAAUUUUAACGAACCAACCGUCAAACUUGUUUGAUAUGCUUCGAGAUCGCAUACGCCAAAAAUCACAAAAAACAAACAUUCAGAGAUCAAGAAUUGAGACAAAACUUUUCGACGAUUAUAAAACAAAAAAUCACGAUUUAACGGUUAUUUUAACUCCGAUUUUGAUGAUUUUUUCAACUACACUCCUUGACCCUAUACGAAUACAAUGAAUGAAUUUGAUCAUCAAUUUAAAAUAUUUACACAAGUGGAUACCACAAAAUCUUACGUUAUACUUAAUGAAAGUAUAAAUAAACCCUAAGUGUUAGUGAAUCUAUCGCUUUGAUGGGAUAUGAAUUCUAUGAAACUAAUUUUAACGAUCCAACCGUCAAACUUGUUUGUAUAUGCUUCGAGAUCGCAUAUGCCAAAAAUCACAAAAAACACACAUUCAAAGAUCAAGUAAUGAGACAAAACUUUUCGACGGUUAUAAAACAAAAAAUCACGAUUUAACGGUUAUUUUAACUCUGAUUUUGAUGAUUAUUUACAACUACACUCCUUGACCCUAUACAAAUACAAUGAAUGAAUUUGAUCUUCAAUUUAAAAUAUUUACACAUGUGGAUACCACAAAUCUUAUGUUAUACUUAAUGAAAGUAUAAAUAAACUCUAAGAGCAAGUCCACCCCUAAGGACUUUGCGCCAGCACCCAGCGUAUUUAUCCACCCAAGUGAACAGUAAUAGACCCCAAUGAACAGUAAUAGGCUAAAGCAGCUCCACCCCUAAAAAUGGACUGGCACCCAGCCCAUCUAAUAUUAUAUUAUUUUAUUCAUAUCAAUUAAUAUUUUAUCAUUUAAUUUAUUUUUUCUUCCUUUCUUUGUCCGGUCCUCACCCUUUUAUUCUCUCUCUCUCUCUCUCUCUCUCUCUCUCUCUCUCUCUCUCUCUCUCUCUCUUUUCCAGCUCACUCCCGUGAGCUCUCUCUCUCUCUCUCUCCUUUUUCUCCAUGUUUUCUUCUUCAAAUGAGCACCCAGCACCUGAAAUGGACCUCUUCCCCCAAAAAUGGGAGGUCGCCGUGGAGGUGCUCCACACCAACGGUUGGGAUCUCGCCGGAGCUCCACACAAACGCUCACAGGCACCUCGUUGUCGUCUCCUCACCGGAGCUCGCCAUGGAGGUGCUCCACACCCACGGAGUCGGAUCUCGCCGUGGAGGUGCUCCACACCAACGCUCCUCGAAAAAUGGACCUCCUCCUCCUCCGCAUUACCCGGCUGGCGUCAGCAUGAGUCAGAUGUACCGGGCAACACCUCAGUCAAUUUUGGACUGGGCUACAGACCAGCUUGCGCUGGGUGCCAGUCAAUUGGGUCGGGUGGAGGGGUUUCACAGGGUGCUGGGCAGUUUUUUCAGCUGGGUGCUGGGCAAAAUGCCCUCCGCUGGAACUGCUCUAAGUGUUAGUGAAUCUAUCGUUUUGAUGAGAUACGAAUUCUAUGAAACUAAUUUUAAUGAUCCAACCGUCAAACUUGUUUUUUAUUAGGCUCUUAUUUUCAUGUGUAGAUGUAGUACUUAAAUGACAAAUAUGUUUUAAUGUUUUGAAGUAAUAUUUAUGUGGUCAAACUUGUUUUUUAUUAGGCUCUUAUUUUCGUGUGUAGAUGUAGUACUUAAAUGACAAAUAUGUUUUAAUGUUUUGAAGUAAUAUUUAUGUGGUAAUGUGUGGUAUAUGCAAAUUUAAGAAAAAAAUAUAUUUUUCUUAACGGGUCAUAAAGGGUCGGGUCACUUUACCCAGGGUCGGGUCACUUUACCCGUUGGGUAAAGUGACCCGACCUGUUAAAGACCCGUUAAGAUAACAUGUGUGACACGACACGACCCGUUACGAUGACAGGUGUUAUACGAAAACGACACGAACACGACAGACACGACCCGUUUGCCAGGCCUACUUCUAUGACAUAUUAAAUACCUCCUUGAGCACAAAAAUAGAAAGAAAGGAGGCAUAACAUAUAAUAACUCUAGUUUGGGCUAAUUCAUUCACAUACUAAGUGUCAAAGAGGUUAAUAUAUAUAUAUAUAUAUAUAUAUAUAUAUAUAUAUAUAUAUAUAUAAUAUAUAUUUUUUUUUUUUUUUUUUUUGGUCGAAGAGGUUAAUAUUUUUAUUGGAACUAAGACUUCUGUUUUAAACAAAAGAAGAAAACACGCGGCAGACAGAAAAACAUAAAGUGGAGUACUUACAUCAGGCCAAGAAUCGAUAAUGAGCUCUGCAAUUCAUUGGCUAUAUCUCAUUCCACAUCAACUUGUUCCUUCUCAGUUGGCCGCUAAAACCAACCAUUCCAAUUUAAUUAUAAGAAAUCAAUAGGAAGGCUAGUAAUUUAUUGUCAAAGUUCACCGUAUAUAGAUUUCCUCAGAUAUAAUUCAUCGUAUAUAGAUUUCCUCAGAAAUACGAUAAAAUACAAUUACAUUAAAUCUAAGGGUUGAAUUGCAAACUCAAGCAUUUCCUUGUAAAUAAAAACUAAUAAUAGCUCAUGACAAAAAAUUUACAGAACACAUAAAGUAGAAACAUUAGUACCUAAUUAGACAUGAAAAUUACAGAAUAAGCCGGAUUAAGCCAUCUAAAAACAGAAUAAGCCACUCAGUACUACGAUGGUCUAGUGAUAUUUCUCUUCACUUUGAAGUGAGAUGUCGUAGGUUCGAAUAUCGUGGAUGGUGAAUUCGAUAUCAAAUUAGGCUGUCUAAUGUGUGACUUAGCCAAACUUCCCCUCCCUUGGUAUAAAAAUACGAUGUACUAAAAAAAAAAAAAAAAAAAAAAAACAGAAAAUUAAUACCACCAUAGCGAAAUACUACAGAAUAAUCUAAUUAUUUAUGCAUUUGGCAAGUUAAAAUAAUUAACUAAAAAACUUGGAGCAAAACAACACUUUAAUUCCAUGGUUGGUUUUAUAUAUGUGUUUGGGCCCAAAAUAAUAGUUUGGGUCGAGUUUAGUGACUCUUGGCGUAGUAACCAUUUAGGGUGUGUUUGUUGCACCAAACUAUCUCGAACUGGACUUAGCUCAUGGACUAACCUAGAUUGACUUAGACUAGAUUAAGCUGGACUAACUUAGUGAAGCGUUUGUUGCAGUGUCAGACUAAAAAGCUGGACUAACAAUAAAUUAUUAUUAUAUUCUAAUUUUUUUUAUUAAGAAUAUCAAAAUUAAUAGAUUAAAGAAAGAGGAUAUCUUCUUCGCCAAUUUCCUGGUGUUCCUCAACACCUUGGAAGUUACAAAAUUUCCAAUAACAAAAGGCUUAAACUUGAUCUUGAAGAUAAACCUCCGCUGCUAAAGACCCAAUUCCCAAAUAUUUUGAUUAUUACAAAUAAAAAGUACCCAUAACCCUAAAAAUACCCAAUCUUCAUCCUUCUCACCCUCAGAUUCCUAUACCCAUGGCCAUGUAUGCGACUGAAGAUAGACAUCGACCACUAAAGGCCGUCGUCGAAGAGUCGAGCUUAAUCAUCCAAAGAAAUCGCCAGAUUAUAUAAUCGAUUCGGUUUGAGAUUUGCAUCGAAUGCGACCGCUAAGAGGAACUCAUCAAUUAAUUUCCCAACGAGCUUGAUCUAGCAGAGAGAGGUAAAGACAAAGAUAGAUGAGGAAAGACGAAGAAGGAGGUAGCAAGUGAGGAAAGCGAAGAAGAAGGCAUAUCGUAGUCCUUGGCAAUCCCAUGGUUUAACACGAGACUAUUUUGGACAAUCUAACGAGGCUCGGAGUCCACACGAGUCCGGGCUAGUCUCAUUUAAGUUAGUCCCCAAGCAUACCAAACAUGAGACAAUAAUCCUAGCUAGUCCAGUCCCACUUAAGAAGGUGAAACAAACACACACUUAGAGUCCUAUCAUGGGCCGUCCAAUCAUCAUCGACCGUCUAGUUAAGGUUGGCCGAAUCCCAUUGCAAAGAGGAUUGGUUUAGAUAAAAAGUAUACUCUAAGAGACGAGCGAUAAUAGUGCUAUACAUACCAGGUUGCUCAAACUACUGGUCAAUAAAGGCCACGAAGAUGGACCCGUCGAUCGUUCCCGACAGCCCUCACUUAAGAAUAAUUUGCCACCAGUGAUACAAGCCGAGACAAUAUAUGGUUGGCUCAAAAUGAUUGACUUAAAGAAAAGGGGUGGAUCAACUAGUAGAUCAGACAUAUUUGACCAAGGAGCGGAAACAACAUCUAUUGAUAUGGUCGAGGUUUAGAGAAUGAUUGAUUCGGCCCUAAAAAAAGGGCCGAAGUUUCCGAAAUUCAUUCACCCAUAUCCAGCAUUCGUAGAAAAGUUUGAAUACCCCAAGAGGUUCAAAAUUCCGGAUUUCAACCUUUUCGCCGGAGAGUCAUCCUUAUAGUCGUUAUAACAUGUAGCUCAAUUCACUGCCCAACGUAGGGACGUUAACAAUGAUUUUCAUAAGCUUCGACUGUUCAAUUUCUCAUUAACCGGCUCAGCAUUCGCGUGGUAUAUAAACCUUUCACCUAAUUCCAUCCAAAGCUGGGAGGAAUUAGUUAAGAAAUUUCAUGAGCAGUUCUAUCGACCAGGGAUGGAUGUGUCAGUAUUUUCUCUGGCCAGGAUGGCUCAAGCUUCUGACGAGUCGCCAAUGGAAUACCUUACGAGGUUUAAGUCGGCCAAAAACUGGUGUCGAGUAUCUAUCCCAGAAGUCGAGUUCGUUAGGCUUGCCUUGAAUGACCUAUAUGUGGAAUACAAAAAGAAAUUUUUGAGGGAAAACUUCGAGAUAUGUACGAACUGGCUUAACAUGUUGAGCAAUAUGAUUAUUUGCUACGAGAAUAAAAUAUUUGAAGCCCCUAUCCUGAGGAACAAUCUACAAGAACCCUACGGUCAGUUAUGCAUCGGUCGAAGGCGAAGAAUCCCAAUAUGCCAGUAUUGACGCGGCCGAGAUAGUGAUUGACAAGCCAUACAUAUGCAAAGCAUUGGCUUAUGCUAAUUCCAAGGAUGCCAAAACCCGCUCGGCCUCUGAAGAAGCUACCAUCAAAACAUCGAAAGUUUAUACUGUUGACAUUACCAAGGCCGACGCCAUCUUCAAGUAGCUGUUGCUCGUGAAAAUUAUCAAGCUUCGGUAAGGGCAUAACAUUUUCAAGGCUGAAGAUUUGAAAGGAAAAACAUAUUGCAAGUACCAUGACUUGAACAAACAUACAACAAACAACUACGUCGUAUUUCGUGAUGUCAUCUAGAUCUGGAUCGACAAUGGUAAGCUCAAGUUCCCCGAGAAACAAAUGGGCGCUGACACCGAUCAUUUUCCUACGGUGACAGUAAACAUGGUAGAUGUUCAUCUACCGAGGGAUAAAGGAAAAUGAAAAGCCGAGUUCGUUCCAAUGCAAUUCAUCCCAAAGCAGAACUCUCAACCACGAUUGAAGAUUGAUUUAUUUUCAAACGAGUACCCCAAGAUUUGAUUGGACCAACUAUUAUCGAGUCAAUGUCGGACUCCAGCACUGAGGAAACCGACGAGCCGAUAAAUCUUAUGUAGUCGGUGUAAAACAAAUGUCAUCUUAACUGAGCCGAAGAAAAAGCUAUUUCGAACUAAAAGGUCACGACAGGCAUCCACAACUGCAACACCAUCCCAAAAGGUACUUGGGGUAGGACAACACUAGAAAGUUUUGAUAGGCUCGGCCCGCAGGUACAAGACAAGAUGCCAUCUUCGGCCAGACGACACCUUGAUUUCAACGUGCAGUUUUACAACGAGGAUUAUUAUACGUGUAACUCUGGUAAUUCAAGUUCACCUGCGAACCAGUGUAUCAUCAGACCUCCUGAGCCACGUGAUCAACACUGGUAUACUUAUAACUCCCCUACCAGUGUAUACAUUGCGUUGUCCAAAUCGUUAAAACGUCGGAGCCAAAGAAUAGAUUGUAUAGCCCGCCGACGAGCAACUUAGGAUACCUCGGUUACCAAGUGGAAGCCGAAGGAAACGACCAAUAAUAAAGAUGACCGAUAACCUCCUGCGAUCAUGAUCGAGUUGCUCCAAGGGAAGAAAGUGAUUGAUCGUGACUUUGAAACCACGAUCGAAGAAUCCAAAAAGUGAAUCAAACUCCUCAUUCAACCUGAGGAAAUAGAAGCUCGCCUCGAGCACUUCCGGAAUGAGAUUAAGAGCAAACUUCCCCUGCUAUCUACACAAGAACCGUUGAUCAGAGUUAGAUAGAAUCUCCACCCACCAUUUCUUAGUGAAACUUUAGAAUACAUGCGAGAGUUUCACAAGAAGCAUUCGGCAAAUGAUUUAUACGGCUUGCCGAAAGCAUGCCAAGAUACUCUUGAUCUUGUUCUAACUUGCCCCGAUGUUGAAUGAAUCAUCCAAAAGACCUCAGAUCCGGGGAUGAAAGCUAGGUUCCAACAUAUACGAGAGCCUUGAGUUUUCGACUUCGAGGUAGAUCCAUAUAUUGAUAUUGACGCUGCCGAACUUCCUCUUUCGAUGACCUUCAAUAUUUACGAUACUAUUUCAAAGUCUUUUCAGAUGUUUCUCUCUUCGACCUUACUGUCGAUGAAAAGGAAUGCGUAGCACAAUUAGAUGCUUACCUUGACACGAGAGAUACUCGCAUCACAUAUCAGGAGCAAACUCAUAUGUCGUCACAAGACCAAAACCCAGUUUUAACACUGAACGAACCUGAGGUCAACAUGCAGAAUGAGAAGACUCUAGUGAACAUACCGCAUGAGCAUACCCCGGCGUCAGCUGAAAAAAGCAAGCAAAUACUGCCCAUACGUAGGACACCUCACCCGAAAGUCCAGAAGAAGAAGAUCAUGACCCGAUAGGUCAUUCGGUCAUCGACAACAGGGAAAUCAGCAUGGUCUAUGUUUUACCUACCGAGUUCCAACCAACCACAUCCCAACCAAAUUUCCUGGACAGCAACGUGGUUGCCGAGGAAGCCACGCAAGUUGAUUUUAUGGUCGCCGAAGAGAUUUAGCAAGCAACAAAAGAAGAUAAACUUAAAACAGUUUUUGCCGAAUUGUUUCCUCACUUUUCAUCAGUUAAUCUCCAUCAUCUUAAGCCGUUAUAUGUUAUGGCUCAUAUUGAAGGAUAUCCGGUCUUCAAAAUUUUCAUCGACUAUGGAGCAACGGUCAACAUCAUGCCUGUUGUUAUCAUGAACACAUUACGUCGUUCCAACGACGAACUUAUUCCAUCAGGGGUCACCAUGAGCAGCUUCGUCGGUGACAAAUCCCAGACCAAAUGAGUGCUUCCGUUGGAGGUAAUUAUCGUAGGUCGUAAUCACAUGACUGUAAUUUUCAUAGUCGAUUCAAAGACAGGGUAUAAUGCAUUUCUUGAUCAUGACUGGAUCUAUCAAAUGAGCUGCAUCCCCUCGUUAUUAUACUAGGUCAUUAUCUUUUGAGACGGCAAAUCGAUCUUAGUUCAUCUAGCCGACAAUUAGCCAUUCGAAGCAAAUAUGAUUCAAGCUCGUUAUUAUGACGAUCACGUCGGCUACAUCACCCUGCAAGCGUUUGAUGAGGAAUGACGGUCGACUUAGAUCUCAGUUCAGAAAGCCAUCGAGGUAAGCGCCGAGAUUGUUCAUUAAGAUUCGGCGAAACUAGGGUUGGCCGACCUAGUUGCCGAUCCUGAUGUCUGGUACCAAACUAGAUAGAUGCUGGGCCAUGGUUUCAUCCAUCAUAGAACGACUACUGGCGCAUUGGUAUGCUAUUUCUAGGUAGCUAAAUUCGGGUGUGAACUUGGUAGAGUUUCUCGCCGAAGGAAACAACAGUCCAGUUUUAUCACUUGACAAGAUUCAAGCUGCCAUGGCCGAGCUCGAAGACAGUCGGGCCCAAGUCAAAGAACCUUUAGAGGAAGUAAAUGUCGAAACGGCCGAAAACCCACGGCCUUUGUUUAUUAGUGCUUUGUUACCCCAACCUAUGAAAACUGCACUUUGUAAUUUACUCAAGGAAUUUAAAGAUUGUUUUGCUUGAGUUACCAUAAGAUGCCUAGUUUAGACCGAACGUUCAUCUAGCACGAAUUACGCAUCAAACCUGGUUGUAAACCGUUCCUCCAACCCCUCCCCCCCCCCCCCGACGAUUCUCGACCGAAGUACAACUUGGCAUAAAAGAUGAACUCGUUCGACUUUUAAAAGCUGGGUUUAUCCGGACAACUCGAUACAUUGAAUGGCUGGCGACCAUCGUCCUAUUUUUACAGAAAAGUGGUGCUCUACAUAUUUGUAUCAAUUUUUGAAAUUUGAAUUUGGCAACCCCUAAAGACGAGUAUACAAUGCCAAUUUUAGAUUUGUUAAUCGAAGUAGUAGUACACCAUGAGAUAUUAUCCUUCAUGAAUGGUCAUGCUGGUUACAACCAGAUUUUCAUUGCUGAGGCCGACGUCUAUAAAAUUACUUUUCGUUGCCCAUGGGCACUCGGGACUUACGAAUGGGUCGUCAUGCCAUUUGACUUGAAAAACACUGGUGCCAUAUGCCAACGUGCUAUGAAUACGAUUUUUCAUGUUUUAAUUGGUACCAUCAUCGAAGUCUAUUUUGAUGAUGUUGUAGUUAAAUCAAAACAUCGCCGAACACAUUUAGAUGAUCUUCGGCAGGUUUUCCUUCAAAUGCGCCAACAUAACCUUAAAAUGAAUCCUGCCAAAUAAGCAUUUGGUGUAUCGGUCGGCAACUUUUUAGGUUUUCUUGUACAUCAUCGUGGCAUUGAAGUGGACACAAAUAAAGCUCGGGUGAUCAUCGAUGCUCCACCUCCGACAACAAAGAAACAAUAACAAUCACUACUCGAUAAAGUCAAUUUCCUCUGCCGUUUCAUUUCUAACUCGGCAGGGAAGAUGAAAGCUUUCUCCACGCUCUUGAAACUUAUAGAUUCGGACAAAUUCGAAUGGCGUGAGGAGCACCAAGAUGCUUUCACGAAGACAGCCAACGGAUUCCUCGGCGGCCAAAAUAUACAACUUGAGUGAUUUACCGCGCCGAGGUGGCACAAUGACAUGUGGGUUAGUGAGGGAGACCCUAAUUUGUUUACUUUUAUUAAUUAAAUUCGUUUUUAAUUUAAGUAGGUUAUAAACUCAAUCAUCUCAAUUUCUACUUUACAAUAAUUAAUUGGAAUUUGGUUUGUUUCGAAUUAUUUAAUAAUUCCUGUGGAGAACGACCUUGCGAGAUCCGUUUAUACUACAAUAACUUUGUCAUUCUUACAAGUAUUAUAGGAGUUUUUAGCCCGUUUACGUGUGUAGUAAAAUCCGUAUCACCUUUCUUCAGACAGACUUUGAUCCCCCGCCAAAACCUGUAAGUGACACAUCAACUGGUAGAAGUGGCGUGCCUAUAGGUACGGUGGUUGGAAUUGUGGUUGGGGGAGUCUUAAUUAUACUACUGAUAUUUGGUGUUCAUUGGAAGAGAGGCCUCUUGGGGCAACAAAAGACAUUGGAGGAUGGUAUUAAUUUGCAGUUUAUUCUGUUAUACUGGUUUUUCCUUUUUGUUUCUCCAUUACUUUUUCUCAUCGACCUUUUUUCGUAACUAAUUAAGUACAACAUUUAUGCUAUUUUGCAUGGUUCUCCUGCAUAUUGACGUGCACUACAAAGACAGUAAUUAUUUAGAUAUUGAGCUUUCCGGCACUUUGAUGUUGCUGUAAUAUAUUUAUCUUCCAAACUCAUGAUGCAAAGUGUCUGCCUUACUUGUUAAAUUCUAGAAUCAGGCACAAAAUAUUAAGAACUAAGAAUGCUGUCGUUCUGAAAGUUUUCUUAAGACACAAUUUCUUAUGAGUUUUACUUGUUAUAUAGAUUUGAAGGGUGUGGACCUGCAAACUGGUAAAUUUACCUUCAAGCAACUCAAAGAUGCCACAAGCAACUUUAAUAGAGGCAAUAACUAGGUCUGGCAAACGGAUCGUGUCAAUCGUGUUCGUGUAACAUCUGUUAUCUUAACGGGUCGUGUCGUGUCACACCUGUUAUUUUAACGGGUCCUCAACAGGUCGGGUCACAAAACGCUUACAUUUUGCAUAUCCUUGCACAUUUAAAGUGACCCGACCCGUUAUGACCCGUUAAGAAAAAUAUUUUUUUUUCUUAAAUUUGCACAUACCACACAUUGUCACAUAAAUAUUACUUCAAAACAUUAAAACACAUUUGUCGCUUAAGUACUACAUCUACACUCGAAAAUAAGAGCCUCAUAAAAAAUACAUCCAUACACUACUAAUUUAUUACAAAUAUUAAAUGUGCAAGGAUAUGCAAAAUGUAAGCGUUUUUGUUUUCAAGGUUGUGAAGCCUUUCUCAAAAGUUUAAACCUUGCCAAUGGAACUCAAAGCUUAAUGAAACUGACCCACUAGUGUGUUUAUUCGUACUUUCAUUAAGUAUAGCAUAAGAUUUUGUGGUAUCCACUAGUGUAAAUAUUUUAAAUUGAAUAUCGAAUUCAAUCAUUGUAUUCAUAUAGGGUCAAGAAGUGUAGUUGUAAAAAAUCAUCAAAAUCGGAGUUAAAAUAACCGUUAAAUUGUGAUUUUUCGUUUAUAACCGUUGAAAAGUUGUGUCCCGUUACUUAAUCUUUAAAUGUUUGUUUUUUACAAUUUUUGGCGUAUGUGAUCUCGAAGUAUAUACAAACAAGUAUGACGGUUAGAUUGUUGAAACUAGUUUCGUAGAAUGCGUAUCCCAUCAAAACAAUAGAUUCACUAACACUUAAAAGUUUAUUCUUACUUUCAUUAAGUAUAACAUAAGAUUUUGUGGUAUCCACUAGUGUAAAUAUUUUAAAUUGAAGAUCGAAUUCAUUCAUUGUAUUCAUACAGGGUCAAGGAGUGUAACUGUAAAAAAUCAUCAAAAUCGAAGUUAAAAUAACUGUUAAAUCGUGAUUUUUCGUUUAUAACCGUCGAAAAGUUUUGUCUCGUUACUUGAUCUCUAAAUGUUUGUUUUUUGCAAUUUUUGGCAUAUGCAAUCUCGAAGUAUAUACAAACAUUUUUUACGGUUGGAUCGUUGAAACUAGUUUCAUAGAAUGCGUAUCCUAUCAAAACAAUAGAUUCACUAACACUUAAGAGUUUAUUCAUACUUUCAUCAAGUAUAACAUAAGAUUUUGUGGUAUCCACUAGUGUAAAUAUUUUAAAUUGAAGAUCAAAUUCAUUAAUUGUAUUUAUAUAGGGUCAAGGAGUAUAUCAUUAAAAAAUCAUCAAAGUCGGAGUUAAAAUAACCGUUAAAUUGUGAUUUUUCGUUUAUAACCGUCGAAAAGUUUUGUCCCGUUACUUGAUCUUUGAAUGUUUCUUUUUUGCAAUUUUUGGCCUAUGCGAUCUCGAAGCAUAUACAAACAAGUUUGACGGUUGGAUCGUUGAAACUAGUUUCGCAAAAUGCGUAUCUCAUCAAAACAAUAGAUUCACUAACACUUGAGAGUUUAUUUAUAUUUUCGCUAAGUAUAACAUAAGAUUUUGUAGUAUCCACUAGUGUAAAUAUUUUAAAUUGAAGAUCGAUUUCAUUCAUUGUAUUCAUAUAGGGUCAAAGAGUGUAGCUGUAAAAAAUCAUCAAAAUCGGAGUUAAAAUAACCGUUAAAUCGUGAUUUUUCUUUUAUAACCGUCAAAAGGUUUUGUCCUGUUACAUGAUCUCUGAAUUUUUAUUUUUUUGCAAUUUUUGGCAUAUGCGAUCUUGAAGUAUAUACAAACAUGUUUGACGGUUGGAUCGUUGAAACUAGUUUCGUCGAAUGCGUAUCCCAUCAAAACAAUAGAUUCACUAACACUUAAGAGUUUAUUCAUACUUUCAUCAAGUAUAACAUAAGAUUUUAUGGUAUCCACUAGUGUAAAUAUUUUAAAUUGAAGAUCGAAUUCAUUCAUUGUAUUCAUAUAGGGUCAACGAGUGUAGAUGUAAAAAAUCAUUAAAAUUGGAGUUAAAAUAACCGUUAAAUCGUGAUUUUUCGUUUAUAACCGUCGAAAAGUUUUGUCCCGUUACUUGAUCUCUGAAUGUUUGUUUUUUUCAAUUUUUGGCGUAUGCGAUCUCGAAGCAUAUACAAACAAGUUUGACGGUUGGAUCGUUGAAACUAGUCUCGCAAAAUGCGUAUCUCAUCAAAACAAUAUAUUCACUAACAAUUAAGAGUUUAUUCAUAUUUUCAUUAAGUAUAAUAUAAGAUUUUGUGGUAUCCACUAGUGUAAAUAUUUUAAAUUGAAGAUUGAAUUCAUUCAUUGUAUUCAUAUAGGGUCAAGGAGUGUAGCUGUAAAAAAUUAUCAAAAUUGGAGUUAAAAUAACCGUUAAAUCAUGAUUUUUCGUUUAUAACCGUCGAAAAGUUUUGUCUCGUUACUUGAUCUCUAAAUGUUUGUUUUUUGCAAUUUUUGGCGUAUGUGAUCUCGAAGUAUAUACAAACAUGUUUGACGGUUGGAUCGUUGAAACUAGUUUUGUAGAAUGCGUAUCCUAUCAAAACAAUAUAUUCACUAACACUUAAGAGUUUAUUCAUACUUUCAUCAAGUAUAACAUAAGAUUUUGUGGUAUCCACUAGUGUAAAUAUUUUAAAUUGAAGAUCAAAUUCAUUCAUUGUAUUCAUAUACGGUCAAUGAGUGUAGCUGUAAAAAAUCAUCAAAAUCAGAGUUAAAAUAACCGUUAAAUCUUGAUUUUUCGUUUAUAACCGUCGGAAAGUUUUGUCUCGUUACUUGAUCUGUGAAUGUUUGUUUUUUUGUAAUUUUUUGCUGAUGCGAUCUCGAAGCAUAUACAAACAAGUUUGACGGUUGGAUCGUUGAAAUUAGUUUCGUAUAAUUCGUAUCCCAUGAAGUUCAGUGGUGUGUGUGUAUAUAUAUAUUUAUUUAUUUAUUAAGUAGAUUUAAAUCUAUUUAUUUUGUAUGUAUAAUUAUUAUAGUUUUUAGGGGUAUAAAAUUUAAUAUAUAUAUAUAUAUAUAUAUAUAUAUAUAUAUAUAUAUAUAUAUAGAACUAUUAUAGUUAAUAUUUUGGGGGUAUAAUUAUUAUAGUAUAUAUAAUUAUUAUAAUUAUUAUAGUUAAUUUAAUAUAUAUAUAUAAUUAUUAUAGUUUUUAGGGGUAUAAAAUUGUUAAAUUAAUAUAUAUAAUUAUUAUAGUAUUUUUUUUAGGGUUAUAAAUUAUUAAAUUAAUAUUCUGCUUAUCGUGUAUCGUGUUACCCACGUGUAUACCCGAACAACCCAUUAUCUUAACAGGUGCUUAUCGGGUUACCCGAUAACGACCCGCUUCGUUAUCGUGUCGACCCGAACACCUGUUAAUUUCGUGUCGUGUCGUGUCAGAUUAUCGGGUCGUGUCAGGAAUUGCCAGGCCUAGCAAUAACAUUGGUGAAUGUGGUUUUGAUUCUGUUUAUAAGGUAUUCUUUGGAGCAAAUAAUUUAUUUAUUGAUUAUAUAUUUUUUUCUAGUUUGACACUGUCCGUUCUAAUGAAAGUUAAUUUGCUCCAUAGUGAUGCGAAUUUGACUAUCUUUCUUAAAUGUAGGGCAUUCUAGCAGAUGGCACCGUAAUAACUAUUAAGCAGCUGUCUUCCAAAUCAAAGCAAGGGAAUCAUGAAUUUGUUAAUGAGAUUGGCAUGAUUUCUGCUCUGCAACACCCUCAUCUUGUCAAGCUCCACAUAUGUUGUAUUGAAAGAAAUCAAUUAUUGCUUGUCUAUAAGUACCUGGAAAAUUAUAGCAUCGCUCAUGCUUAUCUUCAGUAAAUAUUAGUCUUGUUUGCCAAAAGUUCAUUUCAUCAUAUAGUGGCAUAAAAGAUCUUAUGCACUAAAAAUAUGUCCCUUACAACUAACUUUGUUUAAUUUGGCAAAUUGAACGGGUGAAGAAAGUCAUUAGAAGUUGGAUUGGCCAACAAGGCACAAGAUUUGUAUUGUUACAGCAAGAGGUUUGGCUUAUCUUCAUGAGGAAUCAAGAUUGAAGGUCGUUCAUAGAGACAUCAAGGCUACUAAUGUUCUGCUUGAUAAAAAUCUUAACCAGAAAAUAUCUAACUUUGGAUUGGCCAAGCUUGAUAAAGAGGAUAAUACACACAUUAGCACCCGUAUUGCUAGAACUUAGUGAGUCCCUAAACUUUUAUUUAUCUUCUUAUUCUCUUGUUUUGAUCUUCUUCCACCCUUAAAAAAGAAGAUAGAGCAAUGGAAAGUCUAUAACUUACAUAAUUUUCAACCUAACCAAAUCUUUGUUGUUCAAGAAAUUUCAAGGGCAGAUUUGUUCUUUGAAUAUAGUUGUAUUACUAUGUAUCUCUCUAACUAUUGCAUUAAUCUUAAGUAUUCAAUUAGCAAUAUUUUUACUAAUUAUUUUAGCUAAAUCUGGGUUAAUGAUGUGAUUUCAUGAUUUGCAGUGGAUACAUGGCGCCCGAAUAUGCAAUACGGGGUUAUCUGACUGAUAAAGCAUAUGUCUAUAGUUUUGGUACUCUCGUAUUGGAAAUUGUUAGCGGGAGAAACAACACAACUUACUGGAAAAAGGAAGAAAGCUUUUAUCUUCUUGAUUGGGUAACAUGAAUCCACUACUUCCUAAUUUAACUUCAAAUUUUCUUAAUAUACCUUAUAUAUGUGAAAGUACAUUUGAAUCGGUGAAGUUUAAACCAAAGACAGAAUUUAUAUUGCUUUUGUUACAUCCAUUUUUUGUAGGCACGACUUCUAAAAGAGCAAGGGAAUUUGAUGGACCUAGUUGAUCCAAGGUUGGAAUCAGACUUUAACAAAGACGAGAUGACUGUUGCAAUCAAUGUGGCUCUCCUUUGUUGCAAUGUUACUUCGACAGCUAGGCCUACCAUGUCUUUGAUUGUGAGCAUGCUCGAAGGAAAGGCUGUUGUUCAGGAGUUGGUCUCGGAUCCAAAUGCUGAGAGUAUUGAGAUCGAUGCAAUGAGGAAACAUUUUCAAUCUAGUUUUGGAAGGGGCAUGGGCGAGAAACAGAUAGAAACAGAGUCAAUUGAAGGGCCAUGAACUGCUUCGUCUGCGUCUGCUCACGAUCUUUAUCUCGUCAAUCCUGAUUCAAAUUACUGGGGGAACAGAAGCGAGAGAACUUGAGCUGCACGGUUAUCAGUUCGACUUAACCUUAGCACACUCAAAACAUAUCAGCUAAUAAAUCAUCUGUAUUUCCUCUAUAACUAUUUUCUUUUUUUUGUUUGAUAAUAUAGUAGAAAGCAUAAUUGAAGAAGUUUCUACAGCAUGGUAAUUGUAAAAUCAGUUCUUUUCAGUAUUUUGUAGUAUGAUAAAAUGAUUUUCUUUUCGAAUAAUCGAAUAGAGUAAGUUGGUUGAACACUAUACUAUUUUGGCUAUGUGGUGGUUUGUGAAGAGAGGAGAUAAUGUACACCAAAUUCGAAAAGGAUGGGAAUAGAGUAAGUUGAUUAAGAGAAGGAACUUAAAUUUAGUAAAAUCGGAAAUCAUUUGUGGAGGAUUUUUCUAUAUCAAUAUAUUGUUAAUAUACAAGGUAAAGCAAGAUUCAGAGGAUAUGCAUGAAAAGAAAAAUGAUACCUGACGUAAAUCAUUGCCAAAAAGAUAAACAAAUUGCCAAGUUUUCUUAAAUUUAGUUUUGGAAGUUCUGAAAUUUACUUCAAUUGCAUUGAUUUUGAUUGUACUAGAAUACAGGUAUAUAUAAAUACAAGAAUUCCUACUACAUAGGUAAUUGGUACAAACUAAGUAAUCAGCCUGUGAUGCUUUACCUUAUUAAGAACGCCCAACUUGCCUAAUAGAGAUUUAAAAUGUUCAUUCCCCAAAGCUUUAGUGAAAAUGUCGGCAAGCUGUGACAUGUUGACAACUUUUCAUUCCAUGAUUUUAUUUCCGACAAAGUAACAAUCAAUCUCAAUACGUUCAUGAAAUACUGAAUUUGCGGCAAUGUGAAGAGCAGCGUGAUUAUCACAAAACAAAGUUGCAGCCCCCUUGUUGCCAAGUUAUAGACCACGAAAUAGAUUUUGUAACCAAGCCAACUCGCAAUAGGCUGCUGCCAUGGAUCUAUACUCUGCUUCGGCAGAGGACAAAGAAAUUGUCUUUUGACGUUUGUUGUUCCACGAAACAAGAGAGUCUCCAAGAAAAACUCAAGAAUCAGUGGCGGGUCGCAGAGUGGUUGGCCAUCCUAUCCUAUCCAAGUCACAAUAUGCAUUCAACUUCAAAUCAUUUUCUGAAGAAAACAUAAUACCUCGUCCGGGUGUCCGUUUUAAGUAUCUCAAAAUCCAUAAUGCAGCCUCAUAUCAUGGCUUCCGAGGUGCUUACAUGAAUCUACUCAACAAGUGGACCAAGUACAUGAUAUUUGGCUAGGUAAUAGUGAGAUAAAUUGGACGACCAAUCAAUCUCCUAUAUUUAACAUGAUCAUUGAGAAUUUCACCCUCAUUAGGAGAAAUUUUUCAUUGUAACGAGAACACACGUGGUAAACCACGUGUCAUUGUGUAAGUGGUGGAAAAUUUUAUUUUUUAAGCUAUUACCUUUUUAACACACAUAUGAUAUAUCCUACCAUUUAUACAGUAACACGUGGUGUACCACUUCGUAUGCCGGUCACUCUGAAAAAUCUCUCCCUCAUCAGAAAGCAAUUUGAGAUUUUGCUCCAUAGAGAAAGUGCAAGGUUGUGAUCCUAAAAGACCCACAUCAUUGAGAAUAUCCAACAAGCAUUUCCUUUGUGACAUAAAAAUCCCCCUUUUUUAACACGCCAUUUCUAUGCCCAAAAAGUAUUUUAAAUUACUAAGAUCUUUGCUAUAGAACUUGGUAUUUAAAAAAUGUUUUAGACUAUUAAUUGCAGUUGAAUCAUUUUCUAUAAUCAAAAUGUCGUCAACAUAAAUAAGGGGUGAAGUAAAUGACUUGCCUUUGUGUUUAGUGAAAAGCGAAUAAUUUGCUUUUGAUUGAACAUAACCGGCGAACCGAAUGGCUUGCGAAAACUUGAAAAAUCAUUGUCGAGAGACUUGCUUCAAACCAUAAAGUGAUUUAUUGAGGCAACAUAUCAGUUUCUCCCCCUAUCGGCGAAGAUUGAAAGGUGGGACCAUGUAUAUUUCCUCCAUGAGAUCACCAUGAAAGAAGGCAUUAUGAACAUCCUAUUGAUGUAAAGACCAUGAAUAGGCGGUGGCAAGAGCAAUAAGGCAGCGGAAUGUGACCAGUUUGACAGUAGGGGAAAGAUAUCAUGAUAAUCAAUACCCUUUGAGUGUACCUCUUAGCGACCAAAUGAGCUUUGUAACACUUAAUACCAUUGGAUUAGUACUUGACUUUGUAGACCCAUUUGCAACCAAUGAGUGAUACUCCAUAUGUUGUUAGCCUUGAGAGCUUGGAUUUUGUCAUCCAUGACUUGAUUCCAUUUAGGAUAUGUGCAAGCUUCUGCUUAUGUGGUUGGCUCCAUAUGGUAGAAAUACUAGCAAGAAAGGUAGAAUAUAGGGGCAACAAGUGGAUACCUGGUACUGGAACUGGAAGACGAGGGCGUAAUGGGGCAAUGUAAGAGAGGGACAAACAUAGUCACUGAGCUUCGCAGGUGGAGUUAUGAGGCGAUUACAUCCUCGUAAAGGGAUAUCAGAGAGCUAGUCAUCAGGCUGCAUGGUAGGGAGCUGAUCAUCAGGCUGCGUGUCAGGGAACUAAUCAUCAAGCUUCGUGAUAGGGGCAAGGUGCUCAUCAGGUGACUACAUGUUAGAAAGCUGAUCAUCAGGAGCAAUAUCAACAGAUGUCUCGACAUUUUGUAGGGCAUUGGUGGGGUCAUGCAGUUUAUGAGAUAGUGAGCAAGGCUCAAUGCAUGGAUUGAAUAUAGGUGUCUGAUAGCUAUUUGUAAGGGGAUUUAAUUCUUUUUGGCCAUGAUAGGGAAACAAAUCCUCGUAAAAAACAUCUCGACUCGUAAAAAUAUGUUUGGAUUGAAGAUCAUAUAAUUUGUAUAUUUUUGUCCUAAAAGGUACCCAAUGAAAAUUCAGGAGGGUGCCAUCAGAUAAGCCCACGGUAGGCAAUGGUGGUUUAAAUGUUGCUUGGGCCAAUGGAAGACCUGAAACGUGGUAUGUUGCACCACUGUCUAAUACCGACUCGUUAGAAACCCUACCUGCAGCGGUGACUGCGUGGGCUUUGCUUUCCAGGCCUACCUUAUGGCUCAUCAGCGAUAAAAGUUACUGGAACUGCUUUUGAAUAAGGUUGGGCAUCAUGUCAGCACACCCUGUGGAUUAAAUGUUGUUGACCAAUGAAACCCCCCUCUGGAACUGUUACCUUUAGUUUUCUUUUUGUGAUCGCCAUCACAGGUUUCUCUGGAUUUUCCAUGAAGACAAUGACUAGGCAGAUAAUCGUGAAGUAUUUCCAGCAGGUGUCAAAGGUGUGAUGGUCAUGGUCACAGUACAAACAGUGGAAAGGUUUACGUUCUAUCGAUCGUUCCUUGCCAUUAUUGGAUGAAGACUGCACCGCCAUGGCUGCGGGUUCAAUCAAGGCUUGCACAAUGGUUAUGCCUCAUUGCUUCUCUUCCUGAUAAAAGAGAGAAUAGAUCUUGCAAAUGAACAGAAGGGUUGCAUUGUUGAAUAUCUCACUUCUAACUCAUCAUUGCUAGCUCAUCAAAACAGUUGUAAAUGAUUGGAUGAUGUAAUAGUUAGUUGAAAAAGUUAGUUAGAGUUUGUUGCUCAAAGCUUAUGAGCUAGGUCCUAUAGGCUAUAUAGUCAACUAUAUAUAGCUGUCGUAAACAUGAUCUUUUGUCAUGAUCUUAUCAAACAUGAAGCACGUGAUUCUGUCUCAGGUUUCUUUUGGGUAAAUGAUAUGGCAGGGUCUUGAAGCUUGAUUCAAUUGUGGGAGGCAAGUUAUGGAAAAAUAUUGAUGUGCUCAUCUUUAACACUUGGCAUUGGUAGAAUCGUAGAUGACCCUCUCAAUCGUGAACAUAUCUUCAAUUUGGAGAAACAGUAAUGUGUUGGCAACCAGCAACAUCUUCAGUUUGGAUAAACAGCACUGGAGCUGUAGAAUCAGCCGAUCGAGGAUCACCUUCAGUUUGGAUAAAUAACAUUGUUUUGAGACCAACUGGUUAUCUAUCCAAGUUUUGGCCAUCAAAGAUUUCCGAAUCUUUGUUGGAAGAUGUCAUCUCAUUAGCCUUCUAGGUAAAGUGAGGUGUUACAAGGUUACGACAUUCGGCACACUGAAAGUCAAAUACUUAUUGAACUUCGCAGAACUAGUAGCCUUGUCUUCAGACUCCAGAACCCAAAGGUCAAUAUGUGUUCCAUCCUCGACUGCAGUCACAAGAUUCAGAAGUCAUUAGCGCGCCUAACACCACAUUAACAUUCAUUCACUCCCCGGCCAAGCUCGGCCAACGAGUUGGCACGCCUUACAUUCAACUAAAGGAUGUAGUUAGCUUAUUAGCUAUUCGGCCUAUACACCACGUAGGCUAAGUAGUUUUUAAGGUGAACACCAUGGCAUCAAUCAAAUUAAUAGUCUCUUAUUUUCUCUUUUUUUUUUUAAUUUUAAUUUUAGUGGCAGUGAGUGGCAUGAACCAAGGGCAAGAAGAUGUGUAGGGCAGAAUGAGCCUUUGCUUAGGUCGACCUAUCCAGGAGCUUUGCCACCAGCUCUGGGUGCGCUGAGGAAUGUGUUAAGCACAAUAAAAAAGCUCGUGACAUUGCAAGAUAUAACAAGCCUCUCACUCAUGCGUAAAGAUGGACAUCCUUCAAUCUAUGGACUGGGAGGCCAAUAACUGCAAGCAAGGAAUGGAUGACAAUGGUAGCAAUAGCUGCAACAGGCCAACAUAUAAAAAUAGGAUAUUACUAGAGAAACUAAAUUUUUUAAAUUAAAUUUCAAACCAAAUGAUUUGUCAACAAUAAGAAACAAGUACGUUAAUAGACACUUAAUUAAUAAUCCAAUCAUCUACAACCACAUCAUUUAGUUUGCAAAUUUGGUUUUAAAAAAUUUAGUUUUCCUAGCAUUACUCUAUCCAUAAAGAUAACAUCUAGGGAAACCCAAUCGGUGAAGUAUAGCAAACAACUAUUCACUAAGGAAUGAGGAUCCUCUUCGAAUCCAUUUUGUGAGGAUCUCAAGAAUCAUUCAAUCACGUCUGUUCAUCGUACAUCGUGUGGUAACAAUUAUUGUAAAUUUUUUUAUUUAAAAUUAAAUAUAAAUAAUACCUGAUGAAAACUGGUAAUGUACAAUGAACAGACAUGAUUUGAGGAUUGCCGAGAUUCUCACAAAAAUUAUCCGGAAAGGACCCCCAUUCUUCACUAAGGAAUAAACUAGAAAUUAUAAUAUUAAAAUGCAUAAUGGUUACCAAGCAAGCAAAUUUAUUGGGACUUGGAUUGUUUGCCUCCCCAUCCCAUACCCUCCAUAUGCCCUUAUAUUUCUAUGGUCAUGGUUAAACCACGUUAACAUUUUAUAUUUGCAUUGCUUUUUGUUUUAUUAUUUUUAUAAAAAAAAUUAAUAUAAAAUAUUGACGUGAUUUAACCGUGACCACAAAAUAUAGGAGGGCAUGAGAAAUGUAUAGAAUGGGGGAGGACAGACAAUCCAAGUCCAAUUUAUUGGCCUUGAAGUACCCAUGCCUGCAGAAGACAGAACCCAAAGUAACUCGGGAACUCAAACGUGGCCAAUUCAUCCAAGCAAAACAAUUAAAGCAUCCAAGGAGCCGAAACGACAUCCCAUUACAACCAUUAAACAUCAAGGAGAAUGGAAAACAUAUGAACUUUUUUUAUGAUGCUUUAUGAAUGAUGAAUUGAAAUAUAAACGGCUCAUACCUUUGAAAAAAAAGAAUUACAAAAUGAAAACCACAAAAAUUGUGUUAAAAUGUGUGUCAAAUAUAUGAGGAUGUGUAUAUAUAUGCACACCCACAUAUACACACACACACUUAAACGUGUAGCACUGGGUAUAGGUAGCAAAAGGCCACUUGUGAUGAGUGCUUGAUUCUAAAAUGUAGUAUUUCUCUCAAACAUUUGACUAUUACUUUAGUCAUGGAAUGCUGAUCAAAAUGCAAUUAAAUAGUAUCACUUAGAAUCAUAACUCUUGGCUUAUAGUAUGAAAAAAUAACAGAACAUUUGUAUAUUGCUUGCAAGUAAUUAGCUUCAGUUAGUCAACUCCAGCAACUUGAUUAAGAAAGCAUGUACAUAGAGCUGCGCAAUUACCAUGUCCACAUUUCCUGAUCAGGAAAUUUCCCAUGCUUGGCUUAGUUGAAAAUAGCAGAUAAGUCAAGAGUGUAUUUUAAAUUACUGUUACUUAAUUAUUCUAAAGUUCAUAAUCAAUAUUAAUUACUAGCAGCUUAUUAUAUACUGUUGUCAAAAUCGUGAGUUGGACUGUUGGUAAGGGUUUUUAAUUAGGGAACUUUAACGAAAAGCACCCGGUACUGUUCAUUUUAACGAAAAACCACAUUUUUACACUAAAAAGUCAAUUUUGGUACUAUUCACUUUACCUUUUAUUUUGUCCUUAUCAUUAAAACUCAAAGUUUUCAAGCUCUUUUCAUUAGUUUUCCUUUUUAAUUAAGCUGACUUUGGGCCCCAAAUAAUAAAGUGUCGACAUAAUACCUGUUACUUCAACAACAACGAAUAUGAAAAAAAAAAAACCCUUGAUUGUCAGUUGCUUGUUGUAAAUAUAAUUUUUUAUGUAAUCUUUCGUUUUCUUCCUGCUUACGUCCAUUGUCAGCUAAACAUCAGCUCUUUGUUUUUGUUGUUAAAAAACGGCUUUCUAAUAUUAUAGAAUUCCCACUUGAUCUAACAAUUGGGAUAAUUAUUCGAAAGAAAAAAAUACAAUUGAGAUAAUUAUAACAAAUCAUCUCAACUAUUUGCAGUUUUACUUUAAAAAAAAAAAAAUCUCACAUACGUCUCAAUCAUCCAUAAUGAUCAGAUGACUAAAAUUUCACAUCCGUCUCGAACAACCAUUUAUGUUAAAAUUGACUAAAAUGCAAAAUUCUCAUAUAUUAGAGUCUUUAAAUUGGAUCCUCACUACAGAAUGUCACUUGGUUGUGUAUGCGUAUCUUUAGCUGAAUCUGGCCGGCCACAGGUAUCGGUCAAAAAAACAGGUUUUCAAAAUCUGUUUUUUAUGAUAUUGUUCUACUAGAAUUUGUCUUUGAUUAGUAUUGUCCAUAGACUAUGUUCGAGAGAGCUCCCAAACUUGACCUCGGGAGGCGUUCAGUGUUUCGUGAUACAAUAAUAUAGUCCAUACAAAUUUUCUUGCUGAUUAUAUUCCACAGUAUGAUCCAAUACUUUUUGGUAAUUUAGGUCAUGAUUAUCAAUUCAAUAACUCCCACCUUAUACCUUUAAAGCCAAAAGUAACAUAAGGGGCAGAUCCGUGUUAUCACAUUUUUACACAACUUUUUAUUCUUAUUUUUCGUGAGAAUCAUUCUGUAAUGUAUUUCAAUAAUCCGAACGUCUAUCUUUUAGGUUUUUCUUCAAAUAUCAUGUAUACCAAGAAUCACCUAAAUAUGAAAUCAUAUGACUGUUGAAUGUCUUCACAGUUUUAUAUUUGUCUAAUUUUUUACAAGAAUCAUCCAUGAAUGAUUUUCUAAAAAAAUAGACGUUCAAAUCGUUAAAAGUACAUUACAAAUUUGACCCCACAAAACCUGUGUAAAAAAUUAUGUAAAAAAAAUAGUGCCACGGAUUCGCUAUAUAUAUAUAUAUAUAUAUAUCCAUACAUUUUUUUUACUUCUCACAUACCUCUUAUUAAUUUCUGUCCUUUGAUAUAUAUAUAAAAAAAAUCUUCUUCAAUUCAUCCAAUCCGAUGGCCGAAAAUUAAAAGUGUGUGAGAAGUAAAAAGAAGUGUGUAAAUAGCACACAUCAUCUAAAAAACCAUUAACGAACGGGCCUGUAAUUCCAAAUUUACAAGUUUUUACUCCCAAAAGAGACAGAGCUUAUUAAUUUUGAAUUUUUUUAAUUUUCUGAUUGACUUGGGGUUGGGGUAAGUACGGAAUAUAGCGCUUGAUCUGUUGAAAUGUCCCACAUCGACCGUAUCAAUGAAAAAAGAAGAGUUUAAAUACCCUAAUCUCACUUUAACUAAUACCGAGGUCUUCUGUAAUAAAACCACAUAUCUGACGGAUUGUGCAUAUGGUAAUUACCAAGUUGGGGACAAUAUCGGUGUUGUUGGAAGUGGGCCGUGUGGUUCGUCUCUUUGAUAAUUCUACAUGGUAUCAAAGCCAAGAAGCUGGCAUGUACCGUACUGCCACGUGAUUGGUGGGUCCCCUUGGCCCCGCGCGAUGAUGGUGGGUCCCUUGGUCCCGCGUGUAGAGUGAGUCCUCUUGACUCCACGUGGUUGUCGAUGUGUGGAUCUCCCACGUGUGACCUGGUAAUUGGGUCCCACAUGAGGGGGGUGUUGAAAUGUCCCACAUCGACCGUAUCAAUGACAAAAGAAGAGUUUAAAUAUCAUAAUCUCACUUCAACUAAUACCGAAGCCUUUUGUGAUAAAACCCCACAUCUGACGGAUUGUGCAGGUAGUAAUUACUAAAUUGAGGACAAUAUCGGUGUUGUUGGAAGUGGGUCGUGUGGCCCAUCUCUCUAAUAAUUCUACAUGAUCACGGCUGAAUAGUCAAUUGGGUCCCACGUGAGGGGAGUGUUGAAAUGUCCCACAUCGACCGUAUCAAUGACAAAAGAAAAGUUUAAAUAUCAUAAUCUCACUCCAACUAAUACCGAAGCUUUUUGUGAUAAAACUUCAUACCUGACAGAUUAUGCAGGUAGUAAUUACUAAAUUGAGAACAUUAUCGAUGUUGUUGAAAGUGAGCCGUAUGGUCCAUCUCUCUAAUAAUUCUACAUGAUCACGGCUGAAUAGUCAAUUGAUCGUAUCAUAUACCAACGAACCUUUGCUUUUGAUUGAGUAGUUGUGAAGAAGUCAAGGUCGUGUAAGAUUAAUUUUCAAACUACAAUUAUUUAGCCUUCUAUCAUUCUGUGCCAUUCAUUUGUUUUAGCUAAAUGUAGACAUGCACUUAAUUUCAUGCCCGACUUUUAAAAAUGAAUAUGACUUUUCUCUUUAAUUUGUCGUGUCACCGGUUUAAAAGCUCCGAUCUUCACAGUGUAGCUUAGAUUAUUAAUAAUAACAUCGAUUGUAAUAAAAAUAUAUAUAUAUUCUCAAAACACAAAAAGGGUUAUUAAUAAAAAUAUAUAUAUUCUCAAAACACAAAAAGGGUUAUUUUUUUCAUUUUCAGAUUAUGUUGGACACGGAAUAGGAUCCUCUGGAUUUGUGGGGAUCUGAAAGAUCAAUUAAAUCGGUGUAUUGAGCAAAUAAUACUAGUUACUUCAACAAAAAAAAAAAAACAGUUACAACUAAUUAUUUUUGAUCGUCAGUUGCUAGUUACAAAUAUAGCUAAUGUCCUGUGACCUCGUAAUAUUUUUAUGAAAAUUUUCAUUUUCUUUGUCAACUAAAAAAAUACUCUUUAUUUUUGUUGUUAAAAAACAACUUUCCAAUAUUAUAGAAUUCCCACUUGAUCUAACAAACGCAUCAAAAUGAUACCUGAAAUUGAAAAUUGAUCAAUGUCGUCUAUGAAUAUGGAGAUUGUUGUCGGUGGCUAAGUUCAAAGAAGAAGGAGAAGAUGAGGAUUAUUAGUUUGUUGUUUUUCUUCUUUUUACCUUUUAAAUUUUUUGAAACACUUUAUUUAAUCCAUAUGUUAUCAUAUUAUUGGAGUGCAGAGUCUUAUGUGUGUCACAUAAACACAUAAUAGAUUUUUUUAACAGAAAUAAGACAGAAGACGACAUUGAUUUGCAACACCCAUAUUCAGGGACGAUAUUAUUCAAUUUUCAGCUUCAGAUAUCAUCUUGAUGUGAUGGGUCAAUUUCAGAAACCACUUAUAACAAAAAUGUAAUAUAAUAUAAUAACGUAAGUUUAACAAGUCACUACCUGUGAAACCAGUCUUUUUAACAUGUUACUAAGGAGCCUAUCUAUUGUCAAACGAUAAGAUAAUUAUAUUAAAUUUAACUAAAUUACGGCAAGUGGAAUUCAAACUUGGUGCAUAAUAAAACACAGUGAUGUAACUAGCUUGGCUAAACUAAAAUCUUCUAUUUUAAAUUAAUUCUUUUACAAGUAAUUUAUGUAAAUGUAUCUUUAAUUAUAUAAAUAAUUAAAUAAAAAUAAAUAGAGUAAGUGGUUGGGAACAAGGUCUAAAAUAUCGAUAUUAUCCCGAUAUUUCCAUCGAAAUUUUCAUGUUUUUGGACUAUCGAUAUUUUCGAUAUCAUCAAUAUUUUAGACCUUGAUAGGAACUCUAUGUGGUACUAAGUCACUCAUGUAUCUUACCAUGCAAUGUAUAAAGUGUAAAAUAUUGUACUAAUUCAUUAUAUAUAAAUGAUUAUGGUGUGUUUAAACUUCUUUCAUUAAUUACUACAUAUUUUUACACUCACAAUGUUUGCCAGCUCGCUAUAUAAUUAACUUAAAUCAGUUAAAUCCAUCAUGCAAUGCAUUUCUUUCCAAUUUUUUGUGAUAAACUAAUAGAUAAUUGACUAAAUAAACAUCCUGCAAAGUUUUAAUAAAAAUUUCCAAGUUUUUCUUAUAAUUUCCGUGGUUUUUAUUCAAUUUUUAUCGAUAUCGAUAAUAUCCCGAUAUUUCCAUCGAAAUUUCCGUGUUUUUGGACUACCGAUAUUUCCGAUUUCAUCGAUAUUUUAGACCCUUCUUGGGAAUAAUAUAUAUUUUUUCCUUUCUUGUUUGGUCUUUGGUUUUAAGGAAAAUUAAUGAAAAUGACUUGAAAACUUUGAGUUUUAACAAUAAUGACAAACUAAAGGGUAAAGUGAAUAGUAUCAUGAUUGACUUUUUAGUAUAAAAAUAUGAUUUUUCGUUAAAAUGAACAGUACCACAAGCUUUUCGUUAAAAUUCCCUUAGUUUUAAGGGCAAGGUAACACAAGUCAUUGACUUCCGUUUGUGUCCUUCGAGGUCCACUCCUUCCCUCCCCUCAAGGGAAUAAAAACCUGUAAUUCAGACUCAUUCUCCUCACAAAUCCUUCUUUCUUCGCUACUCUAAAAAAAUUUCAUACAUACAAUCCAACAAAUUCCAAAACCUCUCAACAUAUUCCAUCCAGCUAGCUGCACAAACUGAUCCUUUUGUCUCUGGUUUUGUCUUCAAAUGUGAAAGACUUUGCCUAGAAAAAUGAUGAAUAUGUUCUUCCCUCGACUUCUUCCUCAUUCUCUUUUCUUUGUAGCUUGCUUUGUAACUUUUGCCUUUGGAGCUGCUCGAUUGCCAAAUGAUGAAGGUACGAGUAAUUCACCUCAAUAUCUCUAUGUCAAAUAUCUUCCUUAGUUUCCUCUGUUUCAUUCUAUAAAUGAUAGUUUUAAGUUCGUUUGAUAAUUUUUUUAAUUUUCAAUUCUUUUUGAGUUCUCAAAUUUUGGUUUGGUUUUUCCGAGAAGUGAAAACAGUUACCAAUGAACUAAAAAUUAAAAUGGUUAUCAAAUGAACCUUAGGUAAACAGAUAUUUGUGUGAACUUAGUAGAAAUUUUCAAUCAUAUAAGGUGCACUCUGUAGUUCUUGUCUAUGCAUCAAUUUUUUUUUUUUACUAUUUUGUUGAGCACGAUGUUAAUUUGUUGCCUUUUAUUUUGCGUAUAUGCAGUGCAAAUUUUGAAAGACAUAGCAAAGACACUGGGGAAGACGGACUGGGAUUUCAGUGGAGAUGCAGAUCCAUGCAGCGGCCAACUUCCAUGGGCUGAUCCAAGCGCACCCAAAGGAUUAGAGAAUGCCAUCAGCUGUAAUUGCUCCUACGAAAACUCCACCGUCUGCUAUAUUACCAGCAUGUAAACCUCUCUCACUCUCUCUCUCUCUCUCUCUCUCUCUCUCUCUCUCUCAAAAAUAAACAUGGCCGGCUCAGAACUCAGUGAGAUUUUUCAAUGUGAUGGUAUAUCACGUGACACGAUAUAAAUGGUGAGUAACUUGUAUUAAAAAAUUAACACAAUUUGAAACAUAAAACUUUUUUCACUUAUAUAACAACACGUAGUGUAUCUUCCGAAUAUAAUGAAAAAUUUGUUUUCAUCUCACAAGCUAAUACCAAAUAAUCUUAUCGGAAUUUUGUGAUUUAAAUUGAUGGGCAUUUAUUGGUCCACCCCCCGGGGCCCAAUCUAGGGAUAUUUUGAUAUUGCCGCCUCAUUUUUUAUUUCUUUUAAGAAUUUGAUUAAACAUUUUUUUAUACAAUUUUAUUAGAGGCACGUUUGGUUUUAUUAGUACAUUUGAUUUUAUGGACAUUUUGUUUUCUGGUACAUUUGGAAUUUAAACGUAACAAAAGUUGGUAUGUUUGUUUUUAAGUGUACCAUAACUUUUAAAUACAUUUUCUAUAUAACUAGUUAUACGUAAAAUUUUAAUAAGAUUAAAGAAGUUUUUUUAUGAAAAUAUUAAUGAAUUUUUUUAAUGAAAGAAGAGACUAAUUAAAUAUAAUAAAAAAAAUAAAAAGUUAUUUUUUUUAUAAUGAUAAUGAGGAAUUACUGAAAUUAAUAUUUUAAUGAAGCCAUGAAUUUAAAAUUCCUAGAUUGUAGGAAAUAGUUGUUAGAUAGUUUAAGUGAAUAUAUAUAUAUAUAUAUAUAUUAAAUAAAUAAAUAAAUAAAUGUUGAGUUGGAAAUUAAUCAAAACAUCUUAAUCAAAUUUUGUAAAAGAACAUAUGUUUAGUCUAAACAAGUUGAAAAAAAUGGAGGGAAUUCUUAAUUCUUUGUCUUCAAUUUAUUUGACACAUAAUAUGCACAUGAGAUUAUUGCGUUAGUAAACACCAAUUUAAGUACUUAAUGUGAUAAAGAGACAUAAGUUGGAAAAUAAACGUUUGGUUAUAUAGAAUUGUGAAUGAUUAACUUAUUUCUUAAGCGAUAAAAAAUUGCUCAUUAUAUUUUUCUUUUCUGGAUAAACAGUUUGUUCGUUGUGUUUUGAACGAGUUCCAUCUCAUGCAAUAUAUAGAAAUAUUACGAGAAAAAUAAAGAAAAAUUUGAGAAAAGAAUUAGCCAAUUAGGUGCUUCAUUAGUCGAAUAACUUGACUAAGCAAAAACAAUGUACAGAUUAGGCGCCUUUUGUUGUGAAAGGUUGAGAAUGAUAAGAUCAAAGUUUUUCAGUCUUUGUUAUAUCAAUCAUAUUAGAGAAGAAAAAAAAAAUAUAAGAAAGGUCUACGUCCACGUACCAUCCAGUCGACAUUAUAUAAUAUCUACAUGAAGACUUUGCAUUUUAGGUCAAUGAAUCUGAAUGAGCAGAAAUUUCUGUAAGUACUCGGUAUUCAAGCGAGUAAUUUAAGUGUUAUAAAUGAGCGAAGAAAUACAAAAAAAAAAAUAUUAUUAUUUGUAUUAAGAUAUGUGGUGUACUCUUUGAAAAAAUCUAUUCUCAAUGAGCACUUUCUAAUACUUUGUUAGGUUAGAUGUUAAAUUAGCUAGUGGCAUGAUUUGAACUCAUGUCGUCAUACAAAGCCUCAACACUUUUUCACCACUAUGGUAAAGAGUUACGAGUCACUUGCAUCCUACAGGGAAAAUUAACUAGCAUGUAGACUACUAUGCGAAAAAUAAGGGUUAAUCUCAGUUUACUACCUUGAAGUUUCGUGAUUUUCAACAUUUGAUACAUGAAGUUUUUUUCAUCACAGAGUCAUAUCUCAAGUAUUAAUUUUGGAACAGUAUCAUACAUUCAUUAAGUUGGCUGUUAAGUCACAGAGUCAUAUCUCAAGUAUUAAUUUUGAAACAAUAUCAUACAUUCGUUAAGUUGGUUGUUAAGUCAGCCGUUAACUGAUGACGUGACAUCCAUAUAGAUAAUAACUAAGCUCCACGUGUAAAUAUAGGCCAUAUAAAUAUUUAAAAAAUUAAAAAACUAAACAAAUAAAAAUAUGGCCUAUGGAUGCGGGCCUUCCCUUUCCUCCACCCGCACCAACUCUUUAUCUUCUUCUCUUCGACAGCCACCAGAGCUGAUCUGAAAAUCAGCACAACCUCGAAAUUUAAGCCCUAAUUCAACCUAAAUUUCAGAUAGAAGGGCUGGAUUAGUCCAUUAAUCUAAGCGUACGAUCCAAAAUCCAGUUCCCAAUUGUGUUCCUUUCCUCAAUAAACAGCCAGAGGGCUCAACGAAAUGAAGAAAUUACAAAGAGAUGUAUAGAAAACGCACCGUUUUGGAGGUAGGGGCCGUACUCGGUGGCAGAGAGGUGCAUCUUGAUAUAGUCGAGGGUCUCGCACUGGCAAAAGUUGUUGUAAUCAGCGGCGAGCGGUGACCCUGCACUAUGGCCUCCAAGUACCCGCCGUGAAUGUUGAAGAUCAUCGCUUCGAAUCCGUACACUUUCGCUGAAAUUUUGAAAAUUUACGCGAUCUGCCACUGCAUGAUCCGAAAAAUUGAACGUCUCGCGGGAGAGAGAGAGGAAGGGGACGAUCGGGGAACCAGAAACCCCCUUCUGCAGCGAAAUCAAUGGAAACCCUAGCGAUUUGCAGACGGAAGCUGAAAUCUGGAAAUUAACCGCGUGGGCGCCAAUGGAAACCCUAUGGGCUAUGGCUUUCUACUCUGGUUUGAAAUCUCCGCGAUGAAUGCCUCGUUGUUGUUGUCGACGGAGAAGAAAGAGAGAGAACCCAGGCCGUGGUGGUGCAGAUUUUCAGAUCAGCUUUGGUGGCUGUCGAAGAGAAGAAUAAACAAAACUUCAUAAUAAUAAACUGAGAUCGUUCCGAAAAAUAAAGAAAAAGUUGAGAAAAUAGCUUGACUAAGCAAAAGCAACGUACAGCUUAGGCGCCUUUUGUUGUGAAAGGUUGGGAAGGACAGGAUCAAAGUUUUUCAGUCUUUGUUAUACGAAUCACCUUGUAUAAUAUCUACGUGAAGACUUUUUUAGGUACUCGGUAUUCAAGUGAAUAAUUGAAGUGUUAUAAAUGAGUGAAGAAAUAUAAAAAAAAAUGUUAAUUUUCCAUUAUAUUAUGAUAUGUGAUGUGUUGCUUGAAAAAAAAAAGAGUAAUGUUAUUCAUACUAUAUUUUUGUACCAUAUUUUCAUACCAUCUUAGGUGGUAUUUGAUGUGGACAACCAUAUCAUUUGAAUUAAUCUGAUUUUUAAAUUUAGUUCAUUAUUUAAUAAACUAAUAAUUAAGAAAAACUAAUUAAUUAAAUAAUAAUUGUGGUAUACGAGGAGUUUUUCUCCUUCAUUUUCUUGGGUUUUGCAAAUUUUUCAAAUGAUGUGGCUGUCCACAUCAAAUGCCACAUAAGGUGAUAUAGAAAUGUGGUAUAAAAAUAUGGUAUGAAUAACAUUACUUGAAAAAAAAAUCUCUUCUUAAUAAGCGCUUUCUCCUAUAGAGAAUAGAUUUUGUUAGGUUAGGUGUUAAAUUAGCCAGCGAUCGGGUUUGAACCCACGUCGUUAUGUAAGAACUUAACUUUUCACCAUUGUAGUAAAUAACCACUUGCCUCCUACAGAGAAAAUUAACUAGGCAUGUAGACUAAGUGAGAAUAAUAACUAGGGCUGGUUCGGUAUGGGAUACCGAACCGAAAAUGACAUACCAAAUCCCGAACCGAAAAUUUUCGGGACUGGAAUAAGAGGACCGAUACCAACCGAAACUUCGGGAUUCCCAAAUUUCGGUAUUCCCAAAAAAAUUUCGGUAUUUCGGGAUUUCCCGAAACCGAACUUGCAUUGAAAUCCAAAUCAACUAAUUGAAAUCGAAAACAUUCGAACCUGCAUGAAAACCCCAAAAUGAAAUCAGAGAAGUGACAGUGAAUCAGUGAAGAUUGAUGGGAGAUAGAGAGACAGAGUGAAGAGAUAGUUCGUCCUCCUCCUGACCCGAGCCCCUAAUUCGAAACCCUAAUCCCCAAUUCGAAACCCUAAGCCCCAAUUCGAAACCCUAAUUUGAAACCCCACAUAGAGAAUCAAUGGAGAGAAUCGGAGGUGGGGAUGAAGCCGUGAUGUGUAGUGGUGGCCGGAGGGGAGAGAGUUCAUCGGAGUGAGACUGUGAGAGGGUGGUGGCUGCUAGGCUUCGAAUUCGAGAAGGAGAGACAGAGAGAAUCUGAGACUAAGUGAAGGGCCAAAGAUGAGAAAUGAGAGAGAGUAAGUAUGGAUGUGUCGGCUUGGGUUUGAAUUGAGUUGAAGGAAUGUUUUGGUGGCUUCGCCUUUCUGGGUUGCAAAGCAGAUGGAGAUAAUGAGAGAGAGAGAGAGAGCGAGAGCAGCAGACAGCACCCAUGUGCUUUGAUAAAACUUCAAACGCCAGGCACACAAUCAUAUCCUUAUCCCCACACUUAAGUUAUUUUAAUAAUAUAAAUAGGCCAUAUACAUAUAUUCCAACAUAUAUAUAACAAUAGGGUUUAAAGUUCGGUUCGGGAUGGGAAUACCGAACAAUUUUAAGUGUGAGACCGAAUCCCAUACCGAAAAAUUCGGGAUCGGUUUGGUUUUGGUACCAAAAUUUUCGGGAUUUUCGGUAUGGUUUCGGUAUGAUUUGGGAUUUUCGGUAUUUUUUUCCACCCCUAAUAAUAACUUACAUUGAACGAGUUAAAUAUCAUAAAAUUUUACACUUAAAAUUUAGUUCAUUAUUUAAUAAACUAAUAAUUAAGAAAAACUAGUUAAUUAAAUGAUAAUUGUAGUAUACGAGGAAUUUUUCUUCUUCCUUUUCUUGGGUUUUGCAAAAUUUUCAAAUGAUGUGGCUGUCCACAUCAAAUGCCACCUAAGGUGGUAUAGAAAUAUGGUAUAAAAACAUGGUAUGAAUAACAUUACUAGAAAAAAAAUCUCUUCUUAAUGAGCGCUUUCUCAUACAGAGAAUAGAUUUUGUUAGGUUAGGUGUUAAAUUACCCAGCGAUCGGGUUUGAACCCACGUCGUUAUGUAAGAGCUUAACUUUUCACCACUGUAGUAAAUAACCACUUGCCUCCUACAGAGAAAAUUAACUAAGUGAGAAUAAUAACUUACAUUGAACGAGUUAAAUAUCAUAAAAUUUUACGUUUAAUCAUAUUUUAAUACGUGUAAAUUUUUGUUAGCAUGAUAUAUAAUAUUAUAACAAAAAUAUUAAAAAUAAUAAAUUUGUUCGAUGUAAACUGAUCACAAGUGUGUGAGGAGAGAUGUUUUUCUUUCAAAAAAAAAGAUUAGCUGAUAGUUUCGUCAUGACAGGAGUCGAAAAAACUAGUAGAGAUAGCGAGGAGAGAUGUUGAUUAGAUGGUUGGAAUUCGGUUUUGUGGACCCCAUGUCUAUUCGAUAUAUGUAUCAAUCAAUUUUUCUUUUUCUUUUUUUUUUCUGUUAAAAAGUAUCAAUCAAUUUUUCAUUACAUAUCCCCUAACCUAACCCCAUGCCCAUGAAACCUCCAAAAUAAAGUAGGAAUUAUAAGGCUUAGUGUGGGCCUCAUCGAGUUGCCUAUUGGCAACUUGGCACGUCGUAUUCACUCAUUCAACCUUAUGUCGAGCAAGGUAGCUAGGCCGAUUGAUUUCAAUUGGAUUUGAGAGUUGUUAGUUUAAUAGCAAAGUCGAGCUCGUUUGUUUCUUUGUGAUUUUCUCACGCCCCGACCGUAGUUUUGGAGAGAUUUUUUAGUGUGCUAGGAGUACGAUCCGGUAUAUCAAGUAUUAUAAUACAAGUAGUUAUAUACUUGAAAUUUUUUUCCAACUGCUUAUAUUAUGACACUUAGUGAACCAGAUUUGUUUCCCCCGCACACAAAAUUUCUCCUACCUUUGGGGCGUAAAAAUUUUAAAGCUCUUAUUGUGUAUGUAAAACAAGUAAAUGUUGCUACCGUUUAGAGCUAUGAAAAGUGACUACCACUCGUCUUUUUCUCUUCAUGCACACUAUUGAUUUCUGGCCUUUGACGAAUCAAGGGGCAUGAAUAAAACCAAAUUAUGCAAUAAUCAUUUUCAUAAAGCUAUAAGUUAUUCUUGGCAUGCAAGUUGGAUUGAAAAUUUCGAUUUUAACCAAUUCUGUUCUUGUCGGUUUACGAACAAAAAAUAUGAAGCAAAUUGGAACGCAUCUUAAAAUUAGGCCGCCUUUGCCAUUGUUACACAGUUACUAAUUUGUGAUCCAUCAUUGGGUAUAAAGUCAAUAUAAUUCUGAUAUAUCUAGACACUAGUGGGGUUUCCAUUUUCCCAAAUCCUUUACCCUCUAGAUUUUUAAUUUUUCUUCAACCGGCAACCAAUUGGAAGUUUUUCUUGGUCUAAUAAGACCUUGUUGUGCCUUGACAUUCAAGAAAUGCAGAAAGACUAAUCCAUUUCUUUUAUUGAAUGACCAAUGAAACAUCAAUUACAACCUACCAUGGACCGCAAUUCAAGUUAAGCUUAUCUGCAAAAUCGAGUUCAUGGGAUGUGACAAAUUUGCUCAAUUAUGAUAGCAAUGUGUUUUUGAGCUGGCCAUGAGCCAGCAUAGAUGUUCUGUGGCAUGCUGAGUUGUUAGGACUUGGUAUUACAGCUGUGCUGUAUUUAGGCUUGAUUCUUGCAUACUUGAUCAACGUAUAAAAUUUCGCAGUCACCAUGAUUGUUGCGUACUUCUUAUACACGAACAACUUUGUAUCGGCCUAGUUAUUAGUUACAAAGUCGAUGAAAGAAUGAUUCACAAUAUGCUUGUAACAAAUACACACUUACCGUUUGUGUAAUUCUUCAAGUUCUAUUCUUUGUAAAGAACAUUGGACAUUUUCCUUCGGUUUUAAAGAAAACCAGUUCCUUCUUCCUAUUUAAUUCCCUGAUCAAAAGUAAGUAUUUUCUGUGAUAAAUUAGUGUUUUACCUGUUUGGUCCUAUUUGUGUGGCAGCUUUUCCUUUUAGUCACAGUAUAGAUGUGUAAUAGAUAUCUGUUAAUUUACAACUAAUCUUUGAAACCCUGUUUUCCGAUGAAACACAGAAUUCUAAAAUCCCAAGAUUUGCAAGGAACACUCCCACCAGAGCUGGUACAUCUCACCUAUCUUCAAGAAAUGUAAGCACAUUUUUACCCCUCCAAGUUUACAAUAUUUAAAGUAAAAAGAAAAUAACUAUGUGUCGUGUAAAUGGUUUAUUCUAAUUUCAUAUAUAGCUUACCUUUAUUUCUGUUGUCAAUGAGACAAUAACUGGUUUCCUUCUUUCUCCUUUAGCGACCUCACCCGCAACUACCUGAGUGGUACCAUCCCUCCAGAAUGGAGCUCUCUUCCACUAGUGAACAUGUACUAUCUUCUCUCACACUGCAUACAUUUUUGUGUUUGAUGCUCAUGUCAUGUUCUUGUUACUUUAUUUGGUCACUCCAAUGUUCUUCAGCCAUUUCUUUCUUAAACUAUGAAUCUAAUACAUUGGGUUUUGUUCAUGAUAAUGAGCUUCCGUGGUCAUGAGGUGUUUGAAUCAUAAAUAUUGAAUCGAACACAUGGGGUUCAUUGCCUUCGUAUUGAUGAACAUGUUAAUGUUAUUGAGUCUCUUGCUUGAUAAAAGUGAUCUUAAGAUUAUAGUUUUGAUGCAGAUCCCUUCUUGGAAAUCGUUUGACGGGUUCUAUCCCCAAAGAGCUUGGAGACAUCACCACCCUGAAGAGUUUGUGAGUGUUGAUUGAGCAUUUGUUUCUUGCUUACCUCAUUUGAUUAUGUGGAGAUCCUUAAUGAUGUUUUUUAAUCAAUGGAAUUGAAUUUGUUUGUAUAGGGACAUCAGUUUCAAUAAUUUUUCUGGACCUCUCCCUCAGGAGCUUGGAUCUUGGGCCAACAUAGAAAGAAUGUAAGAGUCCUAUUCAAAUUUUACCGUGUUAAAAAGUACUUGGUUUAUUUGGAAUUUUCUUUCUUAUAGACAAAUUCUGGAUGUUUUCACCAAUAAAUCAUCUACUUCUUUAUCAUUGAUAUAUUGUUAUAUCUGUUUCAUACUUAGGCUGCUUUCCUCAAACAACUUUAGUGGGGAGUUGCCAGAAACAUUUGCAAUGCUUACCAAAAUAAAGGACUUGUAAGCUUCUGUGGUUCUUUCUUCUUAAAGGUUUCCUGAGCACUUAUACAUUUUUUACUGCUUUCUGAUACUAAUUCGUAGUAUUUUCCCUUUUCCAAUCAUUAUGCAGUCGGGUUAGUGACAGUCACUUUUCCGAGCGGAUACCUGAUUUUAUUGAGAACUGGAUAAAUCUUGAAAAACUGUGAGUGUUUUUCUUUUGUGUGUCAUAUUUCUGCUAUAUGAUUCUGAAUAUUAUCUCUAAUUCAUAUGCUAUGACUCGUUGAAACAGAGUGAUUCAAGCUAGCGGUUUGACAGGGCCAAUUCCUUCUGGCAUUUCUCUUUUGACAAGCUUAACUGACUUGUUAGUAUAUCCCGUCUAUAUUUUUAAAUACAAAACGAUUAGCAAAAUGUGUAGUUUAUGUUCAUGGCUCAAUUUUAACAUGCAGGAGAAUCACUGACUUGAGUGGACCUGAAUCACCAAUUCCUUCACUUAAUAAGAUGAAAAACAUGAGGACACUGUGAGUUAAUGGUUCCAUGACACACAAUUUUUGUCUGUACCAGAAGUCUUCUGUAAACUCAAAGCUUUGGUGUCUGUUGCAGGAUGUUGAGGAGUUGCAACCUUAUUGGAAAGCUACCUCCAUAUCUUGCACAAAUGAACAAAUUGAAAACUUUGUAAGUUCAAAUGUCUUAGUCCCUAUUUUUUCCGUCUUCAAAUAAAAAAAAUUCUUCUAGAUGUGAUUCUACUAAUUCAAGAUUUAUUGAAGUGACUUAGACGAUGUUGGGUGGACUUUAUGUUUCUGUAUUUAUUAAGAGAACUUCUCUUUCAGAUGUCAUUUCCCUUUCUGCAGAGAGCACAUCUAAACUGCAUUUGCUAUUUGUUUGUGCAGAGACCUCAGCUUUAACAAGCUGACCGGAGAAAUUCCAAGCAGCUUCGGUAGUCUAGCAGAUGUGGUUUAUAUGUAAGCAAUUGGAAUGACCAAUCUAGUCUUUCUUACAUGGAAUUCAAGCAGACAUUCUUCAAUGGUUUUGUUACACCCCAGCCUGGCAAGCUGGAAGUAUUUCCAAUCACAGUUACUAUAAUUAUGAGUCACGGGUUAUACUGCAAUGAAAAUGAAAACGGCUCUUCUGCUCAGAAAUGAAAUGUUUAGUUUAUUCAUUAGAGUCAUUACUACUCGUGCAAUUAUCUGACAUAAGGUGAUCACCCUUAGAUGUGUCUUUCACAUGGAAGUACUGAUCUAAUGCACUCAGAGUUGGCAAACUCAAAUUUUCAAACCUUUACAAAGAACAAACACUAUUCUCUACUGAGUUUUUUCUGUAUUCAUUAUUUUUAGAUUCUUAACUGGAAACUUGCUGACUGGACCUGUACCUGCUUGGCCAAGAGUCAACGUGUAAGCUUCUCUUCCAAAUGCUACUCUUUAGCUACUAAGGAAAUUUAUGCUGUUUUUUUUACUAAGAUAGAUAUAAAACUAUUAUAUCAAUAUUGAGUUUUGGUUUCAAUAUUUGUUGUAUAUUUCAUUAUGAAGAUUACAAGAGAGUGAAGGCAACUCUUAUAGAGAGCCAAAAGAAAGCUACAAUAGAUUGUAGGAUAACUACACAAACACAAUCCCUAAAAUCUGCCCUAACAAAUGGAAAAGCAAAAACCAAAUUACAAGUAAAAAAGCUUUUACAAACAACUAAGAAAGGUUGAUGUAAGGUGAAUGACAAGGAAAGUGACUGGUGAAUGACAAGCUAUGGAAAGUGACUUUAGCCUAUGACUUAGCUAAAGUGAGGAUGACAACUCAUACAUACAACCCAUCCAUACAAUCCAUACAAACCGGUUUCAAUACACCCCCUCAAGCUGGAUCAAGGGGAUUGAUUGAUCCAAGCUUGCACAACAAACGCUGAAACUGAGUAGAGUCUAGUGCUUUUAUGAAUAAAUCAGCAAGUUGAUCGUGGCUGCAUGUGAACACGGUGUCUAUCACCUUGGAUUGAACUUGAGCACGAAUAUAAUGGCAGUCAACUUCAAUAUGUUUGGUCCUUUCAUGGAAUACUGGAUUGGAGGUAAUGUGCAUGGCAACUUGGUUAUCACAAUACAAGGAUAUAUGUGCCAUGCUUGUGAAUCCGAGCUCGGAAAGAAGACCUUUCAACCAUAUGAGUUCACAGGCUGUUGCUGUCAUAGCCCUAUACUCAGCUUCGGCGCUAGAUCGAGCAUUAAUAGUUUGUUUCUUGCUCUUCCAAGUGACAAGGUUCCCUCCAACAAAUAUGCAAAAACCUGUUGUGGAUUUUCGAUCAAGGGCAUUUUCAGCCCAGUCAGCAUCUGUGUGGGCCAAGAUGUGAUUUGAUCCAUUGUUCUUCAUAAUUAUCCCCCUUCCUACUGAGCCCUUGAGAUAUUGAAGUAUUCUCUUGACGAUUUCCCAGUGAACUAGAGUAGGAGAGUGCAUGAACUGACUGGCUAGGCUAACUGAAUAUGAGAUAUCAAGCCUAGUAAUGGUGAGAUAAAUAAGUUUCCCAACCAUUCACUGAUAAACACUAGGGUCCGAGAGAGGUUCACUUUUUUCAUGCCACUGAAGUUUUCUAGCUAGGGGUGUCCAAGCUGGUUUACAUUCCAUCAUGUUAGCUUCAUCUAGAAGAUCAAGAACAUACUUUCUUUGAUUUAAGAACAAUCCCUUUGAAGAGGUAGCCACCUCAAUUCCAAGAAAGUAUUUCAAGGGCCCCAAGUCUUUAAUGGCAAAUUUUUGGUGAAGUGAUUGCUUAAGCGUCUUUAUUUCACUUAUAUUGUCACCUGUAAUAAUUAGGUCAUCAACAUAUAUAAGCACAACCAAUUUUCCAGCAAUACCACUUCGAACAAACAAAGAAGAGUCAGCAUGACUCCUUUUGAACCCUGCAGCUUCAAGGACUGAACUAAGCAUCGAAUACCAAGCUCGAGGGGACUGUUUGAGACCAUAUAUGGCUUUGUGAAGUCUGCAGACCUUGUUGGGUUCAUUUUCUCUUGGAUGACCAGGAGGCAACUUCAUGUACACUUCUUCUUCAAGAUCCCCAUGAAAAAAAUGCAUUCUUCACAUCCAUUUGGAAUAAGGGCCAUGCAUUAUUGACUGUCACAGACAACAAUACCCUCACUAUGUUCAUUUUGGCAACAGGAGCAAAGGUCUCCUUAUAGUCAAUGCCAUAGUUUUGAGUAAAGCCUUGAGCUACUAACUGUGCCUUGUGUCUUUCAAUGCUUCCAUUGGAGUUGAAUUUGGUCUUAUAUAUCCACCUACUUUCCACGACCUUCUUGCCAUUUGGAAGAUCCACCACACUCCAUGUCUGCUUGUCAUUCAGAGCUUGAAGCUCUUUAGUCAUAGCAUCUUGCCACUCAGGCAUGCAUGUGGCUUCAUGAAAAUUCCUUGGUUUGAAAGUGUGGGACAAUUUGUUAAGGAAAGAAGUAUGAGAAGAUGAGAAUCUAUGAUAAGAAAUGGCUGCAGAGAUAGGAUGCCUUGCAGUGUAAGUAACAUACUCUUGUAACCUCAUUGGUGGAUGUCUAUCUCGUGUAGGAUUUCUUCUUGGUGUACUUAUAGCUUGCUGAUUUGGUUGAGCUUCUGAUGGUUCAGAUGAGCUUGGCACUGCAUCAAUUACACUCUCAGUGAGUUAAGAAUUAUCAGUGCUGAUAUGAGUAGGAGUGACUUCAUGAAUUUCUGCUGGAAUAGGUAGUGGAAAUAGGUCCAUAAGAUCUUCCAUAUUAGCAUUAGUCUUCAACCCUUUGUGGAAAUAAGGUGAAUAUUCAUCAAAUCACACAUCUCUAGAGACUGCCAGCUUUCCCGUGUUAGGGUUGUACACUUUGUAACCCUUUUGAGAAAUGGCGUAUCCCAUAAACACACAUUUGACAACUCGAGGGUCGAGUUUGUCAUGAUGGAGAUCUUGAAUGUGCACAUAACAAGUACAACCAAAAGUCCUGAGGUAAGACAAGUUUAUAGGCCUUCCUUUCAUGACUUCAAAAGGAGAUUUAGUAUUCAACACCCGAGUUGGCAGUCUAUUAAUGAUGUACGUGGCAGUGAGUAAGGCUUGAGACCAAAAUUUCUUAGUAAUAUUCAUUUGGAUCAUAAGUGAUCGAGUCUUCUAAUAAGUCUCAAUUCUUUCUCUCUGCCACACCAUUUUGUUGUGGUGUACCAACACAGCUAGUUUGAUGCAAAAUGCCAUGAUUGCUCAAGUAAUUAUUCGUGUUAUUGGAAAUGUACUCGGUACCAUUAUCUGAUCUUAACAUAUAUAACUUAGAUGAAAAUUGAUUGGUGAUUAGGUUGUGAAAGUCGUUAAAAGCAUCAAACAAAUCACUUUUAAGUUUUAAAAGAUACAACCAGGUUACUCUAUAAUAGUCAUCAAUAAAUGUAACAUAAUAUCUAUACCCAUCAAAGGAUUCUACACGAGAAGGACCCCAAAUAUCAGAGUGAACAAGCUCAAAAAGUUUACUAGUUCUAGAAUUAGAGGAAACAAAAGGAAGUCUAGUGGCUUUUGACAUUUGACAAGUUUCAUACUCUAGUGUGUUUUUACAAAAAAAGGGAAACAACUUGGUCAUCACAUGUUCUGAGGGAUGGGCAAGGCGUUGAUGCCAGAGUUGGUGUUCCUGAACUUGACUUAAGUUGACACCGAGCUUUUUGACAAAAUUGGACUCAUUUGAAAGAUAGUAGAGUCCAUUCAAGAAGAACCCUUCACCAAUCUUCUUCUAAGUAACUCGGUCCUGAAACACAACAUUGUGAGGGGAAAAUAUGGCAAGACAGUCUAAGGUUUUUGUAAUUUUUUCCUAUUGACAAGAGCUGAAAAGGAAAAGAAGGUACAUAGAGAACAGUGGAAUCAGUAUGCUCACUUAGCAAUCUAAUCUUUCCUUUCCCUAGAAUAGGUUCCCAUUUCCCAUUUGCAACAGAUACAUGCAUUGGAUCAAUAGUUCUUUGAAAAUCGUGGAGACUAGAGGGUUUAUUAGUUAUAUGAUCAGUGGCACCAGAGUCAAUAAUCCAAAAAUCAUGUGUAACAUUUGCAUUAAGAGCAGUGGAAAUGGCACUGAUAAUACCUGAAAUAUUUCCUUUCGAUGUGUUCUCCGAGUCAGCCAAGAAUCCAGCAAAUUUCCCUAGCAUUGCAGUAGGGUUUUCAAGUGUCAUUUCAUCAGGUUCAGUGCUUCCUUGCUUCUUUUGAAGAAAAGCAGCAAACUCGUUGAUCAAGGACACAUGAUUGUUGAGAAAUUGGCCAUCCCAUCAGUUAUGGAACAAGCUGAAUGAAAUGCUUUUGUAGUGACUCCACCCUUCCCAUCUUUGAUCAUCCUGCCUUCCCUAUCAAACUUAGGCUUUAACUCCGGAUGAAGAAUCCAACAUUUUUCUCUCAAAUGUCCCUUCAUGUUGCAAUAAUAACAUUUCCAGUCUGCUUUCUUGCCAAGUACCCUAUCACCAGUUGCUUUGUGAUUUGUCGUGAAAACCCUAGCUUCAGAAUUGGAUUUGGGCUCAACGUUCAUCACUCUUCGUCAAGUUUCCUCUCUCUGGACUGCAUGACACACACUGGUAAAUGAGGGCAGCUCUUGAGUCAUUAACAAGUGACUACGCAGGUCUUCAUACUUCGUUCCCAAGCUUGCUAAGAGUUGAAACACCUUGUCUUCAUCAGCCAUCUUCAGUAGCACAGCGGAAUCAGUCGUGUGUGGACGAUACAUAUUGAGUUCAUUCCACAUGGAUUUCAUACUUCCAAGGUGUUGAACAAAUGAGUGAUCACCUUGCUUUAAACUAGCCACACUCUUCUUCAGUUAAAAGAUGCAAACUGAGUUGUUUUGGCUGCCAUACAUGUCUUUGACAGACUCCCAUAGGAGAAGGGAAGACUCUGAGUAAUUGAAAAGCUCAGACAGUUUUGGCUCCAUAAAGUUAAGUAACCAGGACAUGACCAGUUAAUCAGUAGCAUGCCAUGCAUCGUAAGUUGGUGAAGUGGAUUAUGCGGGCUCAGAGCUUCCAUUGAUAAACCCUAGCUUCGAUCUUCCCCCUAGAGCAAGUGACACAGCUCUUGACCAAGGAAGGUAGUUGAACUCGUUCAGUAGCACCGAGCAGAGUCGUUGAUUUGGAUUGUUUUCAACCCCUUGGGUUAAGUUUAGGGAGGAGGAUGAGGCACUAUCGGCACUAGACACAUUUUCUUCUGCCAUCUCUUUCGAUGAUGAGCAAAUGAAGAAGUAAAAAAAAAAUGACCCUAUGGUUCCUGCUCUGAUACCAUGUUGAGUUUUGGUUUCAAUAUUUGUUAUAUAUUUCAUUAUGAAGAUUAGAAGAGAGUGAAGGCAACUCUUGUAGAGAGCCAAAAGAAAGCUACAAUAGAUUGUAGGAUAACUACACAAACACAAUCCCUAAAAUCUGCCCUAACAAGUGGAAAAGCAAAAACCAAAUUACAAGUAAAGAAGCUUUUACAAGCAACUAAGAAAUGUUGAUGUAAGGUGAAUGACAAGCUAUGGAAAGUGACUGGUGAAUGACAAGCUAUAGAAAGUGACUUUAGCCUAUGACUUAGCUAAAGUGAGGAUAACAACUCAUACAUACAACCCAUCCAUACAAUCCAUACAAAGUGUUGUUUCCUUUUGUACUGACAUACUACACCUGGAAAAGAAUUUUUUAGUGCUUCUUUGAUUCUGGUUUAUGAAACCUCAAUGAAUAUGAGGACUGGGGGGAAGAUGAUUAAUAAUGAAAAUGAAAGGAUGAAGAAAAUCACACAGAGAAUAUAGGUCCCCACUCAAGUCGUGCAAAGAGAAUAUUACCGUUAGCAAAGCACAGCUGGAUCCUUAGACAUCACAAAGUGAUCUUAGCCACACAUCUAACUAAUUUCUAGGAUCCUUAGACUUCACACAAGGCAUUAUUUGCCGUACAUCUUUGAACCUCACACUUGGCCAUAUUACAACUCUAAGUGAAUAUAGAAUUAAGCUCAUAACUUAUGUCACUAAUUCUAAUCAGCUCGAGACCUACAAUUCAACAGAAUUUGCAUCAUAGCUCUUUUUGUGCAGUGAUCUUUCGUAUAACAACCUCGCCAUAGAGGAUGCAAGUUGUCAACCACGAGGUGGCACGUAAGAAUGUCUUCAUUAGCUUGAAGUUAAUCUGUUUGUGUUAUGUGGAGAAAAGCUUAACUUUUCAUUUGUGUUAAUUUCUGCAGUAACUUGUUUGCAAGCUCGUCAAAAGGAAAUAGUUCGUAAGUUCAAAUUAAUCGUCUCAAAGCAUGCACCUAUAAAUUUACUUCGGUAUCCAAUGGUGUAUUCUUUACUAUUUUUUUUUCCAACUUCGUCUCAUUUAUGAUUGCUGACAUUUUUUGUACCCUGAAUUACUAUAUCCGGAGAAUCGUUUCAUGUUUCAAAACUUCAGAGUGUCCAAAAUGUAAGCCGAGUUUCUACACAAAUAAUUACCUUUAUUUUUUCGCUUCAUUCUUUUUUAGUUUUCCUCCUCAAUGCCUACUAAUCUCCAAUUUAUUUUUUCAUAGAUUUGUACUACUCUCUCCAUAUAAAUUGUGGUGGGAAACAAUUUACGGUCCCUGGAGGAAAAGAUACAGUAUAUGAUGAUGACACAUUUUCAGCUGGACCUUCAUCAUUUACCUGAGCAGAACAAAUUGGGCAUUAAGCAGCACCGGUUACUUCCCUGAUGAUGACCGCCCUUAUGACACCUUUAUAUGGACUAAUGAAACUAGACUCUCUAUGGCCAAUCCUCAACUGUACAUGAACGCACGCCUUUCUCCCAUCUCUCUAACUUAUUUUGGGUUUUGUCUGGGAAAUGGAAACUACACCGUAAACCUCCAUUUUGCAGAGAUAAUGUUUAGAAAUGGCAAAACAUAUAAAAGCUUGGGAAGGCGCAUAUUCGAUAUUUACAUUCAGGUAAGUAUCGCAUCCACUUCCAUGUAUACCAGUGAAUUAUUCUAAUUUUCAACAAGCAUUGUUUAUAUUUUGGUCGAUUUGAAUGUUAACUUUCACAUUUAUGAUCAUGAAAUGUUAAGCAACUAAAUUAGUGUGUGUGUGUGUGUGUGUGUGUGUAUUGCAGGGAAAACUAGUGAAGAAGGACUUCAAUAUCAUGGAUGAAGCUGGCGUGUUUGGUGAUGUAGUCAUAAAGAACUUUACUGCUCCUGUAACUAAUAAUACAUUGGAGAUUCGUUUCUAUUGGGCCGGAAGAGGGACGACAGGCAUCCCUUUUAGAGGAGUCUAUGGUCCUCUUAUUUCAGCUAUUUCAGUAGACCCAAGUAAGUUUUCACUGAUCUGAGCUUCGUCUAAUUACUAUGCGUCGACCAUAUGCAUUUAUAUAUCUACUAAAUUAAGAGAUCCGACUUCAGUUCUGCAAGGUUCUUCUUCUUCUUCAAUAUUUCCCUUCGCUUGUAUUUUCAGAAAAAUGCUUCUGUGUUUUUCUCCUGUUUUACAUAGUUUGAGCCAAGACUUGAAGAAAUACUCUCUUAAAUUUUCUUAUCACAUAAUAUGCUGUUUUUUUCUAGGUGACGGGUAUGCUCUUUCAAAUACAACAAAAUUCAACUUCGAGGAUUUUUAACUAUUUACAUGAAAUGUACCGUUUGGUACGUGGGACGGGACGGGAUGGAACGGGACGAGCCGUUCCGUCCCACGUUUGGUGCGCCUAAAAACUGUGGAACGGGUUGUCCCAUGGGACGAAAUUUGGCUGAUUUUUCGUUCCACCUCUUCCCCCUGGAACGACCCGUUCCACAUCCGUGUAACACAAAUUUAUAACAUUUUAUGACACAAUUUCUCCUUAUCUUUUUUAAUAUUUACAUCAUCUGUUCCGUCCUGUUCUGUCCCGUCCCGUCCUGUUCCAUCCCGUCCCGUCCCGUUCCAUCCCGUCUACGUACCAAACGGUACCUUAAGGAAACAUAUAAUAUUUACAACCAUCAAAAGAAAGUUUGUUCGAGGGAUUACUUCAUAUACUAUCUACUUAGUUAAGGAUGCCGCAAAGACAGGGUUUCAAUCUUCUGUUUGUGUGCAUUGGAUAGCUAGUUGAAUAAUCCACUCUCAUAUCAAUUACAUACAUUUACUCUAAUUUAAGCUAUAUUCUUUCUUCGGACAGACUUUGAUUCGCCGCCAAAACCUGUAAGUGACACAUCAACUGGUGGAAGUGGCGUGCCUGUAGGUGUCGUGGUUGGAAUUGUGGUUGGAGGAGUCUUCAUUAUACUACUGAUAUUUGGUAUUCUUUGGAAGAGAGACAACAAAAGACAUUGGAGGAUGGUAUUAAUUUGCAGUUUAUUAUGUUAUACUGGUUUUUCCUUUUUGUUCCUCCAUUACUUUCUCUCAUCGAGCUUUUUUCGUAACUAAGUACGAUAUUUAUGCUAUUUGCAUGGUUCUCAUGCAUAUUGACAUGCACCACAAAGACAGUAAUUAUUUAGAUAUGGAGCUUUCCGGCACUUUGAUGUUUCUGUAAUAUAUUUAUCGUCCAAACACCAUGAUGCAAAGUGUCUGCCUAUAGAUCUAGUUACUUGUUAAAUUCUAUAAUUAGGCACAAAAUAUUAAGAACUAAGAAUGUUAUCGUUCUGAAAGUUUUCUUAAGACACAAUUUCUUAUGAGUUUUAGUUGUUAUACAGAUUUGAAGGGUGUGGACCUGCAAACUGGUAAAUUUACCUUCAAGCAACUCAAAGAUGCCACUAUUGGCAUGUAACCCUUCAGCCGAAGACUUGGAGGCAAAGAAAGAAUUCAAACCUUAUUUUAAUGUUUGUUUCAUGUUUAAAUUUGAGCCAUUGAAUCAUAGUCCAUGUGGCUAGCCUUACUUGUAUCUAGCUUAAGUGAUAGAUUAUAACAAGUGGCAUCAUCUCAUAGGAUGAUAGCAAUUAAGGAAUGAGAUUAAGUGUGUUAUUGAUGAGUGUAUAAAGCCAAAAACCUUAUAUGUUUGUUGUGAGGGAAUAUUUUUCAAUCAAUCAGUGUAAUCAUCCUCCUAAAAAUUCUCUCUGCCAUUUUCGGCAUUACACAGACCUCUGCAAGAUUUCAUAGAAGCUUACCAAACAUUCCCAUACACUAACAGCCACAAGCAACUUUAACAAAGCUAUCAAGUCGUUGCAUCCGACUAUCCUUGCAUUCUCUGCUUUGAACAUUUUCACAUAAUCGCGAAACAACUCCUUUGGGUUCUUCUUGACGUUGAACAAAUGGUCGGACUUCUUUUUUAUCAAGCGAUAGGAUGAAUAUUCUUUGGUGAAAACCAAAAAAGUUCGUCAAAACUCCGGAUGGAUUGUGGUGGCAGGGUGUAGAACCAAUUUUGCGUCUCGCCUUGUAGAGUGAUGAUGAAUAUCUUGCACAUGAGAUCGUCGUUGUUUCGAUAGAGGAUCAUUGCGCUUCGGUAGUGCUUUAAGUGUCUCUCCGGGUCUUCAUCCCCUUUGAAAGAUGUGAAAUGUGGCAUGCUGAACUCGUGUGGAGGCUCUGCCUGCUCGAUCUCAUCCGUGAAGGGUGAUCUGCUUAUGUUGGUCAUGUUCCGUCGUAGUACCUCGUAGGUGACCUUGUUGCGUUGGAAAUUGCACAAUCACUUAGUCAAGAGUCUCUCUACUUCUUCCUGAAUUUGCCUUUGUUAGGGUAGUCGAACUCUCGGCUGCCCCUAGCUGUGACUUGCUGGUCUAAGCUGCUCUUCUAUGUGUUUGGCUCGUCUAUUCCGCGGAUGAGGUGUGUGUGGUGUGUUCCUAGCAAGCGAGCGAGUUCUUCUCAGGCUGUCGGUUGAACUUGAGCCGGAUUGAGUGACAAAGUCAAUGAAAGAAUGAUUCACAGUGUGCUUGCAUACUUCUUAUACACGAACAACUUUGUAUCGGCCUAGUUAUUAGUUACAAAGUCAAUGAAAGAAUGAUUCACAGUGUGCUUGUAACAAAUACACAUUUACCGUUUGUGUAAUUCCUCAUGUUUUAUUCUUUCUAAAGAACAUUGGACAUUUUCCUUCGGUUUUAGAGUAAGAAAACCAGUUCCUUCUUCCUAUUUAAUUCCCUGACCAAAAGUAAGUAUUUUCUGUGAUAAAUUAAUGUUUUACCUGUUUGGUCUCAUUUCUGUUGCAGCUUUUCCUUUUAGUCACAGUAUAGAUGCGUAAUGGAUAUCUGUUAAUUUCCAUAUAUGUUAUUAUUUAUUUUUACUUGUAAUGAAUAUCUAUUGUCACAACCCGUCCCGAAAUAUUUAUUUUCGACGGUGUGAAAUGACAGUUUUACCCUUGGACGUUGAGAUGUGUGGUGUGUGUCAUGCUUUUGGAUGUGGACCAAUAUGUUGAGUUCCUAAGUUUUUGGACUCAAUUAGAAGUUAGACUUUUGUUAGUUUGGUUAGGGACCAAGUGAGGACCACACACACACACAAAACACCCCGUGCAUUCUCUCUCGUCUCGGCCUUCCUAUCAUUUCCGUACAAAACGUACAGACGAACACCAAACUCACACUUCACGCACGGAUCGACGUUAACCAGGUAAUAUUCGAAUUCCUUGUAAGAUUUUGAGUUCACCCAUACCCUUUUUAGAUCGAGAAACCUUCGUUUUCUCGAGAAACCAGAACUGCCGAAUUCAUGCACUGUUCAUGCACUCAUAAAUGUGAGGUUUUUAGGAAUUUUUUAGGACAUAGUGAGCUUUGGAUCAUCCUCACGAAGCUUGGAGAAGAAAAACCAAGUGAAUUGGACGUCGGGAAGUGGAGAUCGACGAGUUCAAAGUUUGGCCGGAUUAUCGAAGGAUCUCCGGCGAAUUCUCGAGGGAUUUCAGGUCCCAAAAUUGGUAAGGUUUUAUUCCUUAUGUUGUAAGCUUCAUUUUGGUGAAGAUUUCGUGGAAUUUGGUGCAAAAAUGGGAGAGAUAUGAGGUUUUAUAUAUUUUCCAGUUUUCGGCAACGGCGACGGUCGCCGGAGGUCAAACGUAGGGGACGACGAGAUAUUCCAUCAAAAUUGAUGGAAUAUUCCUAACGGCCGUUAGGCCUCAGUUAGGGUUUGGCCGAGCGUGGGGGCGCGUAGGGCCGUGCCUCCGCCGGCGUGUGACGACGCGUGGGACGUCAGAAAAUUUUUCUAAAAAUAUGGGGAUGUUCAUGAGAUUGUGUAGUUCACGUUGGUAUAUUCAAACAUCCCAUUUGAGCAAUGUAUGAGAAGUUAUUAGCUAGUAUUGGUUAUGUGCUUUAAAUAACGUUUAUUUAGUUAUUUCACAUAUAGGUGAGACCUAUCUAGAGGACGAGCGCAGUCAAGGGCGACUCGGGGGCUACGACCCUUCGACAUACCAGUUAGUGGGCUUUUGGUUUUCAAUAUAUAUUUAUAUACUUGAUAUUUUCCCAGAAAAUGUGUUUAAAUGAAAGUAUGCUUUGAAAUGCCAUGCAUAUAGAUUUAUAUUCGGCAUAUGAAUUAGUAUAUGAUGCAUAAUAUGAAUUGGUACUGUGGAUGCUCAGGUAAGUACCAGGUGAGUUAUGUUUUGUUAUAUGAGAUAUUGAUAAUGUGAGACGUGAUUGAGAACUCAUAAACCUGCACCCCGGGUGAUUGUGAUUUAGCCAGAGAUAUGGCACAUGCCUGUAUAUAAUGUCACAUCCCGCACCAUAUGCUCACAUUGGAUCCAAUUUAGGUGCACAGUCUUGUCGUACAGACCAUUAGGUGAGUAGUGAUUUAUCGCACAGCUAUCAUGAGAGCGUAACAUUGAGCAUAAUUAUAUUACACUCAGUCUUGUCGUACAAACCAUUACAGUGGUUCCGACUCGUGUGCAGUGUAGUGCCGUAUAGGUCACUGACGAUGACUUCGGCUAGAUUGAUAAAUAAUAAAUUUAGUCGUACAGACCUCUGCAGGGGGUUCCGACUAAUAUGUUAUUUUCCAUGAAUUUAUUUUCACCUGAGUUACUUAUUCUGUUUUAUAUUUUGGCAUGGCAUACUUAUGAAUAGAUAUGUGAAGCAUGAUUUGAAUAUAUAUAUAUAUACACACACACACACAUAUAUAUAUUUAUAUUCUAUUUCUGGGAAAAUUAUACAUGUUUUACGGCGAUGGGUUAUAGUAUUUGAUAAAUGAAAUGGUUUUGAAGAACUUUGUUUUUGCCCACUCACGUUUUCUGUUUUGCGCCCCUCCAGGUUUUAGGUAAGCUUGCUCGUUGGUGGCUCACGAGGAUUAGUGGAGGUUCUGACAGACCAUAUCAAAUGUAGGACAUCUUUGGGUGUCGUUUAAUUAGUACUUGCUUUCUGGACUGAACUUAGGCUACUCUCACUCUGAUUGUGUAUUUACACAUAUACUAGCACUAGUCUUAACUAGUACUCUUACAAGUUGGUUUUCAAUUAUUCGUAUUCUCUAUUAUCAUUAUUGCUUCUGCACUGUGCACAUGACUACGUCACCCUCACGUGAUGGCCAGCAUACCCUGAUUCGGGUCGGGGUGUGUCAUCUACCCUUUUAAUUACAUUUUAUUUUCAAUAGUAUCUAAUGAGUAGAUUUUAUAUUAUAUAUUUUACCUUGAUCUUAGUUUAUUUUGGUUAUUAUUUUGGAAGAAUUUUGAUACUUUGAAUUGCAUUUGCAAUAUAGGAGUUUCAACUUCUUCUGGAGCAAAACGUGAUCAAAUGAAUGAAUUUUGGAGUGAUUCCAGCUGGAGGAUGUUCGUGAUUUUCUUAGCUUGAUCAUGUCAAAAUAUAAGAUUCUUCCACCAAUCGGUUAUUUUCUAGCGAUAGAAUAAAGGAGCACUGCGCGAUGCUGGAAAAAUGACGUUUUGGGCUUAAUUGCAAGUUUUGGAGUCUAAGAUAACUUAAUUUGGGUUCGGCCCCUUCUGGAGAUAUGUUCAGAACGUUCCGAUCUUUAAAACAAGCUGUCAUGGGCCGGAUUUGGAGGAGAUUUGAGGCUAAAACGUGGCUGGACAAUUCCCAGAUUCUCCUAGCUUAAUUAGGACUUUAUUUUCUAGUAUAUUUAUUAUUAUUUGGUUUCCUAGUUGGAUCCAAAGACUUUUAUUAGGGAUUAUUGCAGGUUUUAGGAGAGGAUAUAAGGUUUGACCGGCCUUAGUCCUUUACUUCUUCUUUCAUGCGACUUCGGAGAUAGGAAAUUGGCUAGGGUUCUUGAAGAUUUUUAGAGUUUAUUUAAGGUUUUUUCAAUCAUUUUCUUCAUAAUAAUAUUUUGUUUGAUUUUAAUUAUAAAUAUGCGUAACUAAUUUGUUUUGCUGGGGCGAAGUCUUGAAUCUUAGCAUGAAUAUGUAAUUUUUAUUUAAUUGAUAAUGAUUGAUCGUAUGUAUGCUUUGAAUUAUUGAUCACCAUUUUAAACUAUCUAAUUGUCUUGAUGACUAGCCACCAUUAUGAUGUUUAGACAAGUAAUUGGAUGCAAUUCGGUUAGAAUAUCACCAGAGGAUUGGGUAUUGCUUCUUGUGGUUAAUAAUUGUAAUUUCACCUAAGGCGAAUAUCACGCUCUUAGGGGUUGCAUGUUUUUCGGAGAGUUUCACAGAACUUAAUGAGUUUUGCAAGUUUAUAUUUGAUCUGAAUAUCACAGACGGAUUGCAUGUUAGAUAUACGUUCUUGCUUGAAAAUCACGAGGAGAAUAUGUAUCAGGAAAACCUAACCUUCAAAGUUGCAUAUGUAGAUCAUAAGUAAUUUGUCAAAAUACAUAGGAUUGUUAUGAUGAUGGCGGAACCCUAGUGUUUUUAUAAAUUGGUAUUUAAAAACUCUUUUCUAUUAUUUUUACAAUUUUGGUUUAUAGUUAAAAUUCAUUUAAUAUAAGUCAGGAUAUUUUAUAGGGAACUUUAACGAAAAGUUCCCAGUACUGUUCACUUUAACGAAAAACGUGCCUUGAUAAUCACAUGAUGUAUUUAAUGUAAUUAUAUAAUUGAUCAUUACAGUUGUGGAUAAUUACAAAAAAGUAUAAUAAAUAUACGCUGAGAUACACAUAGUCCUAAAUUAGUACUUAGUUCUGAAAACGCCAAUAAGAUAUAGAUCCAGAAAAUUGGACUUCUCGUCCUCGUCAUAUCACAUCAGCCUAUCAAGCCACCGUUACCAACACCUCCACAAUUUGCAGAGAAAUUCGCAAUGAAUGCUUAAACAAACAGAUCCAUCAAGGAUCUUACCAUGUAAGGUCGACCAACCGCAAAUAUGCAGAAAGAAGACAAAUCAAUUACAAAAUCCAGCGUUUCAGAAGGUAGAUCUGGAAAAUUUCUGACCAAACUUGCCUGAUCCAAAGCCCUAUAACCUAGGGAGAAAACAAAACCUCGCAAGAGGCAAUGAAGAACAAGCCUAGCACAAGAAGGCUAGGGAGCAAAAGCUCUCCACAUAAAUACGGGAGACAGGCCCUAUAGUCGUAGGACUCCUUGUCAAGAUUAGGCUUGGGUGAGUGGUUUUCAUAAGGGAUUGAAGCACAGUUGGUCAUGAACUUAUCAUAAACUGUUAUACGGAAGAUAUUAGAAAAUUGCUACAUGAGCAUCACAAAAGCAUGUGAGAGGCGAGAGUGAUUUUUAAACCCUUACUUGGUUUAAGUCAUUUUCAAAUCUUUUUCACAUGUCUUUACAAUGCUUAUAUGGUGUUUUUGUAAUCUCUCAUAUCUAGCAUUUUAUAAUUCAUUUUUUACUAAUUUGGUCUCAAGUUCACAGGGCUAGAAUUCUUCCCCCCAAACAUAGCUCAAAGGACUCACACCCUCCAAAUAAAGUAGACAACAAUACUACAAUUGACAUAAGUUUUUGUGUGGUAGUGAAUUAUUGUCACAUGCGCUCAUGCAGAUACUAAUAUGAAGAUAAAUUAUGGGAAGUGAAUUAUAUAUACUUCUUUUCGUUGCGCUCUCUUUUCAAUUUUUUUUUAUAUUUGAAUUGAAUUUAGAACAAUUCAGAAAACAAAGUAGCCCAAAAUGAUCUAUGUGAAAAUUAUUUCUAUAAACUCUACACACACACACACACACACACAAAACAAUUAAUGAUUGUUCCAUACCAACUUAUACAGUCAACCAACUGAUAAACUGGAAAAUAUGAUUAUAAUGAUAGCAUCCAAUUCCUAUCAAUGACUUUAGGGUAAAUUACAUAGUAGCUCUUCAGGUUUGAUGUCUACUACAACCUCAUACAAUAUCUUUGAAACAUUUCACUUUCAUAUCUCACGUACUAUUUUAUUUCAAAAUAAUACAUCCGUUACAUUUUCCAUCCAUUGAUCCGUUAAGUGCUGACGUGGCUGCCAAAUGUGUGCCACGUGGCAAAAAAAAUAAUUUUUUUUUAAAAAAAACCUUAAUCUUCUAAAUAAAAAAAAUCAAAAAGAGAAAAUUCAGAUCCCAUCAUCCCACCCCCUCCCCCAUACCUGAACCUUGAACAAAAAAAAAAAAAAAAAAAAAACCCAGAAAACCCAGUUCCCACUAACACACCUUCCCCCCAAAUCCCAUCAACACCCCCAUGUGAAACCUCGAUCCCAUAUCCCCCCCCCCCCCAAAAAAAAAAAUCAUCUUCCAUCAGUCAUCCGCACCCAUCCUCCACCUCCUCCCCUGCACCCAUCUCCACCUCAUCCGCACACCCAUAUUCCCAUCUUCUCCUGCCCCGCCCCCCCAACCCGAGCCCAACCUGCAACCCAGAAAGAAGAGGAAAAAAAAACCCAGCGCACCCACCCUCGCACUCAUCCUCUUCCCUCCUCUACACACCCUACUCCUUAAAUCCACACUCAUUGGGGAAGACGGGAUCUGGGUUGCAGGGAAAUGGCAAUAGGUUUUUUUUUUCGUUUCUUUUCUGGGUUGGAGGUAGUGGGUGCAGAGGAAGAGGUGGAGGAUGGGGUGCACGGUGGGUUUGGGGAAGACAAGAGGGGAAAGAAAGGGGUGGGUUGCAAGGAAAGGGGGUCGGGGAAGAUGAAGAUGGUUUUUUUUUUUCCACUCCUUUUCUUAAUCUUCUGGGUUGCAGGUUGGGUGGGUGGGGGUUGAAGGUUCAUCUUUUGUUUUUUGUUUUUUUUUUUUAUUUAGAAGAUUCAGGUAAAAAAAAAAAAAAAAAAAUUUGCCACGUGGCACAAAUGUGGUAGACACGUCAGCACUUAAUGGAUCAAUGGAUAGAAAAUGUAAUGGAUGUAUUAUUUUGAAAUAAAAUAGUAUGUGAGGUAUAAAAGUGAAAUGUUUUAAAGAUGUUGUAUGAGGUUGUAAUAGACCUCAAACCUAAGGGGUUACUAUGUAAUUUACCCAUAACUUUAUACUUGGAGAACUAAAUAUUAAUUUUAUAUACAAAUAAUUUUAGUAUUGUUUUUUUGUAGGACCAUAUAUAUUUUUAAUUAUAAAUGAAUUUUUUGCGAUAAUGAUUUAUGAAUGAUGAAUUGAAAUAUAGGUGGUUCAGAUCUUUGAAAAAAAAUUAUGAAACGAAAACUACAAAAAAUUGUGUCAAAAUAUGUACACACAAAUUUAAGGAUGUGUAGCACUAGGUAUACGUGGCAUUAGGUAUAUUUUUUAUUUUCAUAUUAAUAAAUUUCCUUCAUACCUCGAAAUUUUCUAUAAAAAAAAAAACAAAAAGAAAAAAAACGGCAGAAGGCCACUUGUGAUGAGUACUUUAGUCAUGGAAUGCUGAUCGAAGUGCUAUUAAAUUGUCACUUAGAAUCAUAACUCUUGGCUUAUAGUAUGAAAAAAAAAAUACAGAACAUUUGUAUAUUGCUUGCAAGCAAUUAGGUUCUGUUAGUCAACUCCAGCAACUUGAUUAGAAAGCAUGUAUAUAAAGCUGCGCAAUUACCAUGUCCACAUAUCCUGAUCAGGAAAUUUCCCCUGCUUGGCUUAGUUGAAAAUAGCAGAUAAGUCAAGAGCGUAUUUUAAAUUACUGUUGGUUAAUUAUUUUAAAUUUCACUAGCAUAUGGGUAUACACAAAGUGUGUGAGAAAAUUUUUUAUUUUUGUUUUUGAAAUAGAAGAGGGAGUGAUAGAGAACGUGGGAGUGAGAAUUUUUUUUAUUAUUUUUUUAUUUUUUAUAAUUAGAUAUAUGUUAGGAUUACAUGUAGGUGAGACUUUGAAAAAAAAAACAGCAAAAUUUGGUUGUAUGAAAUUACAUUUCUGCCCCAUAUUUCUUAUUCAUGUUCUAUUUUAAUUAGAGGGUUAAACUGGUAAUUUUAUAGGAUUUUGAUUGAAAAUGAAUGUUUUAUUAAUUAAUAGAGAUAAUCAAUAUUAAUUACCAGUGGGUGUACUUUAAAUUAUGCUUGAUUAAUUAUUGUAAAUUUCAUAAUCAUAGAAAACUAAUAGCUUAUUAUAUAUUGUUGUCAAAAUCGUGAGUUCGGCUGUUGGAAAGGAUUUUUAAUGGGUAAAUUACAUUUUACCUCCUCAGAUUUGGAUGCAAUUGCAACCUCAUACAACAUUUUAAAAACAUUUUAAUUUCAUACAUUUAGUUAUCAUUUCAUUUCAAUGUCAUACAACCGUUAAAAAUUCUGUUAAGUUAGCUGUUAAGUGAUGAUGUGGUAACAGUGGGUCUCCCAUGUUUGCUUAUGUGGUUAACAACUUCUGCCACAUGGACAAACAAUUAAUAUUUUAUUUAAAAAAUUACAAAAAAAACCCUUAAAAAAUGGCUAAAAAAAAGGGAUAACUUGAUAUAGAUCCAAUUUUGUGAGCCAUUAGUAGGAUUAGUCCACUUCAUUGAAAUAGGUUCAAUAAUUGAGAUUCUACGUAUGCUUAUUUGUGGUUUGUACCAUAUUUACCCCUUAGGCUUACAAAUUGUAGUAAAUACACAAAAUUUCUUAAUUAUGGGAUUAUUUGUGGUUUAACUAAUCCCUUAAUUGUAGGAUUAGUUAUAGCCAUGUAAUCACCUCAACCCCCAGUCCGUUUCAUCCCUCCUUUUUUACUUCUUCCAAACAAUUCCCUCUAUCAAUCUUCCUCUUUGUUGUCUCUUCUUUUCAUGGGUGAUAUUUUUGUGUUCUUCCCUCCAAAUUCGUUCCUUUAAUGGAGGUAUAUUACAUCAUAUUUAUAUUUCUAUGUUCCUCCAUGUAGGUUCCCAACAUUUUUCUUCCAAUACAAUAGGUAGUUUAUUUUUGUUUUGCAGGUAGAUUAUAUCUGCUUUAUAGGUAUAAAGCAUUUUUCUUCCUAUACAAUAGGUAGGUAGUUACUAGAUUAUAUCGGUUUUGUUUUCUUCAUAAAUAGUAGGUAGUUACUAUAUAAUAUUUUAGUUUGAGUAUUUAAAUAUUCAAAAUUUAAAAACUGAAUAAAUGAUAUAAAAAAAAUUAAAGAAUUUAAAUAUUUUUAUCUGAAGGGGCAAAAUAUAUAUCAAAAUAUGUAAUUGGAUAACUAGACUCAGUCCCAAAAACUACCUAUGUUUUUGGACCUAGAUCCAAAAGCCCAAAAAAAAAAAAAAACAACCUUCCACAGCCCCUCUCCACCCCACGCUGAAAAUGCAAAGCCCCAACCCUAGAUCUUCCAUCCCCUCCAAUACGUCGUCAACAUCUUCGUCCACCACUGCAAGCCCGCCGGCAACACCAACAUUGCCUCCAACCCCACCCACGUCGACUGACGCUGCAAAUCGGACGACAACAUCAUAUUCUUCCUCGCGCGACAAUAUGUUGGGGGUCGCGGUGGUUGAGGCAGAGAGCACAAAGUGGUGAACUCCCAAACUCCGGCUGACGAAUUUGGUGGCGGUAGUUCAGGCAGAGAGCGCAAGUGGACUGACAAUUUGAGACAUGGAUCAAAUUUAGGGGUUGGGUUGGAUUCGACAAAAUUUGGGGGUUGGAUUUGUCCAAAUCCUAAAUUUUCCCAAACCCAGGUCCAAGUUGCAGGGGUCGAAGCCGACGUCAAUGGCAACGACGGAUGAGGAAAUGGGGUUUGCAGGGGGAGAGGGAGAAUGUGAUUGGGGAUGGGGAUGGGGAUGGGGAAGGGGAAGACAUGGGUUUUAGGGUUUUUUUUUUAUUAAAUAAUUAUUUUAGUAUUUAAUAUUCUGAUUAAAUUAUUAUUUUUUAAAUGCAUAGAAAUUUUUUUGCCACGUGGCAUAAAUUUGGUAACCACGUCAGCACAAAUAUAGAUCCUAUAUUUGCCAUGUUAUCACUUAACAUAUUUUCUAACGAAUGUAUGAAAUUGAAAAAAAAUGAUAAGUAAAUGUAUGAAAUUGAAAUGUUUUAAAGAUGUUGUAUGAGGUUGCAAUCGACCCCAAACCUGACGAGGUAAAAUGUAAUUACCCUUUUUUUAAUUAAGUUGACAUGAGCUGCAAAUAAUAUGCGUUGACACUAUUUUGCCAAAAAUCGGUGUAUUGAGAAAAUAAUACCAAUUACUUCAAAAAAAUAAAAAAACAGUUACGACUAAUUAUUUUUUAUCGUCAGUUGCUAGUUACAAAUAUAACUAGAUCUUGUGCCCUUGUAAUAUUUUUAAGAAAAUUUUCAUUUAUUAUUUGACAAAAAAAAAUAAUUGUGAUAAUUAUAAUCCAUCCAUCUCAACUAUUUGCGGUUUUACUUUAAAAAUAUUAUUUCACAUACGUCUCGGUCAUCCAUUUAUGAUUACAUGACUAAAAUUUCACAUAUGUCUCAAUCAACUAUUUAUGUCACAGCCCGUCCCAGAAGAUUAUUCUCGAUGACUUGAAAUGACAAUUUUACCCUUGGACGUUAAAGUAUGUUGUGUGGUUUAAGUUGGAUUUUGGACCCAUUCAUUAAUUUCCUAAGUCUUUGGACCUAAUUGGAAGUAAGGAAAUUGUUUGUUUUGAUGGGUGACCCAAAAAUCUGGACCACACAUCCUUUCUCUCUCUCACUCUCCCGUGCUCUCUUCUCUCUCUCGGACUCACUCUCUCUUCCCUUUCCUCCGUACGGACAACCUUGAACCAAGCCAAAUCUUCAUAGAUCAAGGAAGAAAAUGGUACCAUUGUGUUCGUGAGGACCAUACGAGUUCAAAGGUACCCAUUUCAGGUAAGAACUCGUUCGAUAUCACGUUAAAAACUCAAACUCCGAGUUGAUCACUAUUCAUGAACUUUUGCAUGGUUAUGUUUUAGGACAAUCCAAGCUCAUAGCGAGCUCUAGGAGGUUCUCACGAAGCUCGGAGUGCUUCGUUGGCUCGGUUUUGACGUCGGGAUCACAAGGUUCGAAGGUGGCCGGUUUUGGUAGAAUUUUCCCGACGAGUUUUCGAGGGAUUUGAAGCUCCCAAGAGGUAUAACCUUCUUCCUUUCGUGAUUUAUGGCAUUCUGGUGAAAAUUGUGUGAAAAAUGGUGCAAAAAUGAGCGAGAAAAAGGCAGUUGCAGGUCUGCCCAGAAUCCGGCGCCGGUGACACUGUUCCAGCGUCUGGAAGUUGAAGAUGAUGCGCGUGGGGCCGUGCCCUCCCCGGCGCGUGAGGGCUCAUGAGCCACAGAAAAUUUAUUUUAAAAAUAUCACGAUGUUCGUGAGGUUGUGUAGGUCGCGUUGGUAUAUUCAAAUACCAAAAUUGAGCUUUGUAUGAGAAAUUAUUAGCUAGUUUUGUGUAUGUGCUUUAAAAUAACGUUUUUAUAGUUAAUUCGCAUAUAGGUGAGACUUAUCCCGAGGACGAGCGUAUCCACGGGCGACUCGAGGGUUACGACCCGUUGACAUACCAGUGAGUGGGCUUUUGGUUUUCAGUAUAUAUUUAUAUACUUGAUAUUUUCCCAGAAAAAUAUGUUUAAAUGAUAAUAUGCCAUAAAUGCCAUGCAUAUACAAUUAUGUUUCGUGUAUGAAUUGGUGUGUGAUACCUUAUAUAUAUAAAUGUGGUGCUAUGGAGGCACAGGUAAGUUCAGGUAAGUUAUGUUUGGUUAUGUGAAUCAUCGAUGAUGUGAUAUGUGAUUGAAUAAUGUUGAGCUCAUUAAACUACACCUAGGGUGAUUGUGAUUUAGCCAGUGAUAUGAAGUACAUGCCUGUUUAUUUACGUCACCUCCCGCAUUAUAUGCUCAUAUUGGAUCCAACUUAAGUGCAUAGUCUUGUCGUACAGACCUUAUUUAUGGUUCCGACUGUAGGUGACUAGCGAAUUAUUGCCCGGCUAUUAUAAGAGAGUAAAAUUGAGCAUAAUCAUAUUACACCCAAUCUUGUUGUACAGACCCCUUUUUAGUGGUUCCGACUUAUGUGCAGUAUAUUGCCGUAUAGGUCAUUGUAGUGACUCCGGCUAGAUUGACUUUUGAGUUAUGAAUUCAGCCGUACAGACUACCACAGGGGUUCCGACUAACAUAUCAUAUUUCUAUGAAAUCAUUCUUACCUGGAUUGUUUACUUUGUUAUAUUUUGGAAUGGCAUACAUAUGCUUAUGAUUAUGUGAAGUAUGAUUUGAAUUGAUAUAUUUUUCAUAUUCAUUUAUGUAUAUGCUUAUAUUCUGAUUCUGGGAAAAAUUAUACAUGUUUUACAGCGAGGGGUUAGACAUGUUGAUAAAUGAAAUGGUUUUGUAAAACAUUUGUUUUUGCCCACUCAUGUUUUCUGUUUUGCGCCCCUCCAGGUUUUAAGUAAGCUUGCUGUUGGUGGCUUGAGGACGUCGGCAGUUCUGACCUAUCUAAAUAAUAGUAGGACAUUCCUGGUACUGUAUAACUAGUACUUGUCCUACUGGACUGCACCUAGACUUUAUGCUCUGAUUAGGAGUGUUUACUUCUGUAACUAACUCCUAUCACUCCCUGUUUAGUAGUGCAUUCUAGUAAUGUGAUUCUUAAUUAUUAGUAUAUUUUCUUAUCAUUAUUGCUUCCGCACUGUGCACAUGGCUACGUCACUCUCACGUAAUGGCCAGCAUGCCUUGAUCUCGGUCGGGGUGUGUCAGUUUGGUAUCAGAGCAUAGGUUUAGCAGUCAUGUAUAAUUCUUGAAUGUUCUAAUCCUUGUGAUGUCUUAUGUCAGAAUUAUGUCGCCUCGUAGAGAGCCCCGUCAAUCAGCUGAACCUAGUUUCCCCAAUAUUGCUCAAUUAGGGGAAGCUAUAGUUUCUGCCAUUCAGACUGCAUUCCGUACUCCCAGAGGAUACCUCUCAAGACAGUUUAUAAUCUGAAGUUGACUCACUUCAUUGGAAAUGAAGGACAUGAGGGGGCGGAAAAAUGGUUGAAUCAUAUGGAGAAUACCUUUCAGGUGAUGCAGAGUCAAGGGAAUCUUCCUCCUGAUAGGUGGGUCGAGACGACUACCUGGUUUUUGGGGGAACAACCUGCAACCUAGUGGAGACAGGAGUCUUACCAGUUGACCCCAGCAGAGAUUGUGGACUAGGGAGUGUUUAAGGAGCUGUUUCGGAAAAGGUUCAUUCCUUAUGCGUAUAUCGAUCGUAAGAAACAUGAGUUUACUCAUCAGAAGCAAGGAAAGACGUCCGCUGAUGAGUAUUAUAGGAUGUUUGCUGAUCUGUCGAGAUAUGAUCCGGAGGUUGCUGCUAAUUCGGUAGAGAUGCUUCGCCGUUUCAGUUUGGGUACUAAGAAGAAAUGGCAUUCCAUAGCGACAUCGACUCACUGUGCUACAUACCAGGAGUUUUAUGAGAUUUUACUGAGAAUUGAGGACUCGGAAAGCAUGCCUAGUGAAAGUGAGGAUGAGGAAGGAAAGAAUGGGGGCCAGAAACGAGAUGAUAAGGGGAAAAGGCAAGCAUUUCAGGGACCCCGCAAGACCCAGAACUUUAAGAGGAGUGGUGGCAGUUCCAGCUCUUCUAGCGGAGGAUUGCGUACUAAUAUGCAAAGAAUAGAUGGUAGAUUUACUGGAGGCCCUAGGUUCUAGAGACAGAGAGAUUUUGGUGGUUCAGGUGGAUCUGGUGCUCUUUUAUGCCGCAAGUGUAAUAGUCAACGUUUUGGGGAGUGUAGGAGAGGCAGCAGUGGAUGUUUUACUUGUGGAUAGAUGGGUCAUAGGGCUGCCCAAUGCCCUCAGAGUCAGCAGAGACCCUAGUAGCCUUCUUUCCCACCACCUGCACCGUCCCAGCAAGCUUCAAGAUCUGGUGGUUAUGCUCAAACUAGACGAGGAGGUGCCUACCACUAUUAAGGUGACGCCGCUCCUUACACCUCAGGACAACAUCAGUAUUCUCAGGACCCUCAGUAUCAGAGUGGGUACCCUCAGUAUCAGGGAGGAUUUAUGUCUUAUUAGCCUCAUUCAAUCGGAGGAUAUCAGUGGUAGCAAGGGGGACAGCCCCAGCAGGGAGAGAUUGCUGCUAGUAGUGCAGGAUCUUCGAGGCAGUCGGGUCAGCAGAGGCAAUGAUGUGGUAUUCAUGCCAACAGAGGUAGUGGUGGACGACAGCAGAAUCAGGGGCGUAUCCACAACAUGUCACUGCAAGAUGCCCAGAAUAAUCUAGAUUUAAUCAUGGGUACGUUAAAUAUUCUUGGUCAUUUUGCUAGAGUAUUGAUUGAUUGUGGUGCUACACAUUCUGUUAUUUCUCAUACAUUUGCUCAAGUGACGCAACCUCAUCCUACACCUUUAGGAUAUAAUUUAGAAUUUUCUAUGCCUAGAGGGGAUAGAUGUUUUGUGGAUUGGGUAUAUCCGGGAUGUCCAGUGAUAGUAGAGGAUGUUGUUAUGCCGGCUAAUCUUAUGUCGUUGGAUAUUAUGGAUUUUGAUGUGAUUUUGGGCAUUGAUUGGUUGCACUAUAAUCGUGCCAAGAUAGAUUGUUAUGGGAAGACAGUCACAUUUCAUCGUAUCGGAUUACCUGAAGUUACAUUUGUAAGAGAGCCUAGUAGGGUGAGACAUGGUAUUAUUUCAACUAUGAAAGCAAAGAGAAUGUUGUCGAAAGGUUGUCAGGGAUAUUUGGCUCAUGUGGUGUUGAAUGAUGAUGCUCCUAGUAGUGUGGAAGAUGUUCGUGUGGUCAGAUAUUUUUCGUAUGUAUUCCCUAAGGAUUUGCCUGGAUUGCCGCCAGAUAGAGAGGUGGAGUUUGUUAUUGAUCUACUUCCAGGUACGAAUCCUAUAUCCUUAACUCUUUAUAAAAUGGCUCAUGCUGAAUUGAGGGAAUUGAAAGUACAGUUGCAAGAGUUAGUGGAUAAAGUUUUUAUUCACCCGAGUACUUCACAUUGGGGAGCUCCAGUUUUAUUCGUGAGGAAGAAAGAUGGAACUUUGAGGCUGUGCAUUGAUUACAGGCAAUUGAAUCGGGUAACCAUUAAAAACCGUUAUCCAUUGCCUCGUAUAGAUGAUUUAUUUGAUCAACUCAGAGGUGCCUGUGUAUUUUCUAAGAUUGACUUGAGGUCGGGAUACUAUCAGUUGAAGAUUAAAAAUGAAGAUGUCCCUAAAACCGCAUUCAGGACUCGAUAUGGUCAUUAUGAGUUUCUUGUGAUGUCAUUCGGGUUAACUAAUGCACCAGCAGCUUUUAUGGAUUUGAUGAAUCGAGUAUUCCAGCCAUAUUUGAACAGGUUUAUUAUUGUCUUCAUUGACGAUAUUCUGGUAUAUUCUAAGUCUAAGGCUGAGCAUGCUAGACAUCUAAAGUUGGUGUUGAGCAGUUUGAGGGAACACCAACUAUAUGCUAAGUUUAGCAAAUGUGAAUUUUGGUUGAAUCAAGUAUCAUUUUUGGGACAUGUCGUUUCUUCUCAAGACAUUCAAGUGGAUUCUCAGAAAGUGGCAGCUGUGGAGAAUUGGGAACAACCUCGAACCGUCACCGAGAUACGGAGUAUUCUUGGCCUAGCAGGCUAUUAUAAACGGUUCGUUAAGGAUUUUUCAGUGAUUGCUUUGCCAUUGACGGGGUUAACUCGAAAGGAUGUUAAGUUUGAGUGGGAUAAUAAGUGUGAGCAAAGUUUUCAGCAGUUGAAAUAUUAUCUCACUCAUGCACCUGUUCUAACACUUCCAGAUGAUAACGGUAAUUAUGAGGUCUAUAGUUAUGCUUCUCUUAAUGGUUUGGGUUGUGUAUUGAUGCAACAUGAUAGGGUAAUUGCUUAUGUUUCGAGACAGUUGAAACCUCAUGAGAAGAAUUACCCUACACAUGAUUUGGAGUUAGCAGCUAUCAUCUUUGCCUUGAAGAUUUGGAGACAUUAUCUUUAUGGUGAGAAAUGCAAGAUCUUCACAAAUCAUAAGAGUCUUCAGUAUUUGUUUACUCAGAGAGAUCUUAAUCUUCGACAGCGGAGGUGGAUUGAGUUACUUAGUGACUAUGAUUGCACGAUUGAGUAUCAUCCUGGUCAUGUAAAUGCUGUGGUGAAUGCACUUAGUUGGAAAACUCCAGUCAGACUUAAUGCCAUUUAUGAUUGCCACGUUCCUCUUCUAGCAGAUUUGAGAUCCACUGGAGUGGAGUUAGGAGUGGAAGAUCGAGAAGAAGCCUUGCUUACUAAUUUUCAGGUUAGGCCAAUUUUAAUUGACCGUGUGCUUGAAGCUCAGAUGUAUGAUGAGGAGACCCAGGAAAUAAUUCAAGCAAGAAAUCAAAGAAAAAAUAAAGAUUUCGGGAUUCGAGAAUAUGAUGGUAUGCUUAUGCAGGAAAGCAGAAUGUAUGUGCCAAAUAAUGCAGAGUUAAAGAAAGAAAUUUUGGAUGAAGCACACAUUUCAGCAUAUGCGAUGCAUCCAGAAGGCACUAAGAUGUAUCAUGCCAUUAGACCAUUUUAUUAUUGGCCAGGUAUGAAAAGAGAAAUUGCCGAAUAUGUGAGUAGGUAUGCCAUUUGCCAAUAGGUUAAAGUUGAAAGGAAGAAGCCGUUUAGGUUGAUGCAACCACUUCCCGUUCCACAGUGGAAAUGAGAAAAUAUUACUAUGAAUUUUGUGUACAAGCUUCCUCGUACACAGAAUGGAUAUGACGGCAUUUGGGUGGUAGUUGAUCGGCUUACGAAGUCAGCACAUUUUAUUCCAGUGAGGGAGAAGUAUUCGUUAAGCCGAUUAGCUAAGUUAUUUACAUCGCAGAUUGUGAAGUAUCAUGGUGUGCCAGUUAAUAUUAUCUCAAAUCGGGAUCUCAGAUUUACUUCCAAGUUCUGGAUAGCAUUCCAGGAAGCUCUUGGUACGAGAUUGCUUUAUAGUACAGCAUAUCACUUUUAGACAGAUGGACAAUCUGAUAGAACUAUUCAGACAUUAGAGGAUAUGUUGAGAUCUUCAAUGCUGCAGUUUUGAGAUAGUUGGCAUGAUUGUUUGGAUUUGAUGGAGUUCGCCUACAACAACAGUUAUCAUUCGAGUAUUAGUAUGGCACCAUUUGAGGCACUUUAUGGGAAAUCUUGUCGUACGCCUCUAUGUUGGUCAGAGGUUGGCGAAAUAGUUUUAGUGGGCCAGAGAUUGUGGAUGUGACUACUCAAAAUGUUCAGGUAAUUAAGUCUAACCUGAAAGCGGCCCAAGAUCGACAAAAGAGAGUAGCAGACAAGCACGCCACUGAUCGGAAGUAUAAUGAAGGUCAUUGGGUACUUCUAAAGCUAUCAUCUUGGAAGGGUGUUGUACGAUUUGGAAAGAAAGGAAACUUGAGUCCUAGGUACAUUGGACCAUAUAUGAUCACCGAACGAGUUGGUGAGGUUGCUUACAGGCUUGAGUUGCCUCCAGAGUUAUCCAAAGUGCACGAUGUGUUUCAUGUUUCGAUGCUCCGACAUUAUGUUUCAGAUCCUUCACAUGUGAUUCCUCCUCAACCUUUGGAAAUUAAUCCGGAUUUGACUUAUGAUAAGGAACCAAUGACUCUAUUGGAUUGGAAGGAUAAGGAACUAAGGAAUAAGACUGUGCGCUUGGUGAAAGUAUUAUGGAGAAAUCAUUCAGUGGAAGAAGCUACUUGGGAGACCGAGGAUCAAAUGAGAGAGAUGUAUCCAUGCUUGUUCUAUGAUUAUUAGUGGAUGUAUUGGUUGUAUGUAAUUUCGAGGACGAAAUUUUAUAAGGUGGGGAGAUUGUCACAGCCUGUCCCGGAAGAUUAUUCUCGAUGACGUGAAGUGACAAUUUUACCCUUGGACGUUAAAGUAUGUUGUGUGAUUUAAAUUGGAUUUUGGACCCAUUCAUUAAUUUCCUAAGUCUUUGGACCCAAUUGGAAGUAAGGAAAUUGUUUGUUUUGAUUGGUGACCCAAAAAUCUGGACCACACAUCUUUUCUCUCUCUCACUCUCCCGUACUUUCUCUUUUCUCUCUCGGACUCACACUCUUUUCCCUCUCCUCCGUACAGACAACCUUGAACCAAGCCAAAUCUUCACAGAUCGAGGAAGAAAAUGGUACCAUUGUGUUCGUGAGGACCAUACGAGUUCAAAGGUACCCAUUUCAGGUAAGUACUCGUUCGAUAUCACGUUAAAAACUCAAGCUUCGAGUUGAGCACUAUUCAUGAACUUUUGAAUGGUUAUGUUUUAGGACAAUCCAAGCUCACAGCGAGCUCUAGGAGGUUCUCACGAAGCUCAGAGUGCUUCGUUGGCUCGGUUUUGACGUCGGGAUCACGAGGUUCGAAGGUGGCCAGUUUUGGUAGAAUUUUCCCGACUAGUUUUCGAGGGAUUUGAAGCUCCCAAGAGGUAUAACCUUCUUCCUCUCGUGAUUUAUGGCAUUCUGGUGAAAAUUGUGUGAAAAAUGGUGCAAAAACGAGCGAGAAAAAGGCAGUUGCAGGGUAUGCCCAAAAUCCGGCGUCGGCGACACUGUUCUGGCGUUUGGAGGUUGAAGAUGAUGCGCGUGGGGCCGUGCCCUCCCCGGCGCGUGAGGGCUCGUGAGCCACAGAAAAUUUAUUUUAAAAAUAUCACGAUGUUCGUGAGGUUGUGUAGGUCGCGUUGGUAUAUUCAAAUACCAAAAUUGAGCUUUGUAUGAGAAGUUAUUAGCUAGUUUUGUGUAUGUGCUUUAAAAUAACGUUUUUAUCGUUAAUUCACAUAUAGGUGAGACUUAUCCUGAGGACGAGCGUAUCCACGGUCGACUCAGGGGUUACGACCCGUCGACAUACCAGUGAGUGGGCUUUUAGUUUUCAGUAUAUAAUUAUAUACUUGAUAUUUUCCCAGAAAAAUAUGUUUAAAUGAUAAUAUGCCAUAAAUGCCAUGCAUAUACAAUUAUGUUUCGUGUAUGAAUUGGUGUGUGAUACCUUAUAUAUAUAAAUGUGGUGUUGUGGAGGCACAGGUAAGUUCAGAUAAGUUAUGUUUGGUUAUGUGAAUCAUCGAUGAUGUGAUAUGUGAUUGAAUAAUGUUGAGCUCAUUAAACUGCACCUAGGGUGAUUGUGAUUUAGCCAGUGAUAUGAAGUACUUACCUAUUUAUUUACGUCACCUCCCGCACUAUAUGCUCAUAUUGGAUCCAACUUAAGUGCACAGUCUUGUCGUACAAACCUUAUUUAUGGUUCCGACUCGUAGGUGACUAGCGAUUUAUCUCCCGGCUAUUAUGAGAGUAAAAUUGAGCAUAAUUAUAUUACAUCCAAUCUUGUCGUACAAACCCCUUUUUAGUGGUUCCGACUUAUGUGCAAUAUAUUGUCGUAUAGGUCAUUGUACUGACUCUGACUAGAUUGACUUUUGAGCUAUGAAGUCAGCCGUACAGACUACCACAUGGGUUCCGGCUAACAUAUCAUAUUUCUAUGAAAUCAUUCUUACCUGGAUUGUUUACUUUGUUAUAUUUUGGAAUGGCAUACAUAUGCUUAUGAUUAUGUGAAGUAUGAUUUGAAUUGAUAUAUUUUCAUAUUCAUUUAUGUAUAUGCUUAUAUUCUGAUUCUGGAAAAAAUUAUACAUGUUUUACAACGAGGGGUUAUAUAUGUUAAUAAAUGAAAUGGUUUUGUAAAACAUUUGUUUUUGCCCACUCACGUUUUCUGUUUUGCGCCCCUCCAGGUUUUAAGUAAGCUUGAUGUUGGUGGCUUGAUGACGUCGGCAAUUCUGACCUAUCUAAAUAAUAGUAGGACAUUCCUGGUACUGUAUAACUAGUAUUUGUCCUACUGGACUACACCUAAACUUUAUGCUCUGAUUAGGAGUGUUUACUGUUGUAACUAACUCCUAUCACUCCCUGUUUAAUAGUGCACUCUAGUAAUGUGAUUCUUAAUUAUUCGUAUAUUUUCUUAUCAUUAUUGUUUCCGCACUGUGCACAUGGCUACGUCACUCUCACGUGACGGCCAGCAUGCUUUUAUCUCGGUCGGGGUGUGUCAAUUUAUUUUUAAAUUGACUAAAAUGCAAAAUUCUCAUAUAUUAAAAAAAAUUGCGGUAAUUAUAAAGGAAUUUUAAUGAAAAACCCGCAGUACUAUUUAUUUUAACGAAAAAUUACAUUUUUACAUUAAAAAGUCAAUCCUUAUACUAUUCACUUUACUUUUUAUUUUGUCCUUAUCGUUAAAACUCAAAAAUUUUAAACUAUUUUUAUUAGUUUUCCUUAAUUAUAAAGGAUCCAUCCAUCUGAACUAUUUGCAGUUUUACUUAAAAAAAUUUAGUUCACAUACGUCUCCGUCAUCCAUUUAUGAUUACAUGACUAAAAUUUCACAUUCGUCUCAAUCAACCAUGUAUGUUAAAAUUGACUAAAUGCAAAAUUCUCAUAUAUUAAAAAAAAUUAAUUGCAAUAAUUAUAAAAAAGUUUUAAUGAAAAGUUUGCGGUACUGUUUACUUUAAAGAAAAAUCACAUUUUUACACUAAAAAAUCAAUAUUGAUUCUAUUCGUUUUAACCUUUAUUUUGUCUUUAUGAUUAAAACUCAAAGUUUUCAAACCAUUAUCAUUAGUUUUCUUUAAUUACAAGGUAUCUAUCCAUCUAAACUAUUUGCAGUUUUACUUAAAAAAAAUAUUUCACAUACGUCUUAGUCAUCCAUUUAUGAUUACAUGACUAAAAUUCACAUACGUCUCAUCAACCAUUUAGGUUAAAAUUGACUAAAAUGCAAAAUUCUCAUAUAUUAAAGUCUUUAAAUUGGAUCCUUAUGAAAGAAUUUCACUUGGGUGUGUAUGCAUAUCUUUAGCUGAAUCUGACCGGCCUUCGGUAUCGGUAAAAAAAAAGGUUUUCAAAAUCAUUUUUAUGAUAUUUUUCUACUAGAAUUUGUCUUUGAUUAGUAUUUUGCAUGGACUAUGUUCGAGAGAGAGCGACCAAACUUGAUAUCGGCAGGCGUUCACUGUUUAGUAAUACAUAGUCCAUACAAAUUUUGGUGCUGAUUAUCUAAAUUACAUAUUAAUAAAAUUUUCAUUGUCAACCAAAAGUUUAUGAAAUUACCAUUCUAACCCUUUAAUUAAAACUAAACAUAUAUAAGGAAUGUAGGCAGUAAUAUAAUUUUACACAACCAAAUUUUUUUUUUUUUCAAAGCCGCACUUAUAUGUGAUUCUAAUAUAUCUCUAAUUUAAAAAUUAAAAAGUAAAGCUCUCUCCUCUCUCUCCCUAUCCCACGCUCUCUCUCCCUCUUUUCCUCUCUCCUUCCAUUUUAAAUACAAAAAAUACAAAAUUUUCACACACAUUUUGUAUGUGGUCAUAUGCUAGUAUUCCACAUUAUGAUCCAAUACUUUUUGGUAAUUUAGGUCAACUACAUAUUAAUAAAAUCCUCAUUGUCAACCAAAAGUUUAUGAAAUUACUAUUCUAACCCUUUAAUUAAAACUGAACAUAUAUAAGAACUGUGGGCAGUAAUAUAAUUUCACACAAUCAAAAUUUUGUUUUUUUUUUCAUAGCCUCACCUAUAUGUGAUUCUAACAUAACUCUAAUUAAAAAAUAUAAAAAGUAAAGCUCUCUCCUCUCUCUCCCCAUCCCACGCUUUCUCUCUCUUUUCCUCUCUCCUUCCAUUUUAAAUACAAAAAAUACAAAAUUUUCACACACAUUUUGUGUGUGGGCAUAUACUAGUAUUCCGCAGUAUGAUCCAAUACUUUUUGGUAAUUUAGGUUAUGAUAAUCAAUUCAAUAACUCCCAACUUAUACCUAUAUAGCCAAAAGUAAUAUAAGGGGCAGAUUUAUGUCACCAUAUUUUUACACAACUUUUGAUACUUGUUUUUGUGAGGCUCAUUCCGUAAUGUAUUUCAAGGAUCCAAACGUCUAUAUUUUAGGUUUCCCUCAAAUAUUAUGUUUACCAAAAAUCACUUAAAUAUGAAAUCAUAUGACCGUUGAAUGUCUUAACGGUUUUAUAUUUGGUUCAUUUUUUGCAAGAAUGAUAUAUGAAAAAAUUUCUCAAAAAUAGAUGGUUCAUUUUUUGGUUUUAAGGGCAAGUAAGGUAACACAAGUCAUUGACUUCCGUUCGUGUCCUUCGAGGUCCACUCAUUCCCUCCCCUCAAGCGAAUAAAAAGCUGUAUUUCAGACUCAUUCUCCUUACAAGUCUGUCGUCUUUCUUCGCCACUCUCACAAAUUUUCAUACAUACAAUCCAACAAAUUCCAAAACCUCUCAACAUAUUCCAUCCAGCUAGCUGCACAAACUGAUUCUUUUGUCUCUGGUUUUCUCUUCAAAUGUGAAAGACUUUGCCUAGAAAAAUGAUGAUUAUGUUCUUCCCUCGACUUCUUCCUCAUUCUCUUUUCUUUGUAGCUUGCUUUGUAACUUUUGCCUUUGGAGCUACUCGAUUGCCAAAUGAUGAAGGUACGAGUAUAAAUCUUUCUUAGUUUCCUUUUCUUCAUUCUUUAAAUGAUAGUUUUAAGUUCGUUUGAUAAUUUUUUUUGAGUUUUCAAAUUUGGUUUGGGUUGAUUUUGGUUUUCAGUUUACAUUUUUCCGAGAAGUGAAAACGGUUACCAUAAAUUAAAAAAUCAAAAUAAAAAUGUUUAUCAAAUGGACCUUAGGCAAAGAGAUAUUUGUGUGAACUUAGUAGAAAUUUUCAAUCAUAUGAUGCUGAGGUGCACUCUGUAGUUCUUGUCUAUGCGUCAAUUUUAUUUUAUUUUUACUAUUUUGUUCAGCACGAUGUUAAUUUGUUGCAUUUUAUUUUGGCGUAUAUGCAGUGCAAACUUUGAAAGGCAUAGCAAAGACACUGGGGAAGACGGGCUGGGAUUUCAGUGGAGACGCAGAUCCAUGCAGCGGCCAAUCUCCAUGGACUAAUACAAGCUCACCGAAAGAAAUUCAGAAUACCAUCAUCUGUCAUUGCUCCGAUGAAAACUCCACUGUCUGCCAUAUUACCAACAUGUAAAUCUCUCUCUCUCUCUCUCUCUCUCUCUCUCUCUCUCUCUCAAAAACAAACAUGCCCGACUCAGAACUCAGUGAGAUUUUUAAGUGUGCUUCCGGAACAUGAUAUAACACGUGUUAUUAUAUAAAUUGUGGGUUACUUGUGUGAAAAAGUAGCACAAUUUGAAAAAUAAAACCUCAUUCUACUUAUAUAACAACAUGUGAUGUACGUUCCGAACACAAUUAAAAAUUUCUGGAUAAACAGUUUACUCGUUGUGUGUUUGAACGAGUUCCAUCUCAUGCAAUAUAUAGAAAUAUUAAGAGCAAAAUAAAGAAAAAGUUGAGAAAAUAAUUAGCCAAUUAGGUGCUAAAUUAGUCGAAUAACUUGACUAAGCAAAAGCAACGUACAUAUUAGGCUCCUUUUGUUGUGAAAGGUUGAGAAGGAUAGGAUCAAAGUUGUUCAGUCUUUGUCAUACCAAUCACAUUAAAGAGAAAAAACAAGAAAGGUCUACGUCCACGUACCAUCCAGUCGAUGAGUGAAGAAAUAUUAAAAAAAAAAGUCAUUGUUUUUCACUUAUAUUAUGAUAUGUGAUGUACUGCUUGAAAAAAUCUCUACUUAAUGAGUGCUAGUAGCACAAUUUGAAAAAUAAAACCUCAUUCUACUUAUAUAACAACAUGUGAUGUACGUUCCGAACACAAUUAAAAAUUUCUGGAUAAACAGUUUACUCGGUGUGUGUUUGAACAAGUUCCAUCUCAUGCAAUAUAUAGAAAUAUUAAGAGAAAAAUAAAGAAAAAGUUGAGAAAAUAAUUAGCCAAUUAGGUGCUAAAUUAGUCGAAUAACUUGACUAAGCAAAAGCAACGUACAUAUUAGGCUCCUUUUGUUGUGAAAGGUUGAGAAGGAUAGGAUCAAAGUUGUUCAGUCUUUGUUAUACCAAUCACAUUAAAGAGAAAAAACAAGAAAGGUCUACGUCCACGUACCAUCCAGUCGAUGAGUGAAGAAAUAUUAAAAAAAAAAGUCAUUUUUUUCACUUAUAUUAUGAUAUGUGAUGUACUGCUUGAAAAAAUCUCUACUUAAUGAGCGCUAGUAGCACAAUUUGAAAAAUAAAACCUCAUUCUACUUAUAUAACAACAUAUGAUGUACGUUCCGAACACAAUUAAAAAUUUCUGGAUAAACAGUUUACUCGUGUGUUUGAACGAGUUCCAUCUCAUGCAAUAUAUAGAAAUAUUAAGAGAAAAAUAAAGAAAAAGUUGAGAAAAUAAUUAGCCAAUUAGGUGCUAAAUUAGUCGAAUAACUUGACUAAGCAAAAGCAACGUACAUAUUAGGCUCGUUUUGUUGUGAAAGGUUGAGAAGGAUAGGAUCAAAGUUUUUCAGUCUUUGUUAUACCAAUCACAUUAAAGAGAAAAAACAAGAAAGGUCUACGUCCACGUACCAUCCAGUCGAUGAGUGAAGAAAUAUUAAAAAAAAAGUCAUUUUUUUCACUUAUAUUAUGAUAUAUGAUGUACUGCUUGAAAAAAUCUCUACUUAAUGAGCGCUUUCUCCUACAUAGAAUUUUUUUUUGUCAAAAAAUAGAUUUUGUUAGGUUAAAUGUUAAAUUAGUCAGCAACGGGGUUUGAAUCCACGUCAUCAUGUAAGAGCUCAACACUUUUCUACCACUGUGGUAAAGGGUCACUUGCCUCCUAUAGAUAAAAUUAACUAUGCAUGUAGACUAAGCGAGACGAAUAACUUACAUUGAACAAGUUAAAUAUCAUAAAAUUAAUACGUGCAAAUUUUUCUUAGCAUGAUAUAUAAUAUUAUAUCAAAAAUAUUAAAAAUAAUAAAUUUGUUCGAUGUAAACUGAUCACAAUUGUGCGGGAGAGAUGUUUUUAUUUCAGAGAGGGGAUUAGCUGGUGAUUUCGUCACAACAGUUUACCCUUUCAAAAGUCGAGAAAAUUCAUAGAGACAACAAUAGAGAUGUUGAUUAGAUGGUUGGAAUUCGGUUUAGUGGACCCCAUGUCUAUUUGGUAUAAAGUAUCAAUCAAUUUUUCAUUACAUGUCCCCUAACCUAACCCCAAGCCCAUGAAACCUCCAAAAUGAUCACAAGUGUGCGAGGAGAGAUGUUUUUCUUUCAAAAUGGGAAUUAACUAGUGAUUUCGUCAGGAUAGUUCACCUUUUCGAAAGUGGGAAAAACUUAUAAAAACAACGAGAGAUGUUGAUUAGAUGGUUGGCAUUCGGGUUUGUGGACCCCACGUCUAUUUAGUAUAAAGUAACAAUCAAUUUUUCAUUACAUGUCUCCUAACCUAACCCCAAGCCCAUGAAACCUCCAAAAUAAAGUAGGAAUUAUAAGGUCUAGUGUGGGCCUCAUCGAGUUGCAUAUUGGCAACUUAGCACGUCGCAUUCACUCAUUCAACCUUAUGUCGGGCCAGGUAGCUAGACCGAUUGAUUUCAAUUAGAUUUGAAGGAUGUUAGUUUAAAGGGUGUGAUAUCCACACAUCACAUUUUAUUUCUCACACAUCUCUUUAAUUUUCGGCCGUCGGAUCGGAUGAAUUGAAGACUAUCAAUGGACAUAAAUUAUCAAAGAUGUGUGGGCCUCAUCAAGUUGCAUAUUGGCAACUUGGCACGUUGCAUUCACUCAUUCAACCUUAUGUCGGGCCAGGUAGCUAGACCGAUUGAUUUCAAUUAGAUUUGAAGGAUGUUAGUUUAAAGGGUGUGAUAUCCACACAUCACAUUUUAUUUCUCACACAUCUCUUUAAUUUUCGGCCGUCGGAUCGGAUGAAUUGAAGAAUAUCAAUGGACAUAAAUUAUCAAAGAUGUGUGAGAAGUAAAAUGGGGUGUGUGGAUAGCACACCCCUAGUUUAAUAGCACAAUCGAGCUCGUUUGUUUCUUUGUGAUUUUCUCACGCCCCGACCCUAGCUUCAGAGAGAUUUUUUAGUGUGCUAGGAGUACAGUCCGGUACAUCAAGUAUCAUAAUACAAGUGGUUAAAUACUUGAAAAAGAACUUCCAACCGUUUGUAUUAUGACACUUAAUGAACCAGAUUUGUUCCUUACACACAAAAUUUCUCUUAGCUUCGGGGGCGUAAAGAUUUUAAGGCUCUUAUUUUAUAUAUGUAAAGCAAGUAAAUGUUGCUACUGUUUAGAGCUAUGAAAAGUGAUCAUCACUCGUCAUUUUCUCUUCAUGCACAUUAUUGAUUUCUAGCCUUUCACGUUUCAAGGGACAUGAAUAAAACCAAGUUAUGCAAUAAUCAUUUUCUUAAAGCUAUAAGUUAUUUUUGACAUGUAAGUUGGAUUGAAAAUUUCGAUUUCAACCAAUUCUGUUUUUGUCGGUUUACGAACAAAAAUAUGAAGAAAAUUGGAACGCAUCUUAAAAUUAGGCUACUUUUGCCGUCGUUAUACAAUCACUAAUUUGUGAUCCAUCAGUGGGUAUAAAGCCAACGUUAUUAUGAUAUCUCUAGACCCUAGUGGGGUUUCCAUUUUCCCAAAUCCUUUACCCUCGGGAUUUUUAAUUUUUCUUCAACCGGCAACCAAUUGGAAGUUUUUCUUGGUCUAAUAAGACCUUGUUGCGCCUUCAAAUUCAAGAAAUGCAGAAGGACUGAUCCAUUUCUUUUAUUGAAUGACCAAUUAAACAUCAAUUACAACCUACCAUGGACCGCAAUUCAAGUUUAGUUUAUCUGCAAAAUCGAGUUCAUGGGAUGUGACCAAUUUGCUCAAUUACUAUAGCAAUGUGUUUUUGAGCUGGCCAUGAGCCAGCAUAGGCGUUCUGUGGUACGCUGAGUUGUUAGAACUUGGUAAUACUGCUGUGCUGUAUUUAGGCUUGAUUCUUACAUACUUGAUCAACGUACAAAAUUUCGCAGUCACGAAGAUUCUUGCAUACUUCUUAUACACGAACAACUCUGUAUCGGCCUAGUUAUUCGUUACAAAGUCAAUGAAAGAAUGAUUCAUAGUGUGCUUGUAACAAAUACACAUUUACCGUUUGUGUAAUUCCUCAAGUUUUAUUCUUUCUAAAGAACAUUGGACAUUUUCCUUCAGUUUUAAAGUAUGAAAACCAGUUCCUUCUUCCUAUUUAAUUCCCUGACCAAAAGUAAGUAUUUUCUGUGAUAAAUUAGUGUUUUACCUGUUUGGUCUCAUUUCUGUGGCAGCUUUUCCUUUUAGUCACAGUAUAGAUGCAUAAUGAAUAUCUGUUAAUUUGCAACUAAUCUUUGAAACAUUAUUUUCUGAAAACACAGAAUUCUAAAAGCCCAAGAUUUGAAAGGAACACUCCCACUAGAGCUGGUAGAUCUCACCUAUCUUCAAGAAAUGUAAGCACAUUUUUACCCCUCCAAGUUUACAUUAUUUAAAAGAAAAUAACUUUGUAUCGUGUAAAUCGUUUAUUCUAAUUUCAUAUAUAGCUUACCUUUAUGUCUGUUGCCAAUGAGACAAUAACUGGUUUCUUUCUUUCUCCUUCAGCGACCUGACCCGCAACUACCUGAGCGGUACCAUCCCUCCAGAAUGGAGCUCUCUUCCACUUUUGAACAUGUACUGUCUUCUCUCAAACUGCAUGCACUUCUGUGUUUGAUGUUCGUGUCAUGUUCUUAUUGCUUCAUUUGGUCACUCCAAUGUUCUUCAGCCAUUUCUUUCUUAAACUAUAAAUCUACUACAUUUGGUUUUGUUCAUGAUGAUGGGCUUCCGUGGUCAUGAGGCGUUUGAAUCAUAAAUAUUGAAUCGAACACAUGGGGUUCAUUGCCUUCGUAUUGACGAACAUGUUAAUGUUAUUGAGCCUCUUGCUUGAUAAAAGUGAUAUUAAGACUAGUUUUUGAUACAGAUCCCUUCUUGGAAAUCGUUUGACCGGUUCUAUCCCCAAAGAGCUCGGAAACAUCACCACCCUGAAGAGUUUGUGAGUGUUGAUUGCGCAUUUGUUUCUUGCUUACCCCAUUUGAUUCCAUGGAGAUCCUUAAUGAUGUUUUUUUAAUCAAUGGAAUUGAAUUUGUUUGUAUAGGGACAUCAGUUUCAAUAAUUUCUCUGGACCUCUCCCUCAGGAGCUUGGAUCUUGGGCCCACAUAGAAAGAUUGUAAGAGUCCUUUUCGAAUUUUACCGUGUUAAAAAGUAUUUGGUUUAUUUGGAGUUUUCUUUCUUGUAGACAAAUUCUGGAUGUUUUCACUAGUAAAUCAUCUACUUCUUUAUCAUUGAUAUAAUGGUUAUAUCUAUUUCGUACUUAGGCUGCUUUGCUCAAACAACUUUACUGGGGAGUUGCCAGAAACAUUUGCAAAGCUUACCAAAAUAAAGGACUUGUAAGUUUCUGUGGUUCUUUCUUCUUAAAGGUUUCCCGAGCACUUAUACAUUUUUUUUACUGCUUUCUGAUACUAAUUCGUAUUUUCCCUUUUCUCCAAUCAUUAUGCAGUCGGGUUAGUGACAGUCACUUUUUCGGGCAGAUACCUGAUUUUAUUAAGAACUGGGCAAAUCUUGAAAAACUGUGAGUGUUUUUCUUUUGUGUGUCAUCUUUCUGCUAUUUGAUUCUGAAUAUUAUCUCUAAUUCAUAUGUUAUGACUCGUUGAAACAGAGUGAUUCAGGCUAGCGGUUUGACAGGGCCAAUUCCUCCUGGCAUUUCUCGUUUGACAAACUUAACUGACUUGUUAGUAUAUCCCGUCUCUAUUUUUAAAUACAAAACGAUUAGCGAUAUGUGUAGUUUAUGUUCAUGGCUCAAUUUUAACAUGCAGGAGAAUCACUGACUUGAGUGGACCUGAAUCACCCAUUCCUUCGCUCGAGAAGAUGAAAAACAUGAAGACACUGUGAGUUAAUGGUUCCAUGACACACAAUUUCUGUCUGUACCAGAAGUCUUCUGUAAACUCAUAGCUUUGGAGUCUGUUGCAGGAUGUUGAGGAGUUGCAACCUUACUGGAAAGAUACCUCUAUAUCUUGCACAAAUGAAAAACUUGAAAACUUUGUAAGUACAAAUGUCUUGGUCCCUAUUUUUUCCGUCUUCAAAUAAAAAAUUUCUUCUAGAUGUGAUUCUACUAAUUCAAGAAUUAUUGAAGUGACUUAGACAAUGUUGGGCGGACUUUAUGUUUCUGUAUUUAUUAAGAGAACAUCUCUUUCAGAUGUCAUUUCCCUCUCUGUAGAGAGCACAACUAAACUGCGUUUGCUAUUUGUUUGUGCAGAGACCUCAGCUUUAACAAGCUGACCGGAGAAAUUCCAAGCAGCUUCGAUAGUCUACCAAAUGUGGCUUAUAUGUAAGCAAUUGGAAUGACCAAUCCAGUCUUUCUUACAUGAAAUUCAAGCAGACAUUCUUCAAUGGUUUUGUUACACCCCAGCCUGACAAGCUGGAAGUAUUUCAAAUCACGAUUACUAUAAUUAUGAGUCACGGAUUAUACUGCAAUGAAAAUGAAAACGGCUCCUCUGCUCAGAAAUGAAAUGUUUAGUUUAUUCAUUAGAGUCAUUACUGCUUAUGCAAUUAAUUAACAUAAGGUGAUCACCUUUAGAUGUGUCUUUCAGAUGGAAGUACCGAUCUAAUCCACUUAGAGUUGGCAAACUCAAGUUUUCAAACCUUUACAGAGAAAUUCCUAAGAACAAACACUAUAUUCUUUACUGAGUUUUUUUCUGUAUUCAUUAUUUUUAGAUUCUUAACUGGAAACUUGCUGACUGGACCUGUACCUGCUUGGCCAAGAGUCAACGUGUAAGCUUCUCUUCCAAAUGCUACUCUUUAGCUACUAAGGAAAUUUAUGCUGUUUUUUUUACUAAGAUAGAUAUAAAACUAUUAAGCUCAUAACUUAUUUCACUAAUUCUAAUCAGCUAGAGACCUACAAUUCAACAGAAUUUGCAUCAUAGCUCUUUUUGUGCAGUGAUCUUUCGUAUAACAACCUCGCCAUAGAGGAUGCAAGUUGUCAACCACGAGGUGGCACGUAAGAAUGUCUUCAUUAGCUUGAAGUUAAUCUGUUUGUGUUAUGUGGAGAUAAGCUUAACUUUUCAUUUGUGUUAAUUUCUGCAGUAACUUGUUUGCAAGCUCGUCAAAAGGAAAUAGUUCGUAAGUUCAAAUUAAUCAUCUCAAAGCAUGCACCUAUAAAUUUACUUCGGUAUCCAAUGGUGUAUUCUUUACUAUUUUUUUUUCCAAUUUCGUCUCAUUUAUGAUUGCUGACAUUUUUUGUACCCUGAAUUACUAUAUCCGGAGAAUUAUUUCAUGUUUCAAAACUUCAGAGUGUCCAAAAUGUAAGCCGAGUUUCUACACAAAUAAUUACCUUUAUUUUUUCGAUUCAUUCUUUUUUAGUUUUCCUCCUCAAUGCCUACUAAUCUCCAAUUUAUUUUUUCAUAGAUUUGUACUACUCUCUCCAUAUAAAUUGUGGUGGGAAACAAUUUACGGUCCCUGGAGGAAAAGAUACAGUAUAUGGUGAUGACACAUUUUCUGCUGGACCUUCAUCAUUUUACAAGAGCACAACAAAUUGGGCAUUAAGCAGCACCGGUUACUUCCCUGAUGAUGACCGCCCUUAUGACACCUUUACAUGGACUAAUGAAACUAGACUCUCUAUGGCCAAUCCUCAACUGUACAUGAACGCACGCCUUUCUCCCAUAUCUCUAACUUAUUUUGGGUUUUGUCUGGGAAAUGGAAACUACACCGUAAACCUCCAUUUUGCAGAGAUAAUGUUUAGAAAUGGCAAAACAUAUAAAAGCUUGGGAAGGCGCAUAUUUGAUAUUUACAUUCAGGUAAGUAUCGCAUCCACUUCCAUAUAUACCAGUGAAUUAUUCUAAUUUUCAACAAGCAUUGUUUAUAUUUUGGUCGAUUUGAAUGUUAACUUUCACAUUUAUGAUCAUGAAAUGUUAAGCAACUAAAUUAGUAUAUAUACAUAUAUAUAUUGCAGGGAAAACUAGUGAAGAAGGACUUCAAUAUCAUGGAUGAGGCUGGUGUGUUUGGUGAUGUAGUCAUACAGAACUUUACUGCUCCUGUAACUAAUAAUACAUUGGAGAUUCGUUUCUUUUGGGCUGGGAAAGGGACGACGGCCAUCCCUUAUAGAGGAGUCUAUGGUCCACUUAUUUCAGCUAUUUCAGUAGACCCAAGUAAGUUUUCACUGAUCUGAGCUUCGUCUAAUUACUAUGUGUCGACCCUAUGCAUUGAUAUAUCUACUAAAUUAAGAGAUCCGAUUUCAGUUCUGAAAGGUUCUUCUUCUUCAAUAUUUCCUUUCCCUUGUAAUUUCACAAAAAUGCUUCUGUGUUUUUCUCCUGUUUUACGUAGUUUGAGCCAAGACUUGAUAAUAUGUUGUUUUUUUCUAGGUGACGAGUAUGCGCUUUUAAAAACAACAAAAUUCAACUUUGAGGAUUUUUAACUAUUUACUUGAAAACUAUCCAGUUCACUUAAGGAAACAUAUAAUAUUUACAACCAUCCAAAGAAAGUUUGUUCGAGGGAUUACUUAUACUAUCUACUUAUUUAAGGAUGCCCCAAAGACCGGGUUCAAUCUUUUGUUUCUGUGUGCAUUAGAUAGCUGGUUGAGUAAUCCACUCUCAUAUCAAUUACAUUUACAUUUACUCUAAUUUAAGCUAUAUUCUUUCUUCCGACAGACUUUGAUCCCCCGCAACCUGGUGGAAGUGGCAUGCCUGUACGUGCCGUGGUUGGAAUUGUGGUUGGAGGAGUCUUCAUUAUACUACUGAUAUUUGGUAUUCUUUGGAAGAGAGGCCUCCUAGGACAACAAAAGACAUUGGAGGAUG
rnacentral:lncRNA from 1 species